UUCGAUUCUUUUUCCGCUGUGCAUGACUUAGUUCUAUCAGAGGAUUUAUUCGUAGGACCAUCCGUAAUUAACAGAAGUAGGACUAUCCAUUAUCCUCCGUCCGGAGUCCGCAGGAUUCUUAUCCGUAGGACUAUCCGUAAUUAACCGAAGUAGUCCUCCAGAAUUUCUGUAAUUAACCGAACUUUGCACCUCUUGACUAUGAAUCAUAUAUAUUGAUUUUGACCGGAGCAAAGAUCAUUGCCCACGGAGCGGCGCAAAGAAUAUUGCGACCUGUGGAUUCAUUGAGGCGGUGAAGAAUUGCCAUUUUAUGAGCUUGUAAGACCCCUCCGGAGGAGAAGGAUAGGGGAGCAAGGUGAAAAGUGGUUUUCAAAGUCAGAGCUAUCCCUUAUUAUUGAGGGCUUUGACCACCUGGACACUCGCCUACUCAGUCGCAAGGAUCAAAGAAUUUGAUUGACAAAGAAUAUUGCGAUUUUACCGAGUCCUUCGUCUCGCAAUAUUCUUUGCGCCUUCGGUGAGUCAGGUUAAUAUGGAUAAGUCCUUCGGACUGAUAGCGUCCAAAAAAUAGGCGAGGGCGGGCGGGCUAUAAGUAGGCCGUUUGCUAUUGCUAUAAGGGCUGCUCGCCUUUAUACGGCUUGGCUUCGCUAUCGCUCAUGACUUGUAUUGUGGUCGGCCUAAAAAGUAGUCUUCCUACCAUAAAAAAAUGCCUAUUAUCUAGUUCGUUAAGCUUCGCCAAAAGCAAGACGAGGGCGCUCUGCUUCGUAGACAAGGCUCGUCUAGUACUUGACUUACGAGUUCGUGUAGGACUCCCCCCUCUCUCUAAAGGGGCUUAUGCACGGAACUCCUUGUCUACUAAAGAAGCGUUAGAGCGAGCGAGUUCAGCCUGAAAUUGAGUGGUCUCCCUCCUUUUCCCUCACUGAGAUAUUAUGUCUUUCAUUUCCACUUAAGCUUCCCCGCUUUGAGGGAUUAAUUGAUUGGAUACCCGAGAACCAUAAUCUUUCCUAGGAACUGCUUCUACGACGAUAGGCGUAAAGGCAUGAUUAGUUCCACAAAUCUCACUGCACUGACCAUAGUAAACUCCUUCUCGUUGUACCAAAAUGGAGAUCUGAUUUAAACGACCAGGUACAGCAUCACAUUUGACACCUGAGGAAGGUACAGCCCAACUAUGAGGUACAUCAGCAGGUGUUACAAUAAUACGUAGAUGAGUUUUGGCUGGUAGAACCACUCUAUUGUCCACUUCUAAUAAACGUGAUUGACCCAAUUCUAGAUCAUCUUCUGGAAUCGUAUAACUGUCAAAAGUGAGUGACUGUUCAUCGGAACUGUUAUAGUCAGAAUACUCAUAAGUCCGAUACCAUUGAUGUCCAAUAGCUUUGAUAGUCAUGGCUGGAUCUACUACUACCUCGUCCAUUGAGUAUAAGAGAGCAAAGGAUGGUAUAGCAAUGAACAUCGGAAUGAUACUAGGAAAAAUGGUCCAAAGAAUCUCGAUAGUAGUUCCAUGAACAAUCCUUUGCGGUAUUUUCUUUUGAGAAUAGUGGAAAUGCCAUAAAGCGCGAACCAAGAUCCGUGAUACGAAAACAAAAAUCAGAAUGAGGAAGAAAAAGAUAUCGUGAUGUAAGUCUAUUAUUCCUUGCAUCAUAGGUGUUGCUGUGUCUUGAGAUCCUAAUUGCCAUGGUUCCGCUGCAUCACAAGGAGCAAUUGUGAGGAAUAACCAUUUGAGAACAAUCAUUUUCUUUGGUUUAUUCUUUGACUGCUCUGCUCCCCCCCCCAAAAAAAGAGAGACUUGUUCUUGUUGCUUGGGCCGAGUUAAGUAUGGCUACCUAUUACUCCUCACUGCACACUUGAAAUAUCUCUUGAUACUCCCCCCUCUUUCUUACAACUAGUUGCUGCAUGCUAUCAGAUCUCGAGCAAUGGGAGGUUAGAAUUGAGAAUCCACACUCUCAUUACAUUACAUUUUGAUGUCGGAAAAUGUCUUUUGGGCAAUGAGCAUUCCUUAUGGGCGUAUCCGUUCUCUAUUUAGAGAAAUUCUUAGAGCGGUGCAGUUUAUGCAUGGCGAAAGGGAGCAUUGGAAGGGUCUUAGCUCCAGAAUAUGAAGACGAAUCCACACUCUCAUUACAUUACAUUUUGAUGUCGAAAAUGUCUUUUGGGCAAUGGGCAUUCCUUAUGGGCAUAUCCGUUCUCUAUUUAGAGAAAUUCUUAGAGCGGUGCAGUUUAUGCAUGGCGAAAGGGAGCAUUGGAAGGGUCUUAGCUCCAGAAUAUGAAGACGAAUGAAUAAGGAAGAUCAGAUUCAAGGAAUAAGAGGACAAAGGCUCGAUAGGAGGAAAUGAAUAAGGGGUCCAACGGAGCCUUCGGAGUACUAUAAAGAGGAAAGCCUAGACUGAUCGAUGUUCUUGGUAGGAACAUCCAUAAAUCAGGGGAGGGAGAUCGAGUUUCAAACCUUUAUACACAAAAUUGAAACUCAAAAUUCACUUCCUUCCUUCCGCAAGGCCGAUAUCUUUCAUAGCAAGCAAGGAUGAGUCCAUUAGGUUCUUCGAUUGAUUCGGAAAAGAAAUGAGAGACAAGAAAAGAUCUUUGAUGGAGAUGAAAAGGAAGAAUCUCAAAUAGACCAAGAUCCAAUUUCGGGUCAUUUCUUGGUGAACAUGAUCUGCCAUAAUCUCUUCGAUCCCUGAAUUUAUGUGCCAGAAUAAAGAGAGAUUUGGUAGGAAAGUGGAAGAGACCUUGUGGUAUAUAAUAAUGAGAGGGAGUGGGAAAGCUGCUGUAAUUCUUUGGAAAAGCCCGGUUCUUUUUGUCUUCGAGCUUGAAUUCCUCAAUCCACUCUUUCGUUCUUUCAUAUACCUCCCCACCAAUAGAUAGAGACAAAUAGGAAUAACCGAACCACGUCUACAAAAUGCCAGUACCAUGCAGCUGCUUCAAAGCCAAUGUGAUGCUCCUUGGUCAGAUGACCUAGAUAUUGGCGAAUACCACAUACGAUCAAGAAAAGAGUACCUAUAAUCACAUGAAAACCAUGAAAGCUAGUUGCUAAGAAAAAGGUAGAACCAUAAAUACUAUCAGAAAUAGUGAAGGGUGCUUGAUAAUAUUCCAUUCCUUGAAAGCCUGUGAAUACUAGAGCCAGUGAAACGGUAGCUACUAAAGCGUAAACAACUCGUUUUUCCUUCCCCGCGAGUAUAGCAUGAUGAGCCCAAGUUACGGCUGCUCCGAAUGAAAGGUGAAUAGGGGUGUUAAGAAAAGGGAUUUCCCGAGGAUCUAAAACCCCAAUCCCUUUUGGGGCCAAAUAUCUCUGAUCUCUACCGUAGGUGCCAAAGAAGAAUGAGAAGAAGCCCGAAAAAAAGCAAAAAGGAACAUAACCUCCGAUACGAUAAAGAGAAUAAAACCAUAUCGAAGUCCUAUUUUUACGACUUUGGUAUGAUGUUCCUUCCAACGUGGAUUCACGUAGAACAUCACGCCCACCAUACGAACAUGGUAUAUAGGAGAAAUAUGAGGCCCAAACUGAGAAGUCUUGCACCCCCUUGAAAUGAGUGCAUGUACAUCACACCUCCUACGAUGGUUGCCAAAUGAUAAGAAUGCCUUUGAGAUUCAAUCACAAACCACUUUGCCGGUUGUUAUGUAAACCCCAAUCCCUUUGGGGGCCAAAUAUCUCUGAUCUCUACCGUAGUGCCAAAGAAGAAUGAAAGAAGCCGAAAGAAGCAAAAAGGAACAUAACCUUCGAUACGAUAAAGAGAAUAAAACCAUAUCGAAGUCCUAUUUUACGACUUUGGUAUGAUGUCCUUCCAACGUGAUUCACGUAGAACAUCGCGCCCAUAACGAACAUGGUAUAUAGGAGAAAUAUGAGGCCCAAACUGAGAAGUCUUGCACACCCCUUGAAAUGAGUGCAUGUACAUCACACCUCCUACGAUGGUGCCAAAUGAUAAGAAUGCCUUUGAGAUUCAAUCACAACUUGCCCGGUUGUAUGUAAACCCCCCCCCCCCCCCCCCCCCCCCCCUCACUCCCACCCACUAAAGUGGUAAAGAAGGGCUCUUUGGGGUCUCAUUUUCUUUUUCUUUCUAUCUGACAGGACUAAAAAAUAGGAAGGAUGGUUCUUUAAUUGCAUUGAUAGAAGUCUAACUAGAAAAAGAUCUUGUUGCUUGAUAGAGCCCUGGCUUUUUGGAUAGAUCCCUCUAUAUUCCAACUGAUUUAUGCGUAGAGGCCGGGAAUAGGAAUCACUCAUAUUGCAUUGAGCCUUAACAGUCCGGAGGACUAUCCCGCUCCGUGGGAUUCUUUUAGCCUCACAAUAUUCUUUGCACCUAUCCAUCCACGCAAUAUUCUUUGCACCUUCGCUCCAAAUAAAGUAAUAGCCGCAACUCAAUUCAUUCAGCCUUCGCCUAGAAAUUCACUUUGCGACCCACUCCGUAAGCCCACUACACGAGAAGAAAGAAUAUCCUUAGCUAUUUAUCUUUAUUAUCUCUUCUCUGAGAAUAUCCUCUUAUUCUACUAUUAGAAGAAUAUCCUACUUUCAGUUUCUAGUCAAAGAAAGUCCAGGCGCAGGCGCAAAGAAUAUUGCGAGGUGCAGUCUAAUGGAUAGGACUGAGGCUCGACUGAAAGGAGAGAAGGCGCAAUGAAAUAUGCGAGGUCCAUAUUUCGACUGAGGAACUGAAACUUCCGCGUAGUGCUUCCCUUGUUCAUUGAUAGUAAUCCUGAAGUUUCUUCUUGGCAUCAAAAUAGAUCAAUGAAAGAGGACUAAAAAUAAGACGAAAGUACUUAUGACGGCUUUCCUUCCAACAAAUCUUCGUUCUUAGUUAUUUGAUUCCACUUUCAACUUUCUGGGAGUUGUCUUCUCCUAGGCUUUCUUCUUUCUGGCAGUCUUCUGCCUUGCCGUAGGGAGUAGGUUCAGGAGAACCAUAACCAUAAAUCAGAGAGACGGAGCAUCAAUCACGCAUAUUCUUUGCACCUCUUCCUUUAAGCUAUAUUUUUUAGGCUCCGGAGGCUCAAAGACAGGGAUAUUGUUGAAUACUAUUGGUUCGAGUCGCAGAGAGCAAAGAAUUUUCUCUUAAUGGAACUUAGCGCGAGUUAAUAUGGAUAGGACUGAGGUCUUAAGACUCCUAACUAUUAAUGGAAAGGACCCACGGAGCGGUGCAAAGAAUAUAUUAGAAGGGCAGACAGGUCCGGAGGACCUGUCUGUCCUUCGUCUUAAUACUCCUAACGUCGAAUAAGAAGCUGGAGGCUGGGUCCAGGUGCAAAGAAUAUUGUGUCCAUUAGAUCCAUUGAAUUAGGCGAAGGAUUUUAUCAAGCUUAGCUUUCUGGAUUCUUCGGCGGAGUGGGGCUUUCUCUAGUAGGUCUGGAGGCUCAAAGAAUGAUCGAAGGCUCCGGACCAUAAAGAAGAGAGUCGGAGGACUUCCAUUGACUUUUUCUUCCUUUCACUUCUAACUUCAAACCUUUCAUAUUCAACCUUGAAAAUAAAGGAGGGAGCGGACUAGAGGCCAUAAGUUUGAGUUCCUCAGAUGUAUAAAAACAAGUCCUCCGCGACGACCUAUCCACUGAAAGUAGCUACGUAGUCUUGUCUCCUUCCCCGCGUAGUGGGCAUUGACUUCUUCAUUGAUUUUCUUCUAUCUCCCACGUAGCGGUUGAAUAUGAAAGGAAGCCCACAGAGCUGAAGAUGGAGCGGGAUAAUAAAGAAGAAAGCUCAAAAGGAGGGAGCGGACCUCAAUGAACAAAGGACUCGUUUUCAUCCUUAUGGAAGAAAAAUCUCUUUUUUUUAUCUAAAAGACGUAGAAGGAGGCUCAAUGUCUAAUCUUUCUCUCAAAUCAAUAUCCCCCAGUGCAAAUAUUCCAGCAAUAUUCUCAAUAUGAAAAGAGCCUUUCUUCUUUUCUUAGAUAAAUGCGCUUCGUAGAUUAUGCUGAAGGAGGAGUGGGCCAUGAUCUUUGCUCCUUAAUUUCCCUAAUGGAUAGUCAUCUGGACCUUUCUUUUUAGUUCUUUGCGCUCGUCAACGCAUAUUUCAUUGCGCCUUCGCCUUCAAUGAAAUCCAUAAAUAAAUAAGGGUAGAUUUCAGACUCAAGAGGAGGGUUCCUUAUCAAUAUCAAUGAGACGGAUAGGCUUUCUUUUACAUUCCACAGGUCCGAAGGACUAUCCAUAUUAACAUGUCUGUCCUUCGCCUAACUAGUUCAUAUAGACCUUUGUUUUUCUUCCGCAGUCACUAAUAUGGAUAGUCCGGAGGACCUCCUUCAGCAUAAUCUAUGAAUGAUCGGAGCAAAGAAUAUUGCGGAAAAGAAGAAAGGAGUGCAAGCGAAAAAUAAUGGAUUGAAUAGUCCUUCGGACGACUACCGCACUUGGGGAUAUUGUUGAGAAAGAAUAUUGAAAAAGAAUGAUCGAAGAAUAUUGAAAAAGGACGGAGGAUAGGCUUUCUUUGAACAAUGUGGAUGUAUCAAAGAUUCCACAGGUUAAUAUGGUAGAUUUCAGACUAGUCCUUCACCUUGGAUCUGGGGACUAUUCUCUGUUCUAAUAGACAGAGGAGAGGUUCAAAGAAUAUUGAGAAUACUCGUGCAAGCGCAAUCAAUGAACAAGGUGAAAAGAACAAAAAAAAAAGGCGGUCGAUGAUCAGGAAGAAAAAGUCAAAAGUCUAUCCCAUCUUCUUCGUUAGGCGCAAAGAAGAAAAAUAAGGUGCAAAGAUCUAUGGCCCAAUUAUAAGGGGUCCAGAUGCACCAUAAGACUGGUCCGAAGGACUAUCCAUAUUAACCGGAGUCUUCAACAAGAUUUCCAACCCUGAAUAUUAAGCUACUGAGGCCCAAUAUUGCGAAGGAAGAACUGCGCCAUAAGACAGGUCCGAAGGACUAUCCAUUAGGGAAUGAGACGGAGGUAAGUUUGGUUUUUUGGAAAACUUGUUGGCGCGAUUAGUGCGUUUUUUUUGGAAAGUAACAAUUCUCUUCAUUUGUUUUCAGAAAACUUGUUGGUCCACGGAUUAGUGCGUUCUGCGCCGCCUGGUGUCUGCAAACAUAUUUUUCCAAAGUGUGUUUACCUUUGGUUAUAUGCUCCGAUUACCCCCAGUUUAUCUCAUCUUUAGUUUGCAUAACUAGUUUAGCUGUUUGCUUUUCAUUAUAGGUCAUAAAGCUUGGGUGUGACGUUUCAGCAUUUUCAUAUGCAAGCCUGCCAGAGAGGAAAAUGUUCAAAAUGUACUAUAGGGGAGGCAUACCAGUUGAAUCCCCGCCCAAGCAUUAGUUGUACUCUUUGCAAGCAACCCUUUUUCCUUGCAAUUGGCAGUCUUUAAUGCUUAUUGUAACGUCUAUUUCAAUGUAUUUCUUUCUUUCCCGUGUUUUAUAAAUAAAAUGUCCCUAAAACGCAAACGAAGGUUACGACAUACAUCGACGUUACCCACAACUCUUGGAUAUUGAUCGACUGACUUGUUCAUCGAGUUAGAACAAGUGCCGCACAAUCGUCCGUCUCGAGGUUGAAACGCUACGAUUGUGACAAGUGGUAUCAGAGCCAAAGUUGGUUGAGUGACAGUUUUGACAAAAAUAAAAUGUCGACUGCAAAACGAGCGAGCAAGACCCAUGAAGAACGGUUGGUGGAGAUCGAAGUGCAGAUGCUCCACCUGAUGGAAGUUCCUGAUUCCAUCCGGUUCUUGGAAUAGCGGCUUGAGGAUAUUGCCAAGAAAGCUGAUGGCAUUGAAGCCGUGUCCGGUCACCUUGACGGACUACCCAUCCAAGAGUUACUGACUAGAGUCGACACUCUAGAGUCCCGAGUUAUGAGAACGGGAAAUGUCACCUACGAGCGUGGGGACAGUUCAUCGGGCUCUGUUGCCCAGAUGGAAGAAAGAGUUAUGGAGCUUGAUAACUCGCAAAAGAACAUGUUGGAGAUGAUGAGCGGCAUGACAAAGGAUUUUCGAGCAACGCUGGAGGAGCCAUUCUUGUGGGCAGAAUCAAGAUUCCUAAGCCCAAGCCCUUCUGUGGGGCGAGAGAUGCCAAGGCGUUGGAAAACUUUAUCUUUGAUGUCGAGCAGUAUUUCAAAGCCUCGAACACAAUUACUGAAGAGGCCAAGGUGACGUUGGCAACCAUGCAUUUGUCAGAAGAUGCGAAGUUAUGGUGGAGGUCCCGAUACAUGGACAUUCAAGAAGGGCAUUGCACAAUCGACACGUGGGAUGCCCUAAAAGGAGAACUCUGUUCGCAAUUUUCCCUGAGAAUGUCGAAAUUCUGGCCCGACAGAAGCUGCAUGAAUUGAAGCACACGGGGAACAUUCAGGACUACGUGAAACAGAUUGUGGGGGUAAUGUUGGAUACACGCGACAUGAUCGAAAAAGAUAAAAUAUUCAGCUUUGUUGAAGGGUUGAAGCCAUGGGCAAGGACUAAGCUAUACGAGCAGAAAGUCCAAGACCUCGUGUCAGCCUAUGCAACAGCUGAACGUUUGUUUGAUCUGUCUAAUGACGUUCAAGAGACAAGACAUCAUUGAAGCUCUUCACCUGGAAGAGACAGAAACAGCCGACUGAAUUCUCCCGAAGCUGUCAGUAGAAAUAAAAGUCCUGGUAGAGACCGCAAGCCCUUCCAGUCAAAUACGGGGAACACCAGGCAAAGGCCCACUAGUCAAAGGACCUCCCACACUCCUAUCAGUUGCUACAUUUGUAACAGGCCACAUCGGACAAGGGAAUGUCCGGAUAAAGCGGCCUUCUACGCCUUCCAGGCCUCUCUGGCUACAGACUUAGGUGACAAGUUGGGUCAACCAGAGAAUGAAGGUGGGUAGGUGGAGGAAGUCCAAAACGUUAGAGUAGGGGCCAUAAGACUUUGUCGUUCCUUCAGAAGAAAGCGGGGGAGACAAGUGGUCGUACAAAAGGGGGCCUAAUAUAUGUGGACACCUGGAUCAACCGAAGGCAUGCAAAGAGCACUAUGGUUGACUCCAGUGCAACCCAUAAUUUUAUAACGGUGGCGGAAGCCAGACGAUUGAACCUUCACUAGAAGAAGGAUACAGAAAAGAUGAAGGCCGUAAAUUCUACAGCUUUACCCGUCGUCGGAGUAGUGAAACGAGCGGUGAUACAGUUGGAAAGAUGGAACGGCCUUGUUGACUUUGUGGUUGUGGGCAUGGAUGACUUUGAUGUAGUUCUCGGAAUGGAAUUCCUUCUCGAACAUCAAGUGAUCAUGAUGCCUGCACCAAAUGUCGGUGAUCACGGGAUCUACCCCCACCGUUAUGCAGAUACCCCCACCAUUAUGCAGAUAGAACUCCGGCAACCCAAAGGAUUGAGAAUGGUCUCGACCAUGCAACUGAGGGCCAUAUUAGGAAGACACAAGGCGUGUCGUGGAGAGACGUUGUGAUGGGAAACAGGAUAGUUUGCCCAUGUCAGAAUCGCCUACGAGAAAUGAUCAUCGUAUGGCGCAAUCAAAAUCAUCUGGACUCAGGAGACAGUCAAUGAGACUGUCAGGUGCAGGAUCCACUAGACCUGCGAGAGAUCCGUAUCAAGCACAAGACUUCUUACGGAAGGAAGAGAAUGGACAAUUGUGUGUCAACAACCGUGUCCUAAAGCAAGCCCCGAGGAGAGGGCCAACUUUUGAGUCCGUGAGUGGGACUCAGCCUGUUGAAGCUUACGCUAAGGCAUAUGGUCCUGUGUCAGGUGGCAUCCUAAUGCAGAAUGGACACCCUAUCACAGCUGAGAGUCAGAAACAAAGUGCCGCAGAAGGUAGUUAUACGAUGUUUGGAAAAGGAAUGCUGACCACGAUACGUAGUCUGAAGGAUGGAAGACAACAUUCCCAGGGGUCUACACAUGGAAGAGAGACGAACAACAUUGCGACCAACCGCUUUGAUACUCGGCCGAAGUGGGCUUUGAGUCAAGAAAAGUGGCAGAGGGACGUGUCAAGGAAUCCUUGCAGAAAAACUCUGUCAUUGAAGUUGAUGUAAGUCUGGCGGAGACCAGUCAGGUGGAAGAAAAGAAUGGAGUUCAAUUGUGGAAGCUAACCCAAUCUUAUGUUAAUGCUGCAAUGAGUUCGUCAAUGGAUGGAAACCAGUUUGUGGGUAUUUGUGGCGGACAUUCUGUACAGUCCCUUGUUGGUCCCUCCUAUGUUGGUAAGAAUCCUCAAGCUUGCAACAGUACCAAGAGGUGGAAGCUGGAGUCAGACAUCGUUCGGACCGAUCGAGAGGAAGCCUCGAAGUGGCCAGAAAAGUGGGCAGAUAAGAAGCAUCGCCUCCGUGUUGGGGGAGACCAGGUCAUCGUCAAACGGCGAUCUGAACUGACUCAGUUUUUGAAGAAGACUUCAAGAUCACCGCCUCGUGAGAGAACGCGAGGGACAAACAGAAGUUCAAGAAGUCCUUGCUAAAGAAGCAAGGAAAAGAAGAAGACCCAUGGGGGGAUACACAAGUUCGUGGUGAAGCAGAGGAGCCUCCUCAUGGAAGAAGCCUGUGGAAGACGUACCAAGACUGUGAAGCGUGGAGGUAGAAGAUCGAAGGAUUCCAGCUUUGCCAGUCGACGGGGACGUCAACUGUUUAAGUGGGGGAGUGUGUCACGGACAUAUUUUUCCAAAGUGUGUUUACCUUUGGUUAUAUGCUCCGAUUACCCCUAGUUUAUCUCAUCUUUAGUUUGCAUAACUAGUUUAGCUGUUUGCUUUUCAUUCUAGGUCAUAAAGCCUUGGUGUGCGUUUCGACAUUUUCAUAUGCAAGCCUGCCAUAGAGGAAAAUGUUCAAAAUGUACUAUAGGGGGGCAUACCAGUUGAAUCCCCGCCCAAGCAUUAGUUAUACUCUUUGCAAGCAACCCUUUUUCCUUGCAAUUGACAGUCUUUAAUGUUUUAUCGUUAUUUCAAUGUAUUUCUUUCUUUCCCGCGUUUUAUAAACAAAAUUUCCCUAAAACGCAAACGAAGGUUACGACAUACAUCGACGUUACCCACAACUCUUGGAUAUUGAUCGGCUUACUUGUUCAUCGAGUUAGAACAAGUGUCGCACAAUCGUCCGUCUCGAGGUUGAAACGCUACGAUUGUGACACCCGGCAGCCACAUAGAAUUGAGAAAAGCCUAUGGUUGAGGCAGCAUUAAUUUAUGAAACUUUACACGUGGGAAGAGAUGACUCUUUCUAUUCAAACCUGUAAACAUAGAAGACCGCCUCAAUGAACAAGGGAUCAUUCACAUAGAAUAAAUAUGAACAACGAGAAAGGGAAUAUAAGGUUUGAAUUCAGAGGAAAGCCUAGCUUGAAUGAACAAGGUGAAAAGAAUAUUGACAGCUGCACUUACGAGUCUUUCAGUUACCUUUCUGCCUCUUUAAAGAGUUCAAGGUUUUCUAUUAUCGGAAGAAUCAGAAUAAGAAGAAAAUAGAGAGAGAAGAGAGCUCAGGAGGCGCAAUGAAAUAUGCGUGAGAAGCGCAUUUCCUUAGUGGAAUACUUUGAUAGCGGAAUAAGAAGUCGGAGGCUCGGUCAAGACGAUCUUUUGAUCUAUUCUAAUGGUUCUAAUGGAUAGUCCUUCGUUUUAGAGUCCUACAGAUAAAUCCUCCGGACUGGUCCGAAGGCUAGGUUCAUACGGAUAGUCAGGACGGUUAGUUGGAGCCUUGUUUUUCGAAAUCUUCUUUGAGCCUCAGUCGUCUCAUUGAUAAGGACAUCUUUGCAAAUGAAGAGCGGGAGGUGCAAAGUGCGGCUAUUACUUUGAAAAGAAUAGGAGCUCCGCGGUUUGAAUUGAAUAAAAAGGAUAGGCUGAAAUUCAAAGUGAAUAAGAGGAUAUUUUCAGACAUAAUAUCUAAAGUCAAUGAACAGGGCUCCUAACCUGAUUUAUGGGGAGCCUACUACGUCCAUUAGUUCCGAACUUGGCUCCACUCCUAGUAGUUCGAACUUGGCUUUGCUCCUUCGCUUUUUCUCUUAUUGAUCUCUCUUGUAAUGCUUUCUACUAAGAAUCAAGAAAGCGCAACUUCUAUUGUUCGAACGACCUUGAUUAAAAAACGAUGCUUCCUUGGUCGUGUAGAACAUGGAUUAGCAUUAUUUCAUUCCUACAAGCGAUCCCCCAUCCAGGAUUGGAAGAAGUGCUAUAUGAGGACUUUGAGAUCAAAUAGAAUAUAUUUCUUUCAAGACCUCGUGAGCCACUUAUUUCUCCGAAACAAGAGAGAAAAGUGAUUUUCCUCCUUUUUCUCAAUAAGUCGACGACCUUACACCAUUGGGAUACUUCUUUGAAACUAGAGUACAUAUAGGAUACACCGGUGCUAAAACCUUUUCUCAAAAGAUCUUCCAAACUGUUGGGGUCCUUGCUCCGUAUGUUCUUCCCCCGGUGUGAAAGCAGUUGGUUCCAUAGUUUGAGAAUUCUACUGAUCCCAAGUACUCCAUCUCCAUCAUUGCAUAGGGAAUAUAGAAAGUCAAGAAGAAAAGGCAUGAGCAGAAGAAUUGUGUGAAAUAAGUCAAUUUAUCCAAUUGAGGCAUUCUUUCUUUUUCUUAAGAAAAUUCCCUCUAGACAUAAAUCCUUUCUGUACGAGUAGUGAAGAACUAUAGAGAGCAGUGGUUGGUUGUUGACCAACGAAAAGCAUGGGAGAAAGAAAGAUGUUGGCAAGGAAGCAUCAAAAUAGAUCAAUGAAAGAGGCUCAAAGAAUGAUCGAGGACUAUUUUAGUCCGACUAGAAACUAGGGAAACUAAAGACUAACGAAAUCUAGAUGAGAAUCCGUACAAUUAGUCUCGAGAAAAAGAAGAAAGCAAUAAAAAAAGUGAAGACAGAAAAUGAACCGAAAAUCUUCUUCUCUCAUAUUGAAUUCAUCCUUCUACGCAUCUCCAUGGGCUCGACUGAGAGUGGAGGAGAGGACGGGAAGAAUGAGAAAAAUAGUAAGGCGAGAAGACAGGUUCGAAGGACUAUCCAUCAGGGAGUUUGGACCCCGUAGUUAGGAGCAAAGAAUAUUGCGAAAGAGUCAUAAUAGGUACAAAUCUUCUUAGAUUAUGUUGAAGGAGGCGGCGCAAUUCAAUAAGCGAAAGUCAUGAUCCCUUUAAAGCAGACGUUAGGCGCAAAGAAAGAAGCUCAUUAACGAGAAUGAAAGAAUAAUUCACUCAUUAACGAGAAUGAAAGAAUAAUUCACUCAUUAACGAUAAUGAAAGAAUAAUUCUGAUUUCAUCACCUUGUUUUUACGGAGUUCAAUACUAGAUUGAAGACGGAGGGAAAUCCCAGAUUUUGCUAGGUUUUGGGCCUAUAAAGUAGCAAGAAAUCAUGAAAAAUCAGUCAAAAUUAGACAAUUAUCGUAGCAUAUCAAUAUGAGAAAAAGUAUGAAAAAGAAGCAAAAAAGUCGGAAAAUAGCAAUUCAAGAAGAAAGCCUAGGACAGGGAAAAGAAAUGAACACUUCUAGUUUGAGUUUAUGGUCCGGAUACUGACAGGUCUAUUCAUUAUUCCGCUCCUGAAUAUGGAUAAUCCUACUUCGGUUAAUUACGGAUAGUCCUCCUUCGGUUAAUUACAGAUGGUCCUACGGAUAAAUCCUCCAGACUACUUCAAUUAAUUACGGAUGGUCCUACUUCCAUAUGGAUAGUCGUACUUCAAAUGGAUAGUCCUCCGGAUAAAUCCUGCGGACGUAGGACCUUGGACCUUUCUUUCUUUAAUGGAUAGUCCUCCGGAUAAAUCCUGCAGACUGCGUAGGACCCUGGACCUUUCUUUGGCACUCCGGACGGAUAAAGAAAGGAUAAAUAAAGGCGCAAAGAAUAUUGCGAAGUGAAGCGCAUUUAUCUAAGAAAAGAAGAAAGGAUAAAUAAAGGCGCAAAGAAUAUUGCAAGAGCGGGAAUUACCUUUUCUCUUCGGGUUAGCUAAGAGUUGUCGGAGGCUUGAAGUCGAAUAAUUACUUUUACUUAAAGGUUUCACAAACCUGCAAAAUCUUCUCCAAAUUAGCGUUAGCGUUCUGAGCUAGCCAAGCAGUAUAUUUAAAAUAUAGAAAGAAAAAAAUCCAUGCAAUCCAAGUACACUAAGAACCUACAGCAUCGUCACGCUGCGUGCGGAAGGUUAAUUCUUCUAACUCUGGUAUUAUCGUUGAACAAGCAGUUCACAUUCGACUGCCCACGUAGUGGGGGAAGCUCGCUCGCUAACUUUGCACUUCGGCCAAAAUGCCGAAAAAAGGCUAAGGCCGAAGGAGGUCUGCUCCUUCGCUCAAGGAAAAAUUGCCCGAUUGAAUAUAUAUCUUGGAGCAGAGAGAGGAAAGGAUGACGGAAGCCUCAGUCUCAGUACGAAAGGGGCAAAAAGCUGGAAAAGGCAUACUGGCUUCACCUUGCCCUAGGAUGGGGUCCGUCGGAUCUUUUAAGGCAUAAGCUUAAUGCUGAGACGCACGGGGAUAUCCGGUCAAGGAUGGAUAUUCAAGACAAGGACGAAGGCUCUCCUUCACGCAAGAUGAUUACAAGUCUUAGGAGUGAACUUCCGCUUUACCCUUGUGGUAUCAUGAAGCGAAGGGCAGAGAAAGCGAGCGAGAAAACAUAAAUCAAGGCGGUCGUUGACUUAAAAUAGGCAAAAAGAAAAGACAGAGAGCCUACAGGUUUCUCGAUUUACCCUUCUUCUAGGAUAGAAAAAGGCACUGCCUGUGUGACCACUACAAGCAGACGUGACGAGCGAUGCAGGGCCACCCACGACCGCUAGCAAUACGAGGUAAAGCGGCCAGAAAGCAUACCAUAGGAUGCGUCCUGAGGGUAUUCACAUAAACAUUCUUCGAAUUGUUCACAUUCGGCGGGAUGUUCUUAGCCUUGUCUCCAAGUGAAUAAUUGAAUCGGCACCGACACGAUCGGACCUAUUGCAGCCUUCGGUUGACUGGUGGCAUUCGAUGGUAUGCUUUGAGGCCUUCCCAACCUGCUCCGUGUAAAAAGGUAGAAGGAGGCUCAAAGAAUUAUCGAAGAGCGAGACGAAAGAAAAUAGCGACUUCCAGUCGGUGAUGGGAUAUCUCAAUGUUAUCGCAGAUUCAAAGGCGCAAAGAAUAUUGCAUUGAGGCUCGACUGAAAGGAGAGGCGAAUUUGAGAAGAAAGAACUAUAUCGGAUAAAUACUCAACUGCCUCAGACGUCACUGGGACAAGAGCCGGAGAUUCUGAAACCUCUCGCAGCUUCUUUGCUUCCUUUGGUCUCGAUAUUUGAACCGCCUCAAUAAACAAUAAAUAAGGGUCCAAAAAAUCAAGGUCAUCUGAAACCCUUUUUUUUAUGCGCCUCAGUCCUAUCCAUUAGAACGCCGGCCCUCACCCUUUUUCUUCUUAGUGAGAGCUUGAGCUUUAGUCUUCCGAGUUCUCAAAUUCUUUGACCCUCUGUCUCAGUAUUCGGCAGAGAUGCUGAUGUUAACAAUAAAUGCAGGCUGAAUGUUGUAUGGAAGGAUGAUCAUUUCGGCUUCUUGUAGCCAUUGAUGUUGUCUAAUGCUUGGAGAGACAUUGUUUAAUGUGACUUUGGACAAGGUUACUGAAGAUAGAACUAUCUGGCUUUAGGUCAGUUUUCAGUUGCUAAGACAGUGAAGCUCUUUCAUCUUCCUGGUAAUACUGUCCCUUGGUUCAAGCUUCUUUGGGGUAAGAAGCACAUCCCUAGUCAUGCUUUUCUUUCGUGGAUGGCUAUGAAUAAGAGUCUGAGAGUCAAAGCUAAACUGUACAAUCUUUAAGUGCUUUCGUCUUAUUUUGAGGUUUGGAAGCAAAGAAGCAGAGCGGAGUUUGAUUCCUUAUAUCAGAAAAAGAUAUAGGAAGACUCCCAGAAAGAAGAAAGCCUAGGAGCAAGCAAAGAAAGAGUAAGGAUCAGAAAGCUCCUAACCCCUAUUUAUUUAUGGAUGUGAAUUGAGCGAAGGCGCAAAGAAUAUUGCGAAGGUUAAAGAAUAUUGACUUGAUAAACCUCUAUUUAGCUUCUUAUAUCUGAAGACGAUAAAGUCAGAUAAUCAGCCUCCGGCUGGGUCGGAUCGUCCAUACCUAGUUGAGUAUCUCUGUCCGUCAUAACGAAUUCACUCUUUGAAAAAGGGUCGGGCUUUGUUGGAGUUGACUCGGUGAGUACACUUUCAUCUUUACGAGAAGAAGCGCGAACAACAACUAUAUUAUUCAGCGACAGACCUGAUUUACCCGAUGAGUGGAAUGACUCGACAAAAGUCUUAGGACUCGGGACAGACGCGCCUCCUUCCUGCUAGAACUCAUAGGUCUACGGGGUUCUUUCGGUAGCGAGAAUAGUGGUCCCAAACGGAAUAGAAGUACUUUUGAUUCACUGAAUCAUAAUCUUUGAAAGAAGAAAGGGGGACGGAGGAUCAAUGAAAUUUGAUGAUGAUGAGUAAGCUCUUGCUUUUCUUGCUCCUCUUUCUGAAGUUGCGAGAGGUUCAAAAUAUCCUUAUCAAUGAUUGGAGUGGUUGUUCCGGUUGCAACGUUGCUGUUGGAGUAGAAGUUGUAGCCCUUUCGGUGAGGUGCAAAUGCUCGACCUCGACCCAUUGGCAUUAGUUGAGGAUGCACUAUCCCUGAUUAUUUUUUAGGAGAAAGCCUCUUUCGUCGGGUUUAGGGGAAAAGACUAAGAAUGAGGUCCCCUCCCCCCAGUUGAGGAACGAGGGCAAAAGCGAAGCCUAUGAAGUGAGUAUGAGCUCGUUCGACCCCCAUGUAGCAGGAAUAGCACCAUCUUCUCUCUUUCAUGAGUAGUUCACUGCACUCAUUAGUAGCUGGACCAAGAGGUUAUUCACUCUAUGAUCUCCUGGACUGGAAUAGGCGCUCUCCCAUAGCAAGAGGGAGCUCGACGUAGUCGGUCUUUCGACAGUCACAGUAAUUGAGAGAAGCAGCUGCCCGGGAGAGGGAGGUAUCGGAUUAGGCACGAAGAGAGGAUUAGUCGAAUCGACUGUAAGAAGAGGCAUCCGUUCUUGUGGCAGUAGCAGUUGCAGAAGUUGAAUCGUCAGUGGCUGUUCUUGUUUAAGAAAUAGCUGCAGCUAUUCCCACCAAGGCCUGACGAUAGGCUGAUUUCAGGAUUUCCUAUCCAUCCUCAAAUUCUUUGAGCCUUUGUUACAAGAAAAUACUCUUUAGUGACUCAAGAAUACCCUGUCUUAUGGCACCUCUCAUCUGGAGCCUUUGUUUUUAAACAAGUCAAAUUCUCUAAUGGAUAGCCUGAAUUCAUGAAUAUUGAAUUGAACCUACUAAAAUCAAAGGAAUAAAGAAAGAGCUCAAAAGGAGUCAAAAUGAGAAGUCCGAAACCUCAUCACCUACUCCCGGAGGCAAGGUGAAAUUCAAUAUGACGAAGUCUUAUAGUUGGGUCUCAUCCCCCCAUAAUCAAGUAGCAUCCACUAAAAAGAGCGGAGCGCGGAAGGACGAGGCGCAAUUGAAAUAUGCCUGAAUGAAUCUACCCUUUUUAGAUUCGACUACUCCGCUACGUGGGCUUACUAGUAAUGCUGAAGUUUCCUCCUUUUCUAGCUUUCUUUCUAAUGCCCUUCUUUAUGGUCAAGUGUAUGGUCACUUCCCCGAGGCGCGGAUCCCACUACACGGGAAUAUAUUAUGAUAUAAUGAACUAUCUUCUUUCUAAUAGCUGGUUUCAACAGCCACCGGGGAGGAGACAAGAACUCAAUCUACUGAAACAAGGUUUCAACCACAGCGAGAGCAUACCUCAAAAAAAUAAGGAAGAAAAAGAUAAAGGCGCGAAGCAAAGCCUAUGAAGUCAUAAGGGCAAGGGCUUUCCGUGAACUUUCUUAUGAUGGGAAAUCCUUGUUUCAUUUGCGAGACACAUUUCAUUCGUAGAAAUACCACUUCCUACUUCCUCAUCCCGACAAUAAAGAAAGCACUACGCGGGACAAAGUAGAUUCCCAAACUAAAAGGAAAGACUAAAAUCAAAGCUCCAGAUGAGUUGAAUUGAGGUGCAAUGAAAUAUGCCUUUCAGCAGUGUGCGAAUUCGCUCUUUCGGCUGAUAACCUUUCGAUCCAGAAAGCACUACGCGGAAGUUCCCCACUACGCGGCGCGAAGCGACUGCCCACUUUUUGAAAAGAAAUAAAGAGCGCAGAACAAGGUUCAGUUAAGCUUGAUAAAUCAGUCCUUCGCCUAAGAAUAAGGUUCAAAGAAUAUUGAACUCAUGAAAUCAAUAUCCCUGUCUUAUGGGGCCUUCGUAGCUUAAUAAUGGGGAUCUGGUUCAAUUAUAAGGCUCAAAGAAGAUUGAGAAAGAAUAUUGCAAAAUCAAGGCGGCAAAGAAAAGGUGAAUAUGGAUUCGUACGAUUAGACUUGACUGAGAAUGGAAUUGCUUUAGCUAUCUUUUUUUUCCGUCUUUCAAGGUGGAAGCUAAAUCAGAAUAGUUUCUAGUUGAAGGCAAGCAAGCUAGGGUUGGUUCGUAUUGACAAAGAGCUGGACUUCUAAACUUUCAAUGGGUACUGGAGUACUACUUUGUCAAUCGAUGCUUAAUACUAUCUUUACGCAAAUAAAGGCCGAAGAAUGAGGCUAAGUCUUCUAUUUAGUGGUCUCGCUUUGCACCUUGCUGAUCUCAUUUCAAAAAUGCUUCGCCUGCCUCUUCUUGGAUUCCGUGCACGAGUAAGUACCCGUAAAUCGUAAAGAAAGAGGGGGGGUAGUUACCUGCUCUUUCAUCGAGAUUGGCGAAUUACGGUAGAAGAUAGAAGAGGUUCGAGGAUCAAAGUAUUUGAGCUUUGCUAUUACUUUCAUGCUCCUCUUAGAAGGAAGAUAAGCACGAUAAGCUGGCCUAUAUCAUUGCUUAAUUCAUGCUUUCUUCGUACUUCCGGAAAGAAAUCUCACUCAUUUCAUUCUAUCACAUAAUGAGAACUCUAGAAAAGAAAUUGCUUACUUCAUGCUUUCUUCGUAUUUAUUUCCAAUCCAUCUUUUGUCUAUGACGAUCGGUACGAAAGGAAGGCAUGCUCGCAGGGGAUUCUUAUUACUAAUAGAUGAUAAGAUAAUACGAGAAUGAAAGAGGUCGAGCGCCUCACCUCUGAGUCUGAUUGUUGGAGUAGUCUGAUGACUCCCACUGGUCGUCUUUCAACUCAUUAAAUCCCCUAUCUUUUAUGGCGGUCUUACCGGAAUAUCUACUUUAUAGAAUUCCUAUGAGACUAAGAAACAAACUGAGACCUCGUAGUCUUCCUGUUCCCGGUCGAUCCUAUGAUCGAUCUCAUACAAAGAUCUCAUCUCAUCGACUAAAAAGACUCUUUCUUCUUAGUUUGAGCUUGAGGCGCGUCCAACCCACUACGCGGUAAGCUUUUCCUCUUUUCCUCUCACUUCAAGACUCAAGACCUUACCCGCACCGAGUCAAUCCGAUCGCUACCUUUCCGGGUCGUAUUCUAGUAAUUAAUUUCAUUAAUAACUCAGAGCGGCGAUCUAAAUACUUCUUCAGCAAGAACUUCGAAGAAGGUAGAGGAACUGAAAUGGAUUCACUUCCGCAGGCAGCAUCCCUUUCAACGACGACUCCCCGAGAGACCCGCUUCAAACUUCCGAUUUAGAAAGAAGGUAUCUCAGUCUCUUACCGCGUAGUGGGCUGAUCGUGAGAGAUGGAAUCUUCAACCUCUUAUGGAAAUGUGUCCAGCGGAAGUAUUUACGUAAGAAAUUGAGAACCAGGCGAGAGGAGAGGGGUGAGGAUCGAGCGCAUUCCCUAUCGAUCAGCAUCCUCAACUCUACUUCAGAGCUAGAAAGGUUUCGGAAUUCAGAGGCAAGAGCAUUCCUUCCUCUUCUUUAGUCAAGUCAUUUCAUUCCAUUUCUCACUAGGUCUAUAGAAAUAGUUCAUGGCCACUAGGUCUCGUCAUAUUUUUUCUCAAGAGAUGAGAAGAAAGUUCCUAAUAGAAUAUGUUUGAAUAUCUCAACUAGAAAGUCUCGGAUUAACUCUUCCCAUAGCGUAGCCGCGGCGGAAAAGGAAGAUUUUCAACAGUCAAGAGAUCAAUCAGAAGGGAGCGGAAGAAUGGAUAUUGUCUUCGAUCUUGCGAUAAAAUGAGUGAGACCAUAUGCGAUCUGUCUCAAACAGAGAAUUAGUAAUCUGAGUCGCAGGGAAUAGGUUGAAUAGUCCGGAGGACGGGGAGAAGAAAAGAGAGGUUCCGAGGUUCAAAGAAUAUUGGACAAAGAAUAUUUCAUGAAUUGAGGUGCGGUAGUCCGUCCGAAGGACUAUGAAAUCCAUUAGUUUUCGUUUGCACUCCUUUCUUCUUUUCUUAGAUAUUCUGGGAUUGAACUCCGUCUGAAAUCUAGCAGAUUCAUUUUUAGCUUCUUUCAUUCUCGUUAAUGAGCACUUGAACUGUCUUUCUCAGGCGCAAAAAAUAUUGCCGAGAAGAGCAAAGAAGGAAUGGCGAUCAGAAUUGAGUCCUUUCAUACUUUCGUUGAGGAGGAGGAGUUUUUUCUUGUAUCAUAUUAGGAUAUUUUAGUAGAAUAAGAAGAAGAAGAAGAUAAGUACGUAGCGGGCUUUUCUUAUGGCGGAGCGGAGGAGUCCGACUAUCCACUGAAGAAAGUAGGAAAGCCUAAGGAACCUAAAAAGGGCUAAUAGGGGAAGGAAGAAAGCCUAUCCCUCCAGAAUCUUUGAGGACCGAAGGACUUCUUUAUAUCCCUAUUUAUUUAUUUAUGGGACUCCCAGAAAGGUUUAGUUCCAUAAAUCAGUCGGCUAAUAUAUAGGAUGAAAGUAGAUAGAGAGGAAAAGAAAAAAGUCGUCACUCUUAAGGAGUGCAAGAAGGAAUCUUUGAACCUUUUAUCCUGAUCUCUCUCAUUCUACAACUCAGUCGAGCCACUAUUCAACCUUCUUUUCGAGGGGACAUCAUGUCCUCUUAUCUUAAUCCCAUAAAUCAUUUAAGGCGAUACUGAAAGAAGAAAUCCAGCAACUUAAUCCGGUAGAGUCAAUUCGAGACUAAGACGAGUUGGGGUUUCGACCAUAGGCUUUCCUUCCAAACCUACUAUACUAAACCUACCCCCGGACUCAAGGCGCGAAGUGAAGCGGCUGCCCACUUUUUAGAAAUAAAGAGCUGAGAUAAUUCUUUUCACUCAUUGAGGUCGGCUAAAUUCAAUGGAUAAAGAAGUCCUUUGCUUCAUUCUAUAUGUCCUUAUCAAUGAGACCAUUAAUCAGUCCGAAGGACUAUCCAAAGAAAAGAAUAUCCCUGUCUUAUGGGGCCUCCGUAGCUUAAUAUGGAGCGCUCCGGACGAGUCUUAACUAAUAUUCCCAAUCAAAGAAUUAUCGAAAGAAUGAUCGACGAGUCUUAUUCCACUAAAAUAGUAGUCCUUCGGAGCAGUCUUAAUACUCCUAAAAUCAAAGCUCCAGAUGAGUUUCAUUCCACUAAAAGACGAAAGAAGGUAUCUCAGUUACCAAAGAGAAAGAGCUUCCACAAACCACUUCCACAUAAACUUCUGCUAAGUCUACUUCUGUUAUUGAUUCAACUUAGCCUUUAAUCAGAUUAGGACCUAGCUAGCCAACCUUAUUCCUUCCUCUUCCUUACUUUGUUCUCGCUUGCUUCGGCAACACAUCUUUGGAUACUGGAUAAGCUGCAAGAGAAAGACUUCUUCCGAUCGAUCAGCUACCCGAUUCCUCCUUCCCCGAUGAUAAGGUUAGCAGGCCCGAUCCUCUCCUAUUGAAAAAGAAAGCAGAAAUCUUUCAGUCCAGAGUAUUUAUCCGUAGCCCGGAGGAUUUAUCCGUAGGACCAUCUGUAAUUAACCGAAGUAGUCUGCAGUCUGAAGUCCGCAGGAUUUAUCCGGAGGACUAUCCAUUAGAAGUAGGACCAUCCAUAUGGAAGGAAGUAGUCCAGAAUCCGCAGUCCGCAGGAUUUAUCCGUAGGACUAUCCAUUUUCAGUCGGACUAUCCAUAUGGAAGGGAGCGAAAUCUAGCUAUGAGGACUCUUUGAGCUCUUCUUUGAGUCAGUGGCUGCCCUUCCAGAAGGAGCAGCGAAGUCCGCGGUUUCAGAGGUUUAUGUAGCAGUUCUUCUUUAAUAAGAUGCUUACUUUCUUUCGGGUAGAAAGGUUCACUCGUGAACGCACUACUACAGAAAUUGGUUUACUUGACGUUAAUACAAUGUCAAGUAAAUGUAUACUUGACGUUUUUAAAAGCGUCAAGUAUUCGACUGUCAAGUAUAGUUACAUUACUUGACACUAAAAAACUGUCAAGUAUACGUUUACUUAACACUGUAUUAACAUCAAGUAAUCGACUGUCAAGUAUAGUCACAUUACUUGACACUAAAAUAUUGUCAAGUAUACAUUUACUUGAGACUGUAUUAACGUCAAGUAUUAUAUCAUACUUGAUGUUUAUUACGUGUCAAGUAAGAUCAUACACAUGACGCCUUUUACAUGUCAAGUAAAGUCGUAUACUUGUCAAUUUUUGCACUUCAAGUAAGAUUGUAUACUUGACACUAUGUAUCCGUCAACUAAGAUGAUAUACUUGACACUAUUUAUCCGUUAAGUAAAAUAGUAUAUUUGAUUCUAAGAUAGUAUACUUGACAUGUAUCUAACGUCAUGUAUACCAUUUAUUAAUAUAUUAAAUAUAUAAAAAAUUUCAUUUCCUGUUUUCUGUAUUACGUACAUUCAUUUCAAUAAAACAUAUUCAUCGACAAAAUAAACUCUCCAACUAGUAGUUACACAAAAAAUAAUUUAGUAUAAGUAAACCAACAAUAAUUUUAUUACUCUCAACAACAUCGUCAACAAUUACACAAUUCCAAUCCAAUAUAGUCAACUAAAAUUUCCUAUAUGUGGCCUAUUCCAAAAUCAACAAAAUAAUUAUCUUAUAUAACCAAAAACAUGUGUGGUAUACCAAAACUAAAAUCUAUCCCUUUACAUCUAUUGCAUGUACAUAAGCAUAAUAGCUAUGAACGAAACAUUUACAAAAAAAAAAAAAAAAAGUUAUGGGCAUUCCCAUAUAUUAGUCAUUCACAAAAUUAAUAAGAUCACAUCUAAGGAUGUCUAUCAUAUGUACAAAGCUAAAAAUUUAGCCCACUCCGCUCAUACUUCAUCCAAUUCAAGCUGUGAGUAGAAACUCUUGUAUCAGUCUAUAAAACAUAAAAAAUCAAGUAGACAUUUGUUAAAAAUAAAAAUUAAUCAGAUAAGUAACUUAUUUCCAUCAUAAAAAAAUAAUCCCCUUGUAAAAAAUUCUACAUUGUAAGGAGGAUAUUGUAAACCUAAACAUGAAUAUUUAAACCUAUAUGAAACUAAGUACAAACAUAAAUUAGAAAACCUACACUAAAUAAAUAUUGUUAAUGCUCAAAAACAGUUAAAAAUUAACUUAAAGAAUACCGUAUAACUUAAGCAAGUUUCCCAGAUCAUAAUACACAAGAGUACCUAUUCAACUGAGUUAAGUGCUUCAACACCUCCCCGCAUCUGCAAAGAAAAACAUUACAAGAGUAAAGGGAGAGACAAAAAAACGAACUUCCUUUGAUCUUCUUACAACAUUCACAUUUAUCAAGCUCCACUAAAUCACUAAUAAACCAAGAGGACACUAUUGCUUACCUAUUUAUUGCAGAGAAUCUGGGUUCAAGACAAAAAGAACAAAAUAAUUAUACACCAAAUAUUUUGAAGAUUAUUGAAUAGAAAUGUGUAUAUUGUUCACGUGAAAAUUUCACCUACCAUUCUGCAAAUCAAAACAAAUUCUUUGAAUGAAACCAAAUCAUCGAUGAACUCUCACCACCCUGAAUAAAAAACCAACGAAAUCAAUCAAAGAAAACAAAUACAUUGAACUCAAAAAACAAAAAAGAAAAACUCUCAUCCUCUAACAUUCAGUAGUGAACGAAAAAGGGAAGAAAAUCAGAGGGGGGCGGCUUUUCGGUGAGAAGAAAAUCAGAAGGGGGCGUGUCCAGUGAGGAGAAGGGAGAUCGAGAAGAACUCCAGUGGUGAAGAAAUUCGGUGGGGGCCAUUCCACGUGAAGAAAAUCAAAGGGGAAGGGGGCUUUUCGGUGAGAAGAAAAUCGGAAGGGAAGGGGGACACGUUCGGUGAGAAGAGGGGGGCGAGAAAAGAAAUUUGGUGGAGGGUCGUCUGACGUGAAGAAAAUAAGAGGGGGCUUUUUAGUGUGAAAAAAAUCGGAAGGUUGCGUGUGAUAAGGGAAGAGAGGCAGCAUGUGAGAGAAAAUAGGAAAAAGGAGGGAAAAUGAAAAGAGGGAAAGGGUUGGGGAAAAAAAUUUGGGAAAUAAGUUAGGUUUUUUUAGAAAUAGAGAAAAAUGGAAAAUUUAGAGAAAAAAAGAGAAAAAAGUUUUAGAACUUUAGGAUGAAAAAAAUAAUUGGAAAAAAAAGGGAAAAGUUUUUUUUUUUUUUUAGAAAAUAGAGAAAAUAUAUAUUACUUUUGAUAUUUUAAUAAGUUUAUUGUAAUAAUUUUAUUUUAAUUAAUUAUUUAAUGAAAGGAGGGAAAUAAAAAGUAUUUUAUAUUUUUAUACUUGAUAAAAUAAAAAUGUUAACUAUACUUGACGUUAUUUCUGCAUCAAGUAAACAUUAACUAUGUUUGACGUGAAAAAAAUGUCAAGUAAAAGUUGAACUAUACUUGACACUAAAACACCGUCAAGUAAAUUCGACACUAUACUUGACAUGGAAAAAAUAUGAAGUAAAAGCUAAUGUAAGAUAAUUAAAAAAUUUCAUGAAAAUUUUGCUUUCUUUAAACUAUACUUGAUGUUUUGUUCGUGUCAAGUAAAAGUUCAUUAUACUUAGCGCAAAUAAAACGUUAAGUAAAAUCUCCCUUAUACUUAACGAGAAAAAAACGUCAAAUAAAAGCUAACUUAAAAUAGUUUGAAAAAUUUCGUAAAACUCCACUUUUUAAAAACUAUACUUGACGUUUUUUCUUUAAAAUGGUCAAUACUUGACAUUUUUUUAAUAAAAACGUCAAGUAUGUAAAAGUACCUAGUGUCAAGUAAAGUAGAUUUUGUAGCAGUGACGGUACACCUCUUAUAUGAUGCCUGGGGACUUUGUCCCUUCUUCUACGGAUUUCUCUUAUAUGAUCUUAUUCAUCUCCGUAUCGUUCAUAUAUUCAUUCUAUAAAAUCCCUAGCUGCCACAGAUGGUCGAACUUGCCUCUUAAGUGGCGUGGGUCGAUCCUCUUGUUGACUUUUACCUAGGAGUGGGGGGAAGAAGUUCGAGAAUAAUUUCUCUUCUUUCCCUGUCCCAGUUCUUCUUUCCACUUCUACUUAAGUCACCACGACUGAUACAGAUGCAAGAACAUCAGGGCGAGCAGGGAAGAGGCGGAGGGAGUUUGCACUUUUUCAUGCGGGUUUGAGUGAGACUGAUGCGCCCUAGGUCAAGCCAUUGCUUCGUCUUGUUCAUCACAUUCAUUAUGUUCACAAUUCCGGAAUCAAAGUAGAAAUACGAGAAAGCGCUCCAGCGGACUCUAAUUCAUUGGGAAUUCUAUCUUCCCGCCUCAAUGAACAAGGUGAAAAGAAUAUUAAAUGAAUCAUUGAGUUAAGGCGGUGGAACCUAGGAGUGGGACCGGGAACAUGAUAGGCUUCAAUCUAAGAAGUGAAUAUAGUAUUGAAAGAGGCCCACGGAGCGAUGUCCGACUAUCCUACUAUCGAAGCCUUGAAGCAUGAGUCUUGAGGUUUUCAAAGUCUACUCAGAGGACGAGGUUGAAGUUUCAUAGGGAAAGGUUUCAUAACAAGCAGUUGUUUUCCGUAUCGAAUGCUCUUUCAUUCCUUAUUCGAAAGAAGGCAAAGAAAGUGGAAACUAAAUCCUUGGAUUCUUUCCCGCUUGAACCAUGAAAGGUUAGGCCUUAGUUACGAUCUCAUUCAAUGCCCUAGCAUACUCAAAGGUUCGGGGCGUAGUGGAUGGAGCUAGAAGACUACUACUUGGACGAGGGAUUUCCUUUCUCUUAUUGUAAUACUCCUAACCACCCCUUUUUGAAUGGGCAGGCCCCUCUGGUCGAGUUUACCCUUUUUAUUCAGGCCUAUCUGCCUCCGUUCAUGAAGGACAAAAUCGGAUUGAGCCCUUGUUCAUUGAGGCGUAUAAGCCCACGUAGCGGUGCCAUAAGACAGGUCUGAAGGCGUCACAGGUCCGGAGGACCCGUCUGUCCGAAGGACGAGAUAUUUAUAAUGUUGAGAGAAAGAUUAGACUUUGUCAGGACCCUUAUUUCCGUUAUUUUUCACUUUCAAUAUUCUUAAGAAUAUUCAUUCAUCCGACAGAGCAAAGUUCAUCCAGAUCCCCAUAUGAAUUAGGCGAAGGACUGAUUUUCAAAGUCAGAGCUAUCCCUCAAAUUCUUUGAGCCUCUGCACUCAAAUUCUCUAAUGGAUAGUCCUUCAGACCGCUAGGAGUAAAGAAUAUUGUGUGGAACUGAACUAAUAUGGAAAAAGCAUUUCCUAUUGAUUUCUCCCCUGGACUGGACCUAUUCUGAUUCUGAAUUAUCCGUCGCUACGUUGUUCCCAUGGACUAGCAAAAUCGAAAUAGCGAAAUUCUUGGGUCAUCUCAAUGGGUUCAGAAACCACACGUUUCUCUGGAUCAUCAUAGCGUACUUCCACAUAUCCACUCAGAGGAAGGUCUUUUGUAAUGGAUGACCCUCGAAACCAUAAUAUGUUGAUAUACGGCGUAGAUCCGGAUGAUUGAUGGAAGAAACACCAAACAUAUCCCAAACUUCUCGCUCCCACGGCCGGCUGAUGGAAAUAGACUGACUACCGGAGAGAUUCGUGUUACUUCGUCUGCACUGGUUUGUACACGAAUGCGUGAGUUAUACCGAGUACUCAGUAAAUUAUAGACCACUUCAAAUCUGAGUUUUCUAUAUAUAUUUAUAUUGAUGUUAAUAUGUUACCUUGUAAUUGGAAUGGUGAUUUGAAUAAUCUAAUAGGAUUAUGUGUUUGGAUCAAAAUAUGUUGCAAGAGAAAUAGCUAAAUGUGUGGAUUUAGUGACAAAGAGGGUAUUCAUGUGUUUAUUUUAGUUUUCUCAGUGAGGACUCGAUUUUUAGAAGAAACGACCACUGUUCGAAUCAUUCAAAACUUUGUUCCGAACAAAAAUUUUGGACUUUGUCAUUGUCCUCUUCGUCGAAUGUGACAAACUUGAAGACAACGAUGAAACAUUGAAAGAUUACUUGGAUCGAAAAUGUCCUGUGGGGUUGAAAGAUACCAUAGCCGCUAGCAAGAACUGUUGCUUGGUUUUCAAUAACAAAACCGAUAAUGAAACAAAGAAGAUUGAAUAAGUGGAUAAACUUAUAAAGAUGGUGCAUGAAGUUGUACAACAAAAUGAAGGAAAAGCAUACACUCAUGGCUUGUUUUCUAAUGUCAAGUUUGAGACCAAGUUGCAAGAUGAUGUGAAAACCAAGCUUGAACACACAAUUACAGUUCAAAACACAAGCAAAAUUUAAAGCAUAACAAGGAGCACAAGAACUUCAACAACAAUCUAUUGAUCAAAUUCGAGUCCUCAAAGACCAUCUAUGCAUCAAGACUUGAAAGGUCACUGUCACUACCAAUGCUUCCACAAAUUAUUCGUCAUGGUCGCUGCAUGAGAAAAGGUUGCAUUAUUGUAUGACUUUACUGUGCAUGCAUUCAAUAAAUAUGUACAAGUAAUUAGUAUAAUGAAUAUAUACUAAAUAAAAAUAUGAAAAAACUGUGAAAAAAAACUUAUUUGAUUAACUGCUAUAAAAAUUAAUAUUUGAAAAUUGGCAUGUGUUCUCGAAACUAAUAAAAGCAAGUUUGGAAAUGCCUUUAUUUUGUCUUUGUUGAGUGUAGUGUAAAUUGGCAAAUAUAGAAUGCUUAAUUAUGUUGUUAAUUAAUAGAAAAUUAUUUUAGAAGUUUUGAUGAAUGUCCAACUACAUGUGGAAAGAAUUAUAAAGGAUUGAAAAAUGAUUCUAUAAUCUAGCCCAAACAAGAGGUGGGUUAUUAUAGCUCACUUCACUUCUAUUUAGUUUGGGACCCAAAUAGCCUCUUAAAAUUAGGUUAACUCCAUAACUAAUAAGGGUCUUUAACUCAUAUAGUCUAAAUGCUAUAUGAUAUUACAUGAAUGAUCCAAAUUACUAAUAAAUUUCAUAAAAGUCCUAAAUGGACUAGUAUAUUACAUAAAUGUAGGCUCAAAUUACUUUAAUACCAAUUUAUAUUAUUUAAUUGAUUUAUAACAAAUAUCUAAAUGAAAAAAACCGUGGGAUAUAGUUUUGGAAAGAAGUGGGGUCCAAAUUAAUUUAAUAUCAACUUCUAUUAUUUAAUUUAAUUGAUUUAUAACAAAUAUCUAAAUGGAAAAAAUGGUGGAACACCGUUUUGGAAAUAAGUGGGGUCCAAAAUAAUUUAAUACAAAUUUUUAUUAUUUAAUUGAUUUAUAACAAAUAUCUAAAUGGAAAAAAUAAAGAGAUACAGUUUUGGAAAGAAGUGAAAAACUUUUCAUGCUUUCCUACCACGAAAAUGGUUGUCUACUCCUUUCAACGUGGAUUACGAUUUUUACUUCAAAAUUUUAGAGAGUUCGGAGGUGAAGAAGAAGACAGUCGACGACCGACAAAUACAAAACUUCUCGAACAUAAUCUAGUUAAAAACUUUGAAGUUAGUAUUGUAUAUAUUCAACACAUAUGAAACAUUAGAUAUAUUAUGUAUAUUUUAGAUAUUCAAUUAAAUAGUCAAUCAAAUGAAAAUGUAGUUUUGAAUGUGAUACAUUUUAGGGUUUAUUGAGAUUUCGGCGGUGAAGAAGAAAACUUUUGAUGGCCAAAAAAUACAAAACUUAUCCGACAGAAUCUAGCUAGAAAAUUUGUGCUUAAUAUUAUAUAUAUUCAAAACAAAUGAUUAGAAACAUUUAGUAUAUUAGGUAUAUUUUAAAUAUUCGAUUAAAUAGACAAACAAAUGAAAAUAUAUGAAACAUUUGGUAUAUUAGGUAUAUUUUAAAUAUUUGAUUAAAUAGACAAACAAAUGAAAAAUUAGUUUUGAAUGUGAUACAUUCUAGAGUUUAUUAAGAAUUCAACGUUGAAAAAGAACGGUCAUCCUAUCAAAAAAAUAAUAGAACUAUAUAUAUAAUAUGAGGUAUAUAUAUAUAAACAUAGAACAUAACUAUUAUAGAUUACGGAUAUAUUAAAGUAUAAUGUAAUCAAAUACAUUUAUAAAGGAAAAAUAUGUAUGUAUGAUCAUGUCGUUUACUACCGUUUUAGUAAUAUUUAUUCUACAAACACAAAUUAUGUAGGAAUUAUGUAUAAGGUAUUAUUGUAUAUAAUAUGAGGUAUAUAUAUACUAAAUAACAUAUAUGAAUUAAAGUGUAUAUUUUAUUAGUGAAAGGUUCUUAUAUCAAUUUGUUUAUGAUUUUUAUUUAAAUAUUCAUAUAUUAUGUAGUAAAUAAUACGUUAUGUUUGAAAUAAUAUUGAUUAUGUAUUAAAGUUGCCCAUUAGACAGUUUUUUAAUAAAAUAUACCUAUUAUAUUAAUAUAGAAAAUGGGAGGAAAUCGUGCAACAUUAAAAUAGGAAACUUCUUUACCAUUUUCUCACUUUCCAUAUUCAACGAAAAGCUUGCCAUUUCGACAGUCAAUGACAUAUACAACAUAUUAUAUAAUGCGAUAAUAUUAUAAAACUAGUAUAAUCAUAAAUAAGAUGUGAUAUAUAUUUAAGGGAAAUAUUAAAAAACUGAUAAAUUCAUAAUAGAAUAACGUUAAAAUAAGGAGAAUAUUGUUAAUAUAUAAUAUAUAUACGCAUAUGAUAUACUCAUAAUGAACUAAUUUUAAAUGGGUAAAAUAACAAAUGACAUAUUUAUGUUAUUCUUCAUAUAAAACAUCAACUAAAAGUAUUAUAUCUCACGGUUAAUAUAUAAAACUAUUAUAAAUGUAAACAAGAUGUGAUAUAUAUAUAUAUAUAAUAAAUCACAUAUACAACCUAUUAUAUCAUCCGAUAAUAUUCUAAAAUUAGUAUAAUCAUAAAUAGUAUGUGAUAUAUGUUUAAAGGGAAUAUUAAAAAACUGGUAAAAUCAAAAUAGAAUAACAUUAAAAUAAGAGGAAUAUUGUUAAUAUAUACUAUAUAUACGCAUAUGAUAUACUCAGAAUGAACUAAUUUUAAAUGGGCAAAAUAACAAAUGACUGUGGAUUUUAUCUUAUCUUCAGGUGAUGGACAAUUGUAUAUGACGGCGAUUUGUUAAGAUUCUGCAGCUUACGGUUAUGAUAAAUUUGAAUACAAAUUUAUAAAACAAUGUAAUAAGAAGUUCAAAUGAUGGAGAAGAAUAGCAAAAAAAAGCUGUCGGCGAUGGAGAAGAUAAUGUAAUGGCUGCCAGAGAGAGUGAACAAUUAGGUUAAGUUAUAUUUUUAGAAAGAAUAAUUAAAUAGUUUAUUACAAAAUAAAGUAAAAUUACAAUUAUUAUAAUAUAUUCUGAUUUAUAAUUAAUUUAAAAGAUACUUGAAAUUAUUAACAUAUUAAGGUCUUUUGUUUAAAAGUUUCAACUAAUAAUAAUGAUAGUUCUCAUUAACCAAUUGACAAAUGAUUGAUAUUGUCAAAUAAUCGAUAUUGUCAAAUGAUCGAUAUGUGCAAGUGCACAUUUCAAUUAUAAUAUAGUAAAACGUUCUUAGAGAUCGAGCUAGUAUCCUUUUAAGAGGGAUCAAAUUAACAAAUUAAUUUAUUGAUUUUAGGAUUAGAUGUGUUUUAAGGAUAAAAACAAUGAUUAGAAACUAAUAAAAGAUCCCUAAAAGACAAAUAUGAAAUCUCAAAGAAUAAAAAAUGCUCCAAAAUUGUAUUUGAUUUCACUGUUCAAUCCAUAAAAUCAUGAUGUGUAUAGGUUAUAUGAAAACUAGUGUCAGUAUGUGUUCAGCUCAAGUUGUUGACUUUUGAAAAAAAUAUCUUUCCAUUCAAACAUAUACAUAGUUUGGUUGGUAGUUUUUCUUCAAAAUUAUUAUUUUGAGAAAACAAAUACAAUUUCUUUUUUAGGUAAUCCAAUAUCCUCGAGUAUAUUUAAAUAUGGAAAUAUUAUUUCCAUAUUAGAAGAGAUACUAAAAGAUCUUAUUAUAACAUCAUUAGAGUCCCAUCAUUUUCUCUAAAUAUCUCUUUUGUGGUGAAAGAUUUGGAAUUGCACAUCAAUCAUUUUGGAAUGGGUAAUUGAUCACCCUAUUUUUCAAAAAAUAAGAAAGAUAAAAAAUAGUUAUUUUUUUUAAAGAUAUAUUUGAAAGUGUUGAGUUUAUGGAAGGUAUUAGUACUUAUACAACCACAAACAUUUGAUUUUUGUUAUCUAAAUUAUUUUAAUAAAAAUGUUUUUUUUUUUUUGAAGUUUAUGCUUAUUAAAAAUGCUUAUUUAAAAAAUGUUAAUGAAAUUUUAAAAAAUAAAAUCUAAUUAAACACUUCUGAGAUAGAGAGGUUUCCCUUGACUACCCGAGCGUAGAUAAACACUUCUGAGAUUUGGUUGGUAAUCCCAAGUUCGUGUGCAGUUGAUUAUUUUUUAAAUUUUGUAUAGUUGAAUAAUAUUUGAAUUUUAAAUUUUCAUCUAUGUGAUAUUUACUCAUUUCAAACUUUUUGAAUAUGCAUGUUUAUUUAUUAUUCUGCCGUCUCUCUAUUGUAUUUUAAAAUUUAGAAUAUGUGUAUUUAUAUUAUUUGAAAUUGAAAAUUUAACUUUUGCUCUUACAGUAGGCUUUAACUCUUUGUUUGUCCGUGUUGUAGGUGAGAGAGAAGGAAAAGUUCCAUUGUUUGAUUGAAUUGGAAUUGUUUCGUGCAUGGGGUGUCAUACAUAAUUCCACUUAUUACUAGUUGAAGGUCUUCUUUGCCUCUGUCUUCUUCCCCAUCUCCCCAAGUUGUUCUAACCUUUUUAUAUCUACCUAUUACAUGUCAAAAGGUUGUUUCGCUCUUCAAUGUUUUGAAACAAGUUCAUUAUGAAAAUCUCUCACAAGCAAACGUCAUGUGCAUUAUGAAUAAUUUCAUCUCAAAAAAAUUGUUUGAGAGGUUUCAAAAGUGUAUCGAAACUAAUAAUUUUAAUGAAUAAAAAAAUAAUUCUUCGUUAGAUUCUUACAUUUUAUUUCAACGAAUAAAAUUUAGGAAAAUUUUUAAAAAUAGCAAAUUUUACAAAAAUAUUUACAAUUUAUAACAAAUUUAUAGUCAUUGAUAUGCUAUAACGAUAGUUACUAGUAAAUAUUUUAAUUUAUUUUGUUAUUUUUAAAAAUGCUCAUAAAAUAUUAUAGUGAGGGAACAAUGAUGAAUCACAUAGUUUUCUUGUGGUGAUGUCGCUUUUUAUCCCUCUUUACAUUCUAAAAUCUCAAAUACAAAUCAUAAAACAAGUAGAUAUACAUUCAAUUAACAUGAUUUUGAUUCUAAUAAAUUAGAAAGACAAAAAUAACUAACUAAUUAUGGAAAAGUAAUAUUUUAACAUGAAUUAUUGAUUUUUAAUUAGAGGUAAUUUUAAAAUAAAUAAAAUAAAAGAAAAUAUUACAAAUCAAAUCUAAACUAACUUUGAUUUUACUUCUUUAAUUGCAAUAUAACAUAGAUACAUUGGCUAUGAAGUGCAAUUUCUUAUAUUAUAAUAUUUAAAAGAUUUAAAUUUAAAAAUAAAAAUAAGUAAUCUCAAGUCCAAUAUUGGACCUGUGGGGCUUAGCCCAUCAAUUUAAAAAUUCAAAAUGCACACUCAACGGUCACAUUUUCCUAGGAUCAUCCUAUUUAAUGCCCUUCUACUUGUCAACUCCAUCGAAAUCCUUCAUUUCUUGUGGCACCGUCUAAAAUUUGCUUCGAUUGAAGAAAUUUUGACGCCCAUGACAGCGUUGAAAUUUCUUCAAUGCAAACAAAUUUUUUAUCUUCCUUUCAUCGAGGAUUUUCAUACCAUGUGAAGGAGAGAUCAGUUCCAUCAGUUCCAAGUCGUUCGUGAGUCAUCUUCUUUCCUGUGUAGUUUCAUCUCUUGAUUUUGGAUUGCUUGUUCAAGAUUUAUUUUCGAAUUUUGGAUUGUUUGCUAUUCGGAUAGGCAGAAGGUUUGCACGAUGAUAGAUCUGGAGUACCUGAAUCGUUUAUUGAUUCUGUAGUUUAAUCUUAUGAUUUUGGUGAUUUCGAAGCGUACAAUAUAAUCGUACUGUGUUAUGAAGUAAAUAAGAUUUUGUAGGGUUUUUGAAAGUUAAUUUAGAUAUUUCCUGCAUUUUAGUCUUGAUAGAUCUGGGUACCUGAACCGUUCAGGUUUGCAUGCUGUGAUUGUGUUGUUCUUUUUUGAUUUUGGAGAGAGUCCUUGGGUAAUUUUGAGGAUUGUUCUUUUUUUAGUUUUUUUUUGCAUGCAUUCAAACACACGCAUGGUUUUUAAACUGGGGUUCUUGAAUAUUUGUUGGUUUUCUCGAAUAUUUGCCGGUUUUUUUUUCUCAGAAGAAUUGAUCUUAUAUUUGUGUAUCUCUCUGUGCAACUUUAAUAUAAAGUUAUUAAGGAAGAAGAGAAAGGAGGAAGAAGGGAGAGAGAAAAGGUAGAAACGACCUAAUAGUAGGCAUGAGUAUUAAGAUGCAGCAGAGCCACCACUUAGUGGCGCUAAGGUUUAAUGAGCAAAUUGACAGUAGAAAAGGGUCCACAUCCAUACCUAAGUUACUAUUGCUCUGGGUUCUGUUGGUGGCAUUCAUUAGUAUGUUAAACUACAAAGAAAUGGAUGGGUGGUGUUAACAAAGUUAGAAGAAAGUAAGUUCUGGGAAGUAUGUGUGACCAGACGACAAAGAUGCUUCUGCCUCAACUUAGUGUCAGUGUCAAACUAUGUCCAGGCUUUGGCCAUUCUCAUUUCAUUUCCAGUACUUCAAAAUCGUAUCAGCAAUUGAUCAGGAAAAUGUGUUUCGAUUUCUGUCUUUUAUUAGUCUCGGUUAGUUAGGCUUAAGAGUAAGGGAUAUAAUUCAUUUUUCUUGUUUCAGCUAGAAAUUACGUCGAUGUCUUGAUUUUUAGUUUUUUUAGGGCUGUUUGGUUGUUUUUUUAGGGGUGUUUGGUUAGUUAGGCCUAAGAAGUAAGGGCUAGUGAAAGAGAAGCAUUUGAUUGUCCUACAAGUAUCUGAAUCGCCAAUGAAAGCAGAGGUUAUUUCCUCUGAAUUUCCACGAAUUGUUCAGGUUUGGAUUCUGUGAUUGUGUUGUUCUGUUGUUCUCUUUUUUAUUUUGGAGUGUUCUAGGAAAUUUUGAGGUUUGUUAUUUUUUAGUUUUUUUGGCUUGCCUUUAAUCACGCUCGUUUGGGAAUAGACAGGCUUCAGAGAAUGAAUCUCCUUUUUAAGGGUUCGUUGGGAGCGAAGUGACCAUAUGGCAUCCCUUUCUGCACCUGCUCAGUCUCUCUCUUGCCUUUUUCAUACUACAUAUUUUUGUUUCUCAAUUUAGUGUCAGUGUCAACCAUGUCUAUGCUUUGGCCAUUCUCAUUUCCACUUUCCACUACUCUAAAAAUGUAUCUGCAAUUGAUCAGGUAAAAGUGUUUCAAUUCUCUGUCUUUGGUUCAUCUCCGUUAGUUAGUCUUAAGAGUAAGGGAGAUAAUUCGUUUUUCUUGUUUCCCUCCAUGUAUUGAUUUUUAGUUUUUUAGGGAUGCUUGGUUGGUUUGAAUGCACGAAACAUUUGCUGGUACACGAUUCAAACAGCUUGCCCAGUCAUGUUUUUCUAUUUUUUUUUAAUAUUUUGGAAUUUUGCAUGUGUGAUUUCUGUAUAUAUUAUUCUUGCCCUUUUCCUUUAUCAUCAUUUAUUUUGAUUUUGGAGAGGUCUCUUGGUUAUUUGUUAUUUGCACAUAUACAAGGGUUGAAAAUUUCAAUCCCACCUCUCUUUUAUAUUACAUUCAUUUAGUUUUGGCUGUUAUCUAAUUGAACUAUUUGAUCAUCAAAUAAUUGUGUUACCUUUUCUUCUAGAUGUUUAGAUUCAUUUUUCUCACUAUUUUAGUUUUCUUAAUGUGUGACAGUCUUUGUUUUUUAUUGAACUAUUGUGUGGCAGUCUUUAUUUAUUGGUUAUCUUUAGUUUCACUAUUGUUCUUUUUUUAAUGUUUUCUUAGUUUUUAAUAAGUGUGACAAAAUAUGAAUUAAUUUUUUUCUUUGAACAAAUGUGGAAUUUAUUUUCUUUUAAUGUAGUUGUGUCCCCAAUAAAUUUAUUUUGGCGAUUUAACAAUCCAUCAUGUUCUUUUUCAUUUUUCUGUUGUAUUUUCUUCGGUUCUUUGUUGUGGUAUGUCUAUUUUUGAGACAUUCUUAAUUUAGUUUUAUUUCUUUUAGCUUCCUGCAUCAUUUUGUAUUAUGGAUUGUUAUGAAAUUUUGAGAUUAUGCUUUAUUUUGUUUUUUGGUCCUUUGCUGUGAUGUCUUUUGAUUAUUUCUUUUGAGUGAACAGUUCAUGUAAGAUUUUCUGCAUGAGAAUAAAUUGAUUAUUUAAUUUGGUCAAAGAAGUUCAAAAUUUACAUGUGAAAUUUACACUCAGUGGCUGUAAGGUUUAAUGAGAAAAUUGGAAGUAGAAAAGAGUCCACAUUAAUUCAUUCAGCCAAGAGGGCUUGGCAUCCUAAGUUUGCUCUGGGUUCUGUUGGUGGCAUUCAUCAAUAUGUUAAUCUAUUAGGGAAUGUAUGGUUAUAACAAAGUAAGAAGAAUGGAAGUUCUGGGGGAGUAUUUGUGACAAGAGGGCAAGGAUGCUUCUGCAUCAAUUUAGUGUUAGUCAAUCAUGUCUAUGCUUUGGCCCUUCUCAUUCCACUUUCCACUACUACAAAAAUGUAUCUGCAAUUGAUCAUGUAAAAGUGUUUCAAUUUUCUGUCUUAGGUUCAUCUCAGUUAGUUAGUCUUAAGAGUAAGGGAGAUAAUUCAUUUUUCUUGUUUCAGCUAGAUGUUACCCUCCAUGUCCUGAUUUUUAAUUUGGCUUCCUAAGUGUGCUCUAGGUUCUGUUGGUGCAUUCAUCAGUAUGUUAAUCUACAGGUGAAUCUAUAGUUAUAACAUAGUAAGAAGAAUGGAAGUUCUUGGGGAGUUUGUGUGACAAGAGGGCAAGGAUGCUUCUGCAUUAAUUUAGUAUCAGUGUCAACCAUGUUUAUGCUUUGGCCAUUCUCAUUUCCACUUUCCACUACUCCAAAAAUGUAUUAUCUGCAAUUGAUCAGGUGAAAGUGUUUCAAUUUUCUGUCUUUGGUUCAUCUCAGUUAGUUAGUCUUAAGAGUAAGGGAGAUAAUUCGUUUUUCUUGUUUCAGCUAGAUAUUACUCUCCAUGUCUUGAUUUUUAGUUUUUUAGGGGUGCUUGGUUGGUUUGAAUGCAGGAAACUUUUGCUGGUACACGAUUCAAACAGCUUUCCAUGUCAGGUUUUUCUAUUAUUUUUCUUUAAUAUUUUGGAACAUGUGUAAUUUCUGUAUAUAUUAUUCUUGCCGUUUUCCUUUUUCAUCAUUUAUUUUGAUUUUGGAGAGGGUCUCUUGGUAACUUGACUUUUCUUUUAGUUUUGACUGUUAUCUAAUUGAACUAUUUGAUUAUCAAAUAAUUGUGUUACUUUUUGUUCUAGAUGUUUAUAUUCAUUUUUCCCACUCUUUUAGUUUUGUUAAUGUGUGACAGUCUUUGUUUUUCAUUGAACUAUUGUGUGGCAGUCUUUAUUUAUUGGUUAUCUUUAGUUUCACUAUUGUUCUUUCUUUAAUGUUUUUCUUAGUUUUUAAUAAGUGUGACAAAAUAUGAAUUUAUCUUUUUCUUUGAACAAAUGUGGAAUUUAUUUUUCUUUUAAUGUAGUUGUGUCCCCAAUAAAUUUAUUUUGGCGAUUUAACAAUCCAUAAUGUUGUUUUUCAUUUUUCUGCUGUAUUUUCUUUGGUUCGUUGUUGUGCGAUGUCUAUUUUUGAGACAUUUUUAAUUUAGUUUUAUUUCUUUUAGCUUCCUGCAUCAUAUUGUAUUAUGGAUUUUUUCGAAAAUUUGAGUUUGAUCUUGUUUUCUGGUCCACUGCUGUGCAGUUUUUUUUUAUGAGAUAUUUUUAUUUAGAUUUAUUAUCUUUUAGCUUGUUUUGCAUUUUGCAUUAUAGAUUAUUUUUUAAAAUUUUGAGGUUGUUUUUUUUCUUUGAUCUUUUGUUGCGGUGACAAUUUUAAUUUAGAUUUAUUAUCUUUUAGCUUGCUUGCAUUAUGGAUUGUUAUGAAAUUUUGAGAUGAUGCUUUAUUUUGUUUUUUGGUCCUUUGCUGUGAUGUCUCUCUAUAAGACAUUUUUAAUUUAGGUUUAAUAACUUUUAGCUAGCUUGCAUUGUGGAUUGUUAUGAAAUUUUGAGUUUCUGCUUUCUUUUGAGUUUUGGUGAUGCCUUUUUACGAGACAUUUUUAAUUUAGGUUAAUUUUUUAGGUUGCUUGCAUUUAUGGAUUGUUCUGAAAUUUUGACUUUCUGCUUUUGUUUUUUAUGUCAUUUGUUGUGUGAUAUUCUCUUUAUAAGAUAGAGAUAUUUUUAAUUUAGGUUUACUAUUUUUUAGCCUGCUUGCAUUUGGUAUCAUAUAUGAAUUGUUCUGAAUUUUGAGUUUCUUCUUUUUCAGUCAUUUGUUUGCGAUAACUUUUUAUAAGACAGACAUUAAGAUUUAUUAUUUUUGGACUUGUUUGUAUUUUGUAUCACGGAUUGUGGUUUUUUAAAUUCAGAGGAGGAACUAGAAAUUGUUCUUGUGAUAUGUUAAAAUCUAGUUUACUGCAAAGAAUGAAUUCUAAAACAGAGGGUAUGAAUUCGUCAAUAAUUUUUCUCCAUUUCUGCGUUGAGCAAUGUUUAGCUGAUAUGUUUGUGUAUUCUUUACAUUAGUGCAGCACCACAUGCUAAUUUAGGUGUGAAAUGCUAAUUUAGAUGUGAAACACUUCCAAAGAUGACGAGAAAUCAAAGAUUGUCGUAGUAAAAAACCUCACCAGUUUUUCCUUUCAGGUUUUUCUUUUCUUUUUCUUUAAUAGUUUGGAAUUUUGCUGGUGUGAUUUCUGCUUUUCUCUUAUCAUUUAUUUUGAUUUUGGAGAGCAACUUUGGUAAUGUUAAGGUGAUUUAAGAAAAGUUGGUUGUCCAAGAAUCAAUAUUUUUAUAUUACCUUAAAUCUUCCUAAGACAUGUUGGGUCUUUCUUUGGCCUUUGUUAGUGUCUUCUAUUAAGUCUGUUAGUUUCACUUUAGUUGGGUCUUUUUUUAAUUUUAUUUUAUCUUUUAAAUUCCAAAUCCUACUCAUUUGGUCAUGACGAUUGAAUAAUCAUUGUUAAAUUUAUUUCUUGUUGGGAGUGUAGAUUUUAUUUUCUUUUUGGCCUUUGUUAUUUGCAUCUAUACAGGGGUUCGAAAAAUUCAAACCCUUCCCUCUUUUAUUCGACAUUCUUUUAUUUUUAUUAUGUACUAUUGGAUUGUUAAAAAAAUUGUGUUACUAUUUCUUACAUUCCAUAAAGAACCCUUUCUGAUGGAUUAUUUCUUAUUGAACUGUUUUAAAAUUUUGAGUUUCUUCUUUUUCUUUUUUGGGUCCAUUGUUGGGGGAUGUACAUCUUUAAUUUUUUUUUUUUUUUAUAAGAGAUGAUACAUCUUUAAUUUAGAUUUAUUAUCGUUAGCUUGUUUUGCAUUUUGUAUUAUGUUUUUUGAAAUUUUGAGUUUCUUCUUUUUCUUUCUUUGGUCAUGUGUUGUGCGAUGUUAUUUGCAUUAGGGGUGUUUGGUUGGUUGUUUUUUAGGGGUGUUUUGGUUAGUUAGGCUUAAGAAGCAAGGGCUAGUGAAAGAGAAGCAUUUGAUUGUCCUACAAGUAAUAAGCUUCUCCUCAAUCAUUCAACCAUUUUUUUAGUAAAGAAAGAGGCUUCUCCUUUGGCAACCAAAGUCCGUCCUUGGUCAAUAUAUAUCAAAAUAAAUAAGAUCCAUCUUUGGUAAUUUUUUAAAAAAUUAAAUCUAUAAAUACUCAUUUCAUCUCUAAAAUUAUGUGAUUUGUACUUUCUAAAAUUCCCUCGAUGGUACUAAUACACUCUUAUAUUUGUAUUGUAAUUAUCAUGUCCUUUUUCUAUGGUUUUUUAAAGUUAAUUUAGAUCCUUAUUCGCUCUAGGUAUAAGUUGAAUGGAAGAGUUUUUUAGCCUUGAUAGAUCUUGAGUACCUGAAUCGCCGAUGAAACAGAGGUUAUUUUCUCGGAAAUUCCACGAAUUGUUCAGGUUUGGAUUCUGUAAUUCUGUUGUUCUUUUUUUAUUUUGGAGAGUGUCCUGGGUAAUUUUGAGGAUAUUAUUUUUUGUUUUUUUUCGGCUUGCAUUUAAUCACGCGCGUUGGGGAAUAGACAGGCUUCGGAGAAUGAAUCACCUUUUUAAGGUUUCGCUGGGGAGCGAAUUGGCCAUAAGGCAUCCCUUUCUGUUCAGUCUCUCUCUUGCCUUUUUCAUACUAUAUGGUUGUUGAUAUGGGGUUAUUGAAUGAUUGUUGCUUUUAUUUUCAUAAGAAGUGAUCUUAUAUUUUUGUCUCUCUGUGCAACUUUAAUAUGAGGUUAUUAAGGAAGGAGAUAAAGGAGGAAGAAGGGACGGAGAAAAGGAAGAAAUGACUGGAUUGUUGGGAUGGGUAUGAAGAUGCAGUAGAGCCACCACCUAGGGGCUGUAAGGUCUAAUGGGCAAAUUGAAAGUAAAAAAGAGUGCAUCCAUUCAAGCUAAGAGAGCUUGGGUUCCUAAAUUACUAUUGCUCUGGGUUCUGUUGGUGGCAUUGAUUGGUAUUGUUAAUCUACAAGGGAAUUGAUGGUGUUAACUAAGUUAGAAGAAAGGAAGUUUUGGGCGUAUGUGUGACCGGAGCACAAAGAUGCUUCUGCAUCAAUUUACUGUGAGUGUUAAACUAUGUCCAUGCUUUGGUUAUUCUAUUUUCUACUUUCCACUCCUCUCGAAAUGUAUUAGCAAUUGUUCAUGUAAAUGUGUUUCGAUUUCUGUUUGAUACUUCUCAGUUAGUUAGGCUUAAAAGUAUAGAAAUUAUCUUGAUGUCUUGAUUUUUAGGGUUUUUUUCAGCGGUUUUUGGUUUUUGGUUUUUUUUUUGUUGGAUUUUGGCUAGUUAGGCUUAGAGGUGCAAGGACUUGUGAAAGAGAAGCAUUUGAUUGACCAACGAGUAAUUAGUUUCUCCUCAAGCAUCCCACCACUUUUCUAUUAAAGAAAUACAGGUACGUCUACGCUAUUACUUUUCAUGUCCUUUUACUUAAGAUAUUUAUAUAAAUAUAUAUAAAAAUAAAUAAGAUCCAUCUUUGGUAAUUUUUUUAAAAAUCAAAUCUGUGAAUAUUCAUUUCAUCUCUAAAGUUUUGCGUUUUGUUACUUUUUAAAAUUCCCUCCAUGUUACUAUUACACUCCUAUAUUUGUGUUGUAAUUAUGAUGUCCUUUUUCUAUGGUCUGUUAAAGUUAAUUUAAAUCCUUUCUUGCUCUUGGUUUAUGUUGAAGAAAUGGAAGAGUUUUUUAGCCUUAAUAGAUCUGGAGUACCUUAAUCGCUCUUGCAUUUUGUGAUUCUGUUCUUUUUCUAUUUUGAAGAGUGUCCUGAGUAAUUUUUAGGAUUUUUAUUUUAUAGUUUUUGUCGCUUGCAUUUAAACACGGACUUGGUUGUUGAACUGGGGUUCUUGAAUAAUUGUUGGUUUUGUUUUCUGAAGAAGUGAUCUUAUAUUUGUGUAUCUCUAUGUGCAACUUUAAUAUGGGGUUAUUAAGGAUGGAGAUAAAGGAGGAAGAAUGGAGAGAGAAAAGGCAGAAAUGACUUAAUUGUUGGGAUGAGUAUGACCCCAUGUCUAGUAGUUCCCAAGUAUGAUAUAGGAAGGCAGAGAGUCAAGGCCUUGUCUGACUCUAAUAGAAUUAAGUAGCUAACGCAACACAAUAUUCUUUGCACCUUCAGUCUGUGAAUCUGAGGAGCAAGAGUUUGGCCAGAGGAGCUAGUCUCGUAACUACGGGCGCAGUUCUAGUUCUUUACAAGACAGAUGGGAACUGUAGCUAACAAGUGUGCCCUGAGUGGAUUCCUACCACUACUCUUUCUACUAUAUUGGCAGGACGGGUGCCAAGUUAUUAGUAGCUAGGCAGCUAAGCCAGUAGUAGUUCAGUUCAGGUGCUGUUCCCAAACCUAGUUGACUACGUUGUAGCGUAGCGGUACGGGACAGAAAAAGAAUUGAUAGCGGUACACUGAACACAAAGAAAUUUGAUAGACAUAUGUUGAGAGUUCGACAAGUAGCACUGAAUCUACUAUCAGUAGUGAUUUAUAGAAGUUGACUCGCUUAAACGAAGAGAGUGAACAAAGCAUAGCGGAGUGAAGAGAGAAAUGGUUUCAUUAGAUAGCUCUCUCGAUGUCCUUGUUAUCUUUCCUAGGUAGAUUGUGACUUAUUCAUUCUUUCUCGCUGACUCUAGUUUCCCCGCCGUGGAUCCUUUCUCUGUUAGGCGCUGUAAUUUAGAAUUCAGAAACGUAUCUGUCUUAUUAUCUUUGAGUCAAAGCAAUGUUACAUAUUUAUAUAGAUAAUAAGCUAAACCCUAGAGACUAUGUAAAAUUACAAUAAAGGACAUAUGUAUAUAUAUAUAUAUAUCAUAACACUCCCCCUCAAGUUGGAGCAAAUAUGUCGAUCAUGCCCAACUUGUUGCACAGAUAGCUUAUCCUUGUUCCAUUUAAAGCUUUAGUUAGAAUAUCUCUCAAUUGUUCUCCGGUCUUCACAUAUCCUGUGGACACCAACCCAUCUUGGAUUUUCUCACGAAUGAAGUGACAAUCCACCUCAAUAUGUUUAGUUCGUUCAUGAAAUACUGGAUUAGAUGCAAUAUGAAGUGCAGCUUGAUUAUCACACCAUAAUUUAGCUGGCACGGUAAUACUGAAGCCUAUCUCAGAUAAUAGUUGGUGAAUCCAUACUAUUUCACACACAGAUUGUGCCAUAGCUCUAUAUUCUGACUCAGCACUCGAACGAGAAACAACAUUUUGUUUCUUACUCUUCCAUGAAACUAAGUUUCCACCUACAAAAACACAAUAUCCAGAAGUCGAUCUCCUAUCCUCACGAGACCCCGCCCAAUCAGCAUCAGAAAAACAUUCAACUCUCGUAUGUCCAUGAUCUUUGUAUAGGAUCCCACGUCCAGGAGCAGCUUUUAGAUAACACAAAAUCUGCUCUACUGCAGCCCAAUGAUCCACUGUAGGGGAAGACAUGAAUUGACUUACAACACUUACAGAAUAUGCAAUGUCUGGUCGAGUCACUGUUAAGUAGUUCAACUUCCCAACUAAUCUCCUAUAUCUCUCAGGAUCUUUACAUAAUUCUCCUUCUUUAACAAGUUGCUGAUUUGGCAUCAUUGGAGUGCCACUUGGUUUGGUGCCUAAUUUUCCUGUUUCAGACAACAAAUCAAGUACAUAUUUUCGUUGAGACAAAUAAAUACCUUUCUUGCUUCUCAUCACUUCAAUGCCCAAAAAAUAUUUCAAUUGGCCCAAAUCUUUUGUAUAAAACUGACCCUGAAGGAAAGUUUUGAGAGACGAAAUACCCAAUGCAUCAUUUCCAGUAAUAACAAUAUCAUCAACAUAUACAACUAGUAGAACUAUACCCUUCUCAGAUCGGCGAUAGAAAACUGAAUGAUCAGAUGUACUCUUCUUCAUACCAAAGCAUACAAGGGCUUGACUAAACUUACCAAACCACGCACGAGGACUCUGUUUCAAACCAUACAGAGAUUUUCGAAGGCGACAUACUUUAUCACUCUCCCCCUGAGCAACAAACCCUGGUGGUUGUUCCAUAUAAACUUCCUCUUGAAGAUCACCGUGAAGAAAAGCAUUCUUAAUGUCAAGUUGAUGCAACGACCAUUUAUUGGUAGCAGCCAUGGAAAGAAAUAGGCGAAUGGAAGUUAACUUGGCAACCGGAGAGAAUGUAUCUGAAUAAUCAGUGCCAUAGAUUUGAGCAUAACCUUUGGCAACAAGGCGAGCCUUUAAACGAGCCACUGUUCCAUCAGGAUUCAUCUUGACAGCAAACACCCAUUUACAACCAAUGGCCUUCUUUCCUGCAGGACGAGAUACCAAAUCCCAAGUAUCAUUAUCAUCUAAAGCAGUCAUCUCCUCAAUCAUUGCAUUUUGCCAGCGAGGAUGAGACAAAGCUUCAUGAACAGAGUUAGGAAUAGAUGUGGACUCAAGAGACGUAAUAAACGCAUAUGUGGAGGGAGAUAACUGGUGAUAGGAAAUAAAGGAAGAAACGGGGUAAGUACACUUGCGUUUACCUUUGCGAAGAGCAAUGGGAAGAUCAUCACUUGGCGCUGGAUCACAUGAUGAAGGAAGCAUUGAUGGAGGACAUGAGUCUGAAGGUUGUGGUGGAGGUCGUCGGGAGUAGACUUGAGAAAUCAACGGGCGGGAAGGAGGCACAUCAGUAGACAAGGAUGGUGUGGGAGAGGUAACCUCAUAUAUAAAAAGAUUGUCAUCCUCCCCCUGACACAAACUCGAUGGUGAUGAAGUAAAGGGUGUAUCUUCAAAAAAGACAACAUCAGGCGAAACCAGAUACCUUUUAAGGGUAGGACAAUAACAACGAUAACCCUUUUGAACACGUGAAUAACCCAAGAAGAUACACUUCAAGGAUUUGGGAUCUAACUUAGUAUGAUGAGGACGAACGUCACGAACAAAAGACACAACCAAAUAUCUUAGGAGCAAUAGGAAACAAAUGCUUGGUAGGAAAAAGAACACGAUAGGGAAUCUCACCAUUAAGAACAGAGGAAGACAUUCUAUUAAUCAAAAAACAAGCUGUAGAGACAGCAUCAACCCAAAAGAUUUUUGAAACAUGCAUUUGAAACGAUAAAGCACGGGCAGUUUCAAGUAAAUGCCUAUUUUUUCGCGCAACACCAUUUUGAGAUGGAGUGUCAGCACAGGAAGAUUGAUGAAUAAUGCCAUUUUCACACAAGUAAGAGCCAAGAGAAUGAGAAAAAUAUUCACCCGCAUUAUCAGUACGCAAAGUUUUGAUAGAGACAUUAAAUUGGUUUUUUAUUUCAGUAUGAAAGGCACAAAAAUGAGAUAAUAACUCAGAACGAUUUUUCAUUAAAUAUAACCAAGUUAGACGAGAAUGAUCGUCAACAAAAGUAACAAAAUAACGAAAGCCUGUUUGAGAUACAACUGGACACGGACCCCAAAUAUCAGAAUGAACUAACUCAAAUGGAGCAAUUGCUCGUUUAUCGACUCGAGGACUCGAACUAAGACGAUGAAAUUUCGCAAAUUGACACGAAUCACAAUUUAAAGAGGACAAAGACCUAAAUUCUGGAUAAAGUUUCUUCAACACGAACAAAGAUGGAUGACCUAAACGACAAUGGACUUCAAAAGGAGAGGGAACGACAGGACACGCCACAGCUUGCGAUACUUGAUGAUCAAAGAGAUAAAGGCCUCCUGACUCAUAUCCUCUACCAAUAAUCUUCUUCGUCACACGAUCCUGAAACAAGCAAUAACCAGAAAAGAACAUGACAACACAAUUUAGGUCAUGAGUAAGUUGACUAGUAGAAAUUAAAUUAAAGGAUAAGUUAGGCAAAUGUAACACAGAAGAGAGAAAAUGAUGGGGUAAGGUGAAUAGUGCCAGAGCCAAGAACAGAAGAUGUGGAGCCAUCGGCCAAUGUAACCGAUGGAAAAGGGGCAGGGGACAACGGUCUAGAAAAUAGGUGAGAAUUACCUGUCAUAUGAGCUGUGGCACCAGAGUCUAUGACCCAUUUGGUAGAUGAUGUAAGAAGACACUUUAUAUUACCUGGGGCAACAGUGGAUGCAAUCGGAGUAGAGGAAGAUGACGCUUGUAAUGACUCUUGGUAAUUCUGAAACUUAGCAAACUCAUCUGCCGAAAUAGUAACUGACGCCUCUGGUAUAUCACAUGUGGAGGCUAUCUGAGCAUGUUGAGAUCGUUGACUAUUCUUAUAUAGCAAUUUCCGACAAUCACGUUUCAUAUGGCCUGGCUUACGACAGUAGUUACAAACAAUCUCUACAGACUCUGGUUUUCGAUGAUCAGUACUAUUCCUCUGAGGUGCCCGAGGGUUAUUGUUCUUGCUAAAGAGAGCACUACUGGGUUGAGGAAUAGACACACUAGUCGGAGAGCUUUCAAUGCGAAGGACUCGAGUGAAGGCAUCAUCUAAUGAUGGAAUCUUGGAGUCAGAGAGAAUCUGUGUCUUUGCCAUUCCAAAUUCAGGUAAGAGUCCAUUCAGGAAAAUCAUAACAGCCAUCUUCUCUCGUUGAACUUGUUGAACUUUAACAUCAGGACUAAAAGGUAACAACAAGCCAACUCGGCAAUGAUCUUCUUAAGACGCAUAAAGUAGCUGGUGACAGACUCAGCUUUCUGUUCCGCACGAGAAAAUUGCAUACAAACUUCAAACAUUCUAUGCACUUGCUCUUUACCUGAGUAUAGAAAAUCCAAAAAUUCCAAAAGUUCUUUAACAGACUCACAGUGAUCAACCAAUCCAAUUAUCUCACUCUCAAUUGAAUUCUUGAUCUGAAGAUAUAAACGGGCAUCAUCACGAAGCCAAUCCUUCUUCUGCUUUGCAUCUUUUGGGGGAUCUUCAGUCAUAUGAUCAUCCAUAUCAGUACUUCUCAAAUAAAAUAAAAUUGUCCGACGCCAAUCGUAAUAAUUGGAUCCAUUUAACUUAUGUUCUGUGAUCUUAGAGGCCAAGGGAAUAACGUUGGAGACUACCAAAUUUUUUAUGUCGGCCAUAUUGAAGUCACACGUUGAUUGUAGUCCACUCGAACAAAGAGAAAAUCAAUCCAAACAGCUGCAAAAUUGGAAAAAGACACAAAACCAAUCGUGUAACCUUCGGUUUUCGUCAAACCCGAAUGUUAUUUGAUAGACCCAAUGGUACAGACUGGCAGGAAACAAUGGUUCGAGACAAGCCCAGAAGACAGAAGACAAAUCGGACUUCUCACGCGCUCUCACGCGCCUGUGUGGAUGAAGGUGACGAUGAUUCCGGCGGCGCGUGACGGUCACGCGCGGUGUUUUCCGGCGAUCGGCGAAGACAGACUUGGGCGGACGGAGGUGGUGCUUCUUAUGGUAUGGGCGGUGUCGACAAAUGGUCACCGGAAGGUAACCCAAACUUCAAACCUAAUGGAGGGCUCUGAUACCAUGUAAUUUAGAAUUCAGAAACGUAUCUGUCUUAUUAUUUGUUAAGUCAAAGCAAUGUUACAUAUUUAUAUAGAGAAUAAACUAAACCCUAGAGACUAUGUAAAAUUACAAUAAAGGACAUAUAUUACAUAAUAAUAUAUAUAUAUCAUAACAAGGGCCUCCCCUAUCCUUAUUCAUUGAUCGCUCUCUUUGCCGCGAAUCUCGGCAUGGUGGUUCUUCGCCUCGCAAUAUUCUUUGCUCCUCCUUCCUGGGCUUGAUUGGUACAUCAAGCAUAUCGGCAUUUUGCUUCUUCGGUGUGGUACAUAUAUCUAUCAAUGAAAAGAAAGUAAUAGAAUUCAUUCCCGCGUACUCGCAUAUUGAAUUGCGCCUUCGGACCAUCAAAGAAAGGUCCAGGGUCCGAAGUCCGCUGGAUUUAUCCGGAGUCCAGAGAAUUUAUCCGUAGGACCAUCCAUAUGGAGGGAAGUAGUCCGGAGGAUGUUGGAAUUUUUUGUCCUAAAACUCGUAGUUUAUAAAUCAUAUUCUGUUCAAUAAAGUUGUUAUUGAGAAAUUAAAUAUUAUAAUCUUAAAUCCAAUAAAUCAAGUUCCAAGGCUAUUUUUGAAUAAACUUGAACUUUAUGUGUAAACAUAAACGUGGAUCAAGUUCGAGUAUAUAGCCUAAAUAGUCUAUAGUAUAUGAAAUAAAGGUUGGGUGCCUUAUUUAGGGAAACUAUGGAUGCGGUCCACUUUGUGGUACAAACGAGGUGAUCCUAAUCGUUCAUGUAGAGACAUGAAAGUGAGGGCAUUCUAUGUAAAAUGUUUACAUAAGACUGAACCAUGAAUUAGUUUUUUUUACGUUAUAACACCGUUUACUGUUUAAAACUGACUAUCUCAACAUUUUGACUUUUUACUAAGAAAAGUCAAAGUUUGACUUUUGACUAGAAAUAUCUAAUGACCAUUUUACCCUUGGACUAAGUUAGUGGGAAAAUCCAACAUUUUGUUGGAUAAUCCCACUAACUCUUAGUGGGAUAUGUGGCUAUAUGAGAUAUAGACACCUAGCCCACUAAGUUCCACUAAUUGUUAGUGGAACAUUUGGUGUUGAGAUUUGGCAAAAUGAAUUGCAUGCAUUUUUGCAUGUAAUUAGGUUAUAAAUAGAGGUGUUUUCAAAUGUUGAAGAACUUUUGCCUCUUUUAUCAUUUUCAUCAUCUCAACCAAAUAAAAAAAAAGGAAACCUUCCAAUCCCAUUUUAUCUCCAUUACUUUCUACACCAAAAUUGGGUCCCACAACCCGGUUCUUUGUCUAGAGGAUAGCAGUUGAGUACUAGUGGUGGUCUCGGUUAGAAUUGGUAAGAAGAUAUCAAACCUUUUGAAAGCUUCAAAGGUAAUAUUUCCUAAAACCCUAAUUUGAUUAAUUUAUGGUUACAUGUUAAUUGUGGCAAUUAGGGUAGAAAUUCGAUUUUUUUUCCGCUGUGCAUGACUUAGUUCUAUCAGAGGAUUUAUUCGUAGGACCAUCCGUAAUUAACAGAAAUAGGACUAUCCAUUAUCCUCCGUCCGGAGUCCGCAGGAUACUUAUCCGUAGGACUAUCCGUAAUUAACCGAAGUAGUCCUCCAGAAUUUCUGUAAUUAACCGAACUUUGCACCUCUUGACUAUGAAUCAUAUAUAUUGAUUUUGACCGGAGCAAAGAUCAUUGCCCACGGAGCGGCGCAAAGAAUAUUGCGACCUGUGGAUUCAUUGAGGCGGUGAAGAAUUGCCAUUUUAUGAGCUUGUAAAACCCCUCCGGAGGAGAAGGAUAGGGGAGCAAGGUUCAAAGUGGUUUUCAAAGUCAGAGCUAUCCCUUAUUAUUGAGGGCUUUGACCACCUGGACACUUACCUACUCAGUCGCAAGGAUCAAAGAAUUUGAUUGACAAAGAAUAUUGCGAUUUUACCGAGUCCUUCGUCUCGCAAUAUUCUUUGCGCCUUCGAUGAGUCAGGUUAAUAUGGAUAAGUCCUUCGGACUGAUAGCGUCCAAAAAAUAGGCGAGGGCGGGCGGGCUAUAAGUAGGCCGUUUGCUAUUGCUAUAAGGGCUGCUCGCCUUUAUACGGCUUGGCUUCGCUAUCGCUCAUGACUUGUAUUUGUGGUCGGCCUAAAAAGUAGUCUUCCUACCAUAAAAAAAUGCCUAUUAUCUAGUUCGUUAAGCUUCGCCAAAAGCAAGAUGAGGGCGCUUUGCUUCGUAGACAAGGCUCGUCUAGUACUUGACUUACGAGUUCGUGUAGGACUUCCCCCUCUCUCUAAAGGGGCUUAUGCACAGAACUCCUUGUCUACUAAAGAAGCGUUCGAGCGAGCGAGUUCAGCCUGAAAUUGAGUGGUCUCCCUCCUUUUCCCUCACUGAGAUAUUAUGUCUUUCAUUUCCACUUAAGCUUCCCCGCUUUGAGGGAUUAAUUGAUUGGAUACCCGAGAACCAUAAUCUUUCCUAGGAACUGCUUCUACGACGAUAGGUGUAAAGGCAUGAUUAGUUCCACAAAUCUCACUGCACUGACCAUAGUAAACUCCUUCUCAUUGUACCAAAAUGGAGAUCUGAUUUAAACGACCAGGUACAACAUCACAUUUGACACUUGAGGAAGGUACAACCCAACUAUGAGGUAGAUCAGCAGGUGUUACAAUAAUACGUAGAUGAGUUUUGGCUGGUAGAACCACUCUAUUGUCCACUUCUAAUAAACGUGAUUGACCCAAUUCUAGAUCAUCUUCUGGAAUCGUAUAACUGUCAAAAGUGAGUGACUGUUCAUCGGAACUGUUAUAGUCAGAAUACUCAUAAGUCCGAUACCAUUGAUGUCCAAUAGCUUUGAUAGUCAUGGCUGGAUCUACUACUACCUCGUCCAUUGAGUAUAAGAGAGCAAAGGAUGAUAUAGCAAUGAACACCGGAAUGAUACUAGGAAAAAUGGUCCAAAGAAUCUCGAUAGUAGUUCCAUGAACUAUCCUUUGCGGUAUUUUCUUUUUAGAAUAGUGGAAAUGCCAUAAAGCGCGAACCAAAAUCCGUGAUACGAAAACAAAAAUCAAAAUGAGGAAGAAAAAGAUAUCGUGAUGUAUGUCUAUUAUUCCUUGCAUCAUAGGUGUUGCUGUGUCUUGAGAUCCUAAUUGCCAUGGUUCCGCUGCAUCACAAGGAGCAAUUGUGAGGAAUAGCCAUUUGAGAACAAUCAUUUUCUUUGGUUUAUUCUUUGACUGCUCUGCUCCCCCCCCCAAAAAAAGAGAGACUUGUUCUUGCUCUCCCAAUGAAGGAAGACGGAAAUCGCCGGUUGGGUUGGUCCAACCAAGAAAGGCAUGGGAUGGGCAUUGCUUGGGCCGAGUUAAGUAUGGCUACCUAUUACUCCUCACUGCACACUUGAAAUAUCUCUUGAUACUCCCCCCUCUUUCUUACAACUAGUUGCUGCAUGCUAUCGGAUCUCGAGCAAUGGGAGGUUACAAUUGAGAAUCCACACUCUCAUUACAUUACAUUUUGAUGUCGAAAAGGUCUUUUGGGCAAUGAGCAUUCCUUAUGGGCGUAUCCGUUCUCUAUUUAGAGAAAUUCUUAGAGCGGUGCAGUUUAUGCAUGGCGAAAGGGAGCAUUGGAAGGGUCUUAGCUCCAGAAUAUGAAGACGAAUGAAUAAGGAAGAUCAGAUUCAAGGAAUAAGAGGACAAAGGCUCGAUAGGAGGAAAUGAAUAAGGGGUCCGACGGAGCCUUCGGAGUACUAUAAAGAGGAAAGCCUAGACUGAUCGAUGUUCUUGGUAGGAACAUCCAUAAAUCAGGGGAGGGAGAUCGAGUUUCAAACCUUUAUACACAAAACUGAAACUCAAAAUUCACUUCCUUCCUUCCGCAAGGCCGAUAUCUUUCAUAGCAGGCAAGGAUGAGUCCAUUAGGUUCUUCGAUUGAUUCGGAAAAGAAAUGAGAGACAAGAAAAGAUCUUUGAUGGAGAUGAAAAGGAAGAAUCUCAAAUAGACCAAGAUCCAAUUUCGGGUCAUUUCUUGGUGAACAUGAUCUGCCAUAAUCUCUUCGAUCCCUGAAUUUAUGUGCCAGAAUAAAGAGAGAUUUGGUAGGAAAGUGGAAGAGACCUUGUGGUAUAUAAUAAUGAGAGGGAGUGGGAAAGCUGCUGUAAUUCUUUGGAAAAGCCCGGUUCUCUUUGUCUUCGAGCUUGAAUUCCUCAAUCCACUCUUUCGUUCUUUCAUAUACCUCCCCACCAAUAGAUAGAGACAAAUAGGAAUAACCGAACCACGUCUACAAAAUGCCAGUACCAUGCAGCUGCUUCAAAGCCAACGUGAUGCUCCUUGGUCAGAUGACCAAGAUAUUGGCGAAUACCACAUACGAUCAAGAAAAGAGUACCUAUAAUCACAUGAAAACCAUGAAAGCUAGUUGCUAAGAAAAAGGUAGAACCAUAAAUACUAUCAGAAAUAGUGAAGGGUGCUUGAUAAUAUUCCAUUCCUUGAAAGCUUGUGAAUACUAGAGCCAGUGAAACGGUAGCUACUAAAGCGUAAACAACUCGUUUUUCCUUCCCCGCGAGUAUAGCAUGAUGAGCCCAAGUUACGGCUGCUCCGGAUGAAAGGAGAAUAGGGGUAUUAAGAAAAGGGAUUUCCCGAGGAUCUAAAACCCCAAUCCCUUUUGGGGGCCAAAUACCUCCGAUCUCUACCGUAGGUGCCAAAGAAGAAUGAGAAGAAGCCCGAAAAAAAGCAAAAAGGAACAUAACCUCCGAUACGAUAAAGAGAAUAAAACCAUAUCGAAGUCCUAAUUGUACGACUUUGGUAUGAUGUCCUUCCAACGUGGAUUCACGUAGAACAUCGCGCCACCAUACGAACAUGGUAUAUAGGAGAAAUAUGAGGCCCAAACUGAGAAGUCUUGCACCCCCUUGAAAUGAGUGCAUGUACAUCACACCUCCUACGAUGGUUGCCAAAUGAUAAGAAUGCCUUUGAGAUUCAAUCACAAACCACUUUGCCUCGGUUGUAUGUAAACCCCCCCUUCACCCCCACCCGCUAAAGUGGUAAAGAAGGGCUCUUUGGGGUCUCAUUUUCUUUCUAUCUGACAGGACUAAAAAAUAGGAAGGGAUGGUUCUUUCAUUGCAUUGAUAGAAGUCUAACUAGAAAAAGAUCUUGUUGCUUUGAUCGAGCCCUAGGCUUUCCUUGGAUAGAUCCCUCUAUAUUCCAACUGAUUUAUGGCGUAGAAGGCGGGAAUAGGAAUCACUCAUAUUGCAUUGAGCCUUAACAGUCCGGAGGACUAUCCCGCUCCGUGGGAUUCUUUUAGCCUCACAAUAUUCUUUGCACCUAUCCAUCCACGCAAUAUUCUUUGCACCUUCGCUCCAAAUAAAGUAAUAGCCGCAACUCAAUUCAUUCAGCCUUCGCCUAGAAAUUCACUUUGCGACCCACUCCGUAAGCCCACUACACGAGAAGAAAGAAUAUCCUUAGCUAUUUAUCUUUAUUAUCUCUUCUCUGAGAAUAUCCUCUUAUUCUACUAUUAGAAGAAUAUCCUACUUUCAGUUUCUAGUCAAAGAAAGGUCCAGGCGCAGGCGCAAAGAAUAUUGCGAGGUGCAGUCUAAUGGAUAGGACUGAGGGCUCGACUGAAAGGAGAGAAGGCGCAAUGAAAUAUGCGAGGUCCAUAUUCCGACUGAGGAACUGAAACUUCCGCGUAGUGCUUCCCUUGUUCAUUGAUAGUAAUCCUGAAGUUUCUUCUUGGCAUCAAAAUAGAUCAAUGAAAGAGGACUAAAAAUAAGACGAAAGUACUUAUGACGGCUUUCCUUCCCAACAAAUCUUCGUUCUUAGUUAUUUGAUUCCACUUUCAAACUUUCUGGGAGUUGUCUUCUCCUAGGCUUUCUUCUUUCUGGCAGUCUUCUGCCUUGCCGUAGGGAGUAGGUUCAGGAGAACCAUAACCAUAAAUCAGAGAGACGGAGGCAUCAAUCACGCAAUAUUCUUUGCACCUCUUCCUUUAAGCUAUAUUUUUUAGGCUCCGGAGGCUCAAAGACAGGGAUAUUGUUGAAUACUAUUAGUUCGAGUCGCAGAGAGCAAAGAAUUUUCUCUUAAUGGAACUUAGCGCGGGUUAAUAUGGAUAGGACUGAGGUCUUAAGACUCCUAACUAUUAAUGGAAAGGACCCACGGAGCGGUGCAAAGAAUAUAUAGAAGGGCAGACAGGUCCGGAGGACCUGUCUGUCCUUCGGUCUUAAUACUCCUAACGUCGAAUAAGAAGCUGGAGGCUGGGUCCAGGUGCAAAGAAUAUUGUGUCCAUUAGAUCCAUUGAAUUAGGCGAAGGAUUUUAUCAAGCUUAGCUUUCUGGAUUCUUCGGCGGAGUGGGGCUUUCUCUAGUAGGUCUGGAGGCUCAAAGAAUGAUCAAAGGCUCCGAACCAUAAAGAAGAGAGUCGGAGGACAUCCAUUGACUUUUUCUUCCUUUCACUUCUAACUUCAAACCUUUCAUAUUCAACCUUGAAAAUAAAGGAGGGAGCGGACUACGGAGGCCAUAAGUUUGAGUUCCUCAGAUGUAUAAAAACAAGUCCUCCGGACGACCUAUCCACUGAAAGUAGCUACGUAGUCUUGUCUCCUUCCCCGCGUAGUGGGCAUUGACUUCUUCAUUGAUUUUCUUCUAUCUCCCACGUAGCGGUUGAAUAUGAAAGGAAGCCCACAGAGCUGAAGAUGGAGCGGGAUAAUAAAGAAGAAAGCUCAAAAGGAGGGAGCGGACCUCAAUGAACAAGGGGAGGACUCGUUUUCAUCCUUAUGGAAGAAAAAUCUCUUUUUUUUAUCUAAAAGACGUAGAAGGAGGCUCAAUGUCUAAUCUUUCUCUCAAAUCAAUAUCCCCAGUGCAAAUAUUCCAGCAAUAUUCUCAAUAUGAAAAGAGCCUUUCUUCUUUUCUUAGAUAAAUGCGCUUCGUAGAUUAUGCUGAAGGAGGAGUGGGCCAUGAUCUUUGCUCCUUAAUUUCCCUAAUGGAUAGUCAUCUGGACCUUUCUUUUUAGUUCUUUGCGCUCGUCAACGCAUAUUUCAUUGCGCCUUCGCCUUCAAUGAAAUCCAUAAAUAAAUAAGGGUAGAUUUCAGACUCAAGAGGAGGGUUCCUUAUCAAUAUCAAUGAGACGGAUAGGCUUUCUUUUACAUUCCACAGGUCCGAAGGACUAUCCAUAUUAACAUGUCUGUCCUUCGCCUAACUAGUUCAUAUAGACCUUUGUUUUUCUUCCGCAGUCACUAAUAUGGAUAGUCCGGAGGACCUCCUUCAGCAUAAUCUAUGAAUGAUCGGAGCAAAGAAUAUUGCGGAAAAGAAGAAAGGAGUGCAAGCGAAAAAUAAUGGAUUGAAUAGUCCUUCGGACGAACUACCGCACUUGGGGGAUAUUGUUGAGAAAGAAUAUUGAAAAAGAAUGAUCGAAGAAUAUUGAAAAAGGACGGAGGAUAGGCUUUCUUUGAACAAUGUGGAUGUAUCAAAGAUUCCACAGGUUAAUAUGGUAGAUUUCAGACUAGUCCUUCACCUUGGAUCUGGGGACUAUUCUCUGUUCUAAUAGACAUAGAGGAGAGGUUCAAAGAAUAUUGAGAAUACUCGUGCAAGCGCAAUCAAUGAACAAGGUGAAAAGAAUAAAAAAAAGGCGGUCGAUGAUCAGGAAGAAAAAGUCAAAAGUCUAUCCCAUCUUCUUCGUUAGGCGCAAAGAAGAAAAACAAGGUGCAAAGAUCUAUGGCCCAAUUAUAAGGGGUCCAGAUGCACCAUAAGACUGGUCCGAAGGACUAUCCAUAUUAACCGGAGUCUUCAACAAGAUUUCCAACCCUGAAUAUUAAGCUACUGAGGCCCAAUAUUGCGAAGGAAGAACUGCGCCAUAAGACAGGUCCGAAGGACUAUCCAUUAGGGAAUGAGACGGAGGUAACGUUUGGUUUUUUGGAAAACUUGUUGGUCGCGGAUUAGUGCGUUUUUUUUGGAAAGUAACAAUUCUCUUCAGUUUGGUUUCAGAAAACUUGUUGGUCACGGAUUAGUGCGUUCUGCGCCGCCUGGUGUCACGAACAUAUUUUUCCAAAGUGUGUUUACCUUUGGUUAUAUGCUCCGAUUACCCCCAGUUUAUCUCAUCUUUAGUUUGCAUAACUAGUUUAGCUGAUUGCUUUUCAUUCUAGGUCAUAAAGCUUGGGUGUGACGUUUCGGCAUUUUCAUAUGCAAGCCUGCCAGAGAGGAAAAUGUUCAAAAUGUACUAUAGGGGAGGCAUACCAGUUGAAUCCCCGCCCAAGCAUUAGUUGUACUCUUUGCAAGCAACCCUUUUUCCUUGCAAUUGACAGUCUUUAAUGCUUAUUGUAACGUCUAUUUCAAUGUAUUUCUUUCUUUCCCGUGUUUUAUAAAUAAAAUGUCCCUAAAACGCAAACGAAGGUUACGACAUACAUCGACGUUACCCACAACUCUUGGAUAUUGAUCGACUGACUUGUUCAUCGAGUUAGAACAAGUGCCGCACAAUCGUCCGUCUCGAGGUUGAAACGCUACGAUUGUGACAAGUGGUAUCAGAGCCAAAGUUGGCUGAGUGACAGUUUUGACAAAAAUAAAAUGUCGACUGCAAAACGAGCGAGCAAGACCCAUGAAGAACGGUUGGUGGGGAUCGAAGUGCAGAUGCUCCACCUGAUGGAAGUUCCUGAUUCCAUCCGGUUCUUGGAAUAGCGGCUUGAGGAUAUUGCCAAGAAAGCUGAUGGCAUUGAAGCCGUGUCCGGUCGCCUUGACGGACUACCCAUCCAAGAGUUACUGACUAGAGUCGACACUCUAGAGUCCCGAGUUAUGAGAACGGGAAAUGUCACCUACGAGCGUGGGGACAGUUCAUCGGGCUCUGUUGCCCAGAUGGAAGAACGAGUUAUGGAGCUUGAUAACUCGCAAAAGAACAUGUUGGAGAUGAUCAGCGCAUGACAAAGGAUUUUCGAGCAACCCUCGAUGUCGUGAGGAAUGAGCUCGCAGAGGUAAGCACGAGGGUGAACCUUACUAUGCGAGCACUAGAAAAUCAGGCUCUAGCUGGAGGAGCCAUUCCUGUGGGCAGAAUCAAGAUUCCUGAGCCCAAGCCCUUCUGUGGGGCGAGAGAUGCCAAGGCGUUGGAAAACUUCAUCUUUGAUGUCGAGCAGUAUUUCAAAGCCACGAACACAAUUACUGAAGAGGCCAAGGUGACGUUGGCAACCAUGCAUCUGUCAGAAGAUGCGAAGUUAUGGUGGAGGUCCCGAUACAUGGACAUUCAAGAAGGGCAUUGCACAAUCGACACGUGGGAUGCCCUAAAAGGAGAACUCCGUUCGCAAUUUUCCCUGAGAAUGUCGAAAUUCUGGUCCGACGGAAGCUGCGUGAAUUGAAGCACACGGGGAACAUUCGGGACUACGUGAAACAGAUUGCGGGGGUAAUGUUGGAUAUACGCGACAUGAUCGAAAAAGAUAAAAUAUUCAGCUUUGUUGAAGGGUUGAAGCCAUGGGCAAGGACUAAGCUAUACGAGCAGAAAGUCCAAGACCUCGUGUCAGCCUAUGCAACAGCUGAACGUUUGUUUGAUCUGUCUAAUGACGUUCAAGAGACAAGACAUCAUUGAAGCUCUUCACCUGGAAGAGACAGAAACAGCCGACUGAAUUCUCCCGAAGCUGUCAGUAGAAAUAAAAGUCCCGGCAGAGACCGCAAGCCCUUCCAGUCAAAUACGGGGAACACCAGGCAAAGGCCCACUAGUCAAAGGACCUCCCACACUCCUAUCAGUUGCUACAUUUGUAACAGGCCACAUCGGACAAGGGAAUGUCCGGAUAAAGCGGCCUUCUACGCCUUCCAGGCCUCUCUGGCUACAGACUUAGGUGACAAGUUGGGUCAACCAGAGAAUGAAGGUGGGUAGGUGGAGGAAGUCCAAAACGUUAGAGUAGGGGCCAUAAGACUCUUGUCGUUCCUUCAGAAUAAAGCAGGGGAGACAAGUGGUCGUACAAAAGGGGGCCUAAUAUAUGUGGACACCUGGAUCAACCGAAGGCAUGCAAAGAGCACUAUGGUUGACUUCAGUGCAACCCAUAAUUUUAUAACGGUGGCGGAAGCCAGACGAUUGAACCUUCACUAGAAGAAGGAUACAGGAAAGAUGAAGGCCGUAAAUUCUACAGCUUUACCCGUCGUCGGAGUAGUGAAACGAGCGGUGAUACAGUUGGAAAGAUGGAACGGCCUUGUUGACUUUGUGGUUGUGGGCAUGGAUGACUUUGAUGUAGUUCUCGGAAUGGAAUUCCUUCUUGAACAUCAAGUGAUCAUGAUGCCUGCAGCCAAAUGUCGGUGAUCACGGGAUCUACCCCCACCGUUAUGCAGAUACCCCCACCAUUAUGCAGAUAGAACUCCGGCAACCCAAAGGAUUGAGAAUGGUCUCGGCCAUGCAACUGAGGGAGGGCCAUAUUCAGGAAGACACAAGGCGUGUCGUGGAGAGACGUUGUGAUGGGAAACAGGAUAGUUUGCCCAUGUCAGAAUCGCCUACGAGAAAUGAUCAUCGUAUGGCGCAAUCAAAAUCAUCUGGACUCAGGAGACAGUCAAGGAGACUGUCAGGUGCAGGAUCCACUAGACCUGCGAGAGAUCCGUAUCAAGCACAAGACUUCUUACGGAAGGAAGAGAAUGGACAAUUGUGUGUCAACAACCGUGUCCUAAAGCAAGCCCCGAGGAGAGGGCCAACUUUUGAGUCCGUGAGUGGGACUCAGCCUGUUGAAGCUUACGCUAAGGCAUAUGGUCCUGUGUCAGGUGGCAUCCUAAUGCAGAAUGGACACCCUGUCAAAGCUGAGAGUCAGAAACAAAGUGCCGCAGAAGGUAGUUAUACGAUGUUUGGAAAAGGAAUGCUGACCACGAUACGUAGUCUGAAGGAUGGAAGACAACAUUCCCAGGGGUCUACACAUGGAAGAGAGACGAACAACAUUGCGACCAACCGCUUUGAUACUCGGCCGAAGUGGGCUUUGAGUCAAGAAAAGUGGCAGAGGGACGUGUCAAGGGAAUCCUUGCAGAAAAACUCUGUCAUUGAAGUUGAUGUAAGUCUGGCGGAGACCAGUCAGGUGGAAGAAAAGAAUGGAGUUCAAUUGUGGAAGCUAACCCAAUCUUAUGUUAAUGCUGCAAUGAGUUCGUCAAUGGAUGGAAACCAGUUUGUGGGUGUUUGUGGCGGACAUUCUGUACAGUCCCGCCUUGUUGGUCCCUCCUAUGUUGGUAAGAAUCCUCAAGCUUGCAACAGUACCAAGAGGUGGAAGCUGGAGUCAGACAUCGUUCGGACCGAUCGAGAGGAAGCCUCGAAGUGGCCAGAAAAGUGGGCAGAUAAGAAGCAUCGCCUCCGUGAUUCCCGUGGGGAGACCAGGUCAUCGUCAAACGGCGAUCUGAACUGACUCCGUUUUUGAAGAAGACUUCAAGAUCACCGCCUCAUGAGAGAACGCGAGGGACAAACAGAAGUUCAAGAAGUCCUUGCUAAAGAAGCAAGGAAAGAAGAAGAAGACCCAUGGGGGAUACACAAGUUCGUGGUGAAGCAGAGGAGCCUCCUCAUGGAAGAAGCCUGUGGAAGACGUACCAAGACUGUGAAGCGUGGAGGUAGAAGAUCGAAGGAUUCCAGCUUUGCCAGUCGACGGGGACGUCAACUGUUUAAGUGGGGAGUGUGUCACGGACAUAUUUUUCCAAAGUGUGUUUACCUUUGGUUAUAUGCUCCGAUUACCCCUAGUUUAUCUCAUCUUUAGUUUGCAUAACUAGUUUAGCUGUUUGCUUUUCAUUCUAGGUCAUAAAGCCUUGGUGUGCGUUUCGACAUUUUCAUAUGCAAGCCUGCCAUAGAGGAAAAUGUUCAAAAUGUACUAUAGGGGAGGCAUACCAGUUGAAUCCCCGCCCAAGCAUUAGUUAUACUCUUUGCAAGCAACCCUUUUUCCUUGCAAUUGACAGUCUUUAAUGCUUAUUUUAACGUCUAUUUCAAUGUAUUUCUUUCUUUCCCGCGUUUUAUAAACAAAAUUUCCCUAAAACGCAAACGAAGGUUACGACAUACAUCGACGUUACCCACAACUCUUGGAUAUUGAUCGGCUUACUUGUUCAUCGGUUAGAACAAGUGUCGCACAAUCGUCCGUCUCGAGGUUGAAACGCUACGAUUGUGACACCGACGGCCACAUAGAAUUGAGAAAAGCCUAUGGUUGAGGCAGCAUUAAUUUAUGAAACUUUACACGUGGGAAGGGAUGACUCUUUCUAUUCAAACCUGUAAACAUAGAAGACCGCCUCAAUGAACAAGGGAUCAUUCACAUAGAAUAAAUAUGAACAACGAGAAAGGGAAUAUAAGGUUUGAAUUCAGAGGAAAGCCUAGCUUGAAUGAACAAGGUGAAAAGAAUAUUGACAGCUGCACUUACGAGUCUUUCAGUUACCUUUCUGCCUCUUUAAAGAGAGUUCAAGGUUUUCUAUUAUCGGAAGAAUCAGAAUAAGAAGAAAAUAGAGGAAGACAGAGAGAAGAGAGCUCAGGAGGCGCAAUGAAAUAUGCGUGAGAAGCGCAUUUCCUUAGUGGAAUACUUUGAUAGCGGAAUAAGAAGUCGGAGGCUCGGUCAAGACGAUCUUUUGAUCUAUUCUAAUGGUCUCUAAUGGAUAGUCCUUCGUUUUAGAGUCCUACAGAUAAAUCCUCCGGACUGGUCCGAAGGCUAGGUUCAUACGGAUAGUCAGGAGGACGGUUAGUUGGAGCCUUGUUUUUCGAAAUCUUCUUUGAGCCUCAGUCGUCUCAUUGAUAAGGACAUCUUUGCAAAUGAAGAGCGGGAGGUGCAAAGUGCGGCUAUUACUUUGAAAAGAAUAGGAGCUCCGCGGUUUGAAUUGAAUAAAAAGGAUAGGCUGAAAUUCAAAGUGAAUAAGAGGAUAUUUUCAGAUAUAAUAUCUAAAGUCAAUGAACAGGGGCUCCUAACCUCUGAUUUAUGGGGAGCCUACUACGUCCAUUAGUUCCGAACUUGGCUCCACUCCUAGUAGUUCGAACUUGGCUUUGCUCCUUCGCUUUUUCUCUUAUUGAUCUCUCUUGUAAUGCUUUCUACUAAGAAUCAAGAAAGCGCAACUUCUAUUUUGUCCGAACGACCUUGAUUAAAAAACGAUGCUUCCUUGGUCGUGUAGAACAUGGAUUAGCAUUAUUUCAUUCCUACAAGCGAUCCCCCAUCCAGGAUUGGAAGAAGUGCUAUAUGAGGACUUUGAGAUCAAAUAGAAUAUAUUUCUUUCAAGACCUCGUGAGCCACUUAUUUCUCUGAAACAAGAGAGAAAAGUGAUUUUCCUCCUUUUUCUCAAUAAGUCGACGACCUUACACCAUUGGGAUACUUCUUCUUUGAAACUAGAGUACAUAUAGGAUACACCGGUGCUAAAACCUUUUCUCAAAAGAUCUUCCAAACUGUUGGGGUCCUUGCUCCGUAUGUUCUUCCCCCGGUGUGAAAGCAGUUGGUUCCAUAGUUUGAGAAUUCUACUACUGAUCCCAAGUACUCCAUCUCCAUCAUUGCAUAUGGGAAUAUAGAAAAGUCAAGAAGAAAAGGCAUGAGCAGAAGAAUUGUGUGAAAUAAGUCAAUUUAUCCAAUUGAGGCAUUCUUUCUUUUUCUUAAGAAAAUUCCCUCUAGACAUAAAUCCUUUCUGUACGAGUAGUGAAGAACUAUAGAGAGUAGUGGUUGGUUGUUGACCAACAAAAAGCAUGGGAGAAAGAAAGAUGUUGGCAAGGAAGCAUCAAAAUAGAUCAAUGAAAGAGGCUCAAAGAAUGAUCGAGGACUAUUUUAGUCCGACUAGAAACUAGGGAAACUAAAGACUAACGAAAUCUAGAUGAGAAUCCGUACAAUUAGUCUCGAGAAAAAGAAGAAAGCAAUAAAAAAAGUGAAGACAGAAAAUGAACCGAAAAUCUUCUUCUCUCAUAUUGAAUUCAUCCUUCUACGCAUCUCCAUGGGCUCGACUGAGAGUGGAGGAGAGGACGGGAAGAAUGAGAAAAAUAGUAAGGCGAGAAGACAGGUUCGAAGGACUAUCCAUCAGGGAGUUUGGACCCCGUAGUUAGGAGCAAAGAAUAUUGCGAAAGAGUCAUAAUAGGUACAAAUCUUCUUAUAGAUUAUGUUGAAGGAGGCGGCGCAAUUCAAUAUGCGAAAGUCAUGAUCCCUUUAAAGCAGACGUUAGGCGCAAAGAAAGAAGCUCAUUAACGAGAAUGAAAGAAUAAUUCACUCAUUAACGAGAAUGAAAGAAUAAUUCUGAUUUCAUCACCUUGUUUUUACGGAGUUCAAUACUAGAUUGAAGACGGAGGGAAAUCCCAGAUUUUGCUAGGUUUUGGGCCUAUAAAGUAGCAAGAAAUCAUGAAAAAUCAGUCAAAAUUAGACAAUUAUCGUAGCAUAUCAAUAUGAGAAAAAGUAUGAAAAAGAAGCAAAAAAGUCGGGAAAUAGCAAUUCAAGAAGAAAGCCUAGGACAGGGAAAAGAAAUGAACACUUCUAGUUUGAGUUUAUGGUCCGGAUACUGACAGGUCUAUUCUUUAUUCCGCUCCUGAAUAUGGAUAAUCCUACUUCGGUUAAUUACGGAUAGUCCUCCUUCGGUUAAUUACGGAUGGUCCUACGGAUAAAUCCUCCAGACUACUUCCUUCCAUAUGGAUGGUCCUACUUCGGUUAAUUACGGAUGGUCCUACUUCCAUAUGGAUAGUCCUACGGAUAAGAAUCCUGCGGACUCCGGACUACUUUGGUUAAUUACGGAUGGUCCUACGGAUAAAUCCUCCGGACUCCGGAUAAAUCCUGCGGACUCCGGACGUACGACGUAGGAUAAAUCACCUGGACCUUUCUUUGGCACUACGGACUACUUCGGUUAAUUACGGAUGGUCCUACGAAUAAAUCCUCCAGACUCCGGGUCGUAAGACGUAGGAGAAAUUCCUGCGGACUCCUUCCUUCCAUAUGGAUGGUCCUACGGAUAAAUCCUCCAGACUACUUCAAUUAAUUACGGAUGGUCCUACUUCCAUAUGGAUAGUCCUACUUCAAAUGGAUAGUCCUCCGGAUAAAUCCUGCGGACGUAGGACCCUGGACCUUUCUUUCUUUAAUGGAUAGUCCUCCGGAUAAAUCCUGCGGACGUAGGACCCUGGACCUUUCUUUGGCACUCCGGACGGAUAAAGAAAGGAUAAAUAAAGGCGCAAAGAAUAUUGCGAAGCGAAGCGCAUUUAUCUAAGAAAAGAAGAAAGGAUAAAUAAAGGCGCAAAGAAUAUUGCGAGAGCGGGAAUUACCUUUUCUCUUCGGGUUAGCUAAGAGUUGCCGGAGGCUUGAAGUCGGAUAAUUACUUUUACUUAAAGGUUUCACAAACCUGCAAAAUCUUCUCCAAAUUAGCGUUAGCGUUCUGAGCUAGCCAAGCAGUAUAUUUAAAAUAUAGAAAGAAGAAAAAUCCAUGCAAUCUAAGUACACUAAGAACCUACAGCAUCGUCACCGCUGCGUGGGAAGGUUAAUUCUUCUAACUCUGGUAUUAUCGUUGAACAAGCAGUUCACAUCCGACUGCCCGCGUAGUGGGGGAAGCUCGCUCGCUAACUUUGCACUUCGGCCAAAAUGCCGAAAAAAGGCUAAGGCCGAAGGAGGUCUGACUCCUUCGCUCAAGGAAGAAUUGCCCGAUUGGAUAUAUAUCUUGGUGCGGAGAGAGGAAAGGAUCACGGAAGCCUCAGUCUCAGUACGAAAGGGGCAAAAAGCUGGAAAAAGCAUACUGGCUUCACCUUGCCCUAGGAUGGGGUCCGCCGGAUCUUUUAAGGCAUAGGCUUAAUGCUGAGACGCACGGGGAUAUCCGGUCCAGGAUGGAUAUUCAAGACAAGGACGAAGGCUCUCCGUCACGCAAGAUGAUUACAAGUCUUAGGAGUGAACUUCCGCUUUACCCCUUCCGGUAUCAGGAAGCGAAGGGCAGAGAAAGCGAGCGAGAAAACAUAAAUCAAGGCGGUCGAUGACUUAAAAUAGGCAAAAAGAAAAGACAGAAAGCCUACGGGUUUCUCGGUUUACCCUUCUUUUAGGAUAGAAAAAGGCACUGCCUGUGUGACCACUACAAGCGGACGUGACGAGCGACGCAGGGCCACCCACGACCGCUAGCAAUACGAGGUAAAGCGGCCAGAAAGCAUACCAUAGGAUGCGUCCUGAGGGCAUUCACAUAAACAUUCUUCGAAUUGUUCACAUUCGGCGGGAUGUUCUUAGCCUUGUCUCCAGGUGAAUAAUUGAAUCGGCACCGGCGAUCGGACCUAUUGCAGCCUUCGGUUGACUGGUGGCAUUCGAUGGUAUGCUUGAGGCCUUCCCAACCCGCUCCGUGUAAAAGAGGUAGAAGGAGGCUCAAAGAAUUAUCGAAGAGCAAGACGAAAGAAAAUAGCGACUUCCAGUCGGUGAUGGGAAAUCUCAAUGUUAUCGCAGAUUCAAAGGCGCAAAGAAUAUUGCAUUGAGGCUCGACUGAAAGGAGAGGCGAAUUUGAGAAGAAAGAACUAUAUCGGCUAAAUACUCAACUGCCUCAGACGUCACUGGGACAAGAGCCGGAGAUUCCGAAACCUCUCGCAGCUUCUUUGCUUCCUCUGGUCUCGAUAUUUGAACCGCCUCAAUAAACAAUAAAUAAGGGUCCAAAAAAUCAAGGUCAUCUUCAAACCCUUUUUUUUAUGCGCCUCAGUCCUAUCCAUUAGAACGUCGGCCCUCACCCUUUUUCUUCUUAGUGCGCGCUUGAGCUUUAGUCUUCUGAGUUCUCAAAUUCUUUGACCCUCUGUCUCAGUAUUCGGCAGAGAUGCUGAUGUUAACAAGAAAUGCAGGCUGAAUGUUGUAUGGAAGGAUGAUCAUUUCGGCUUCUUGUAGCCAUUGAUGCUGUCUAAUGCUUGGAGAGACAUUGUUUAAUGUGACUUUGGACAAGGUUACUGAAGAUAGAACUAUCUGGCCUCAGAGGUCAGUUUUCAGUUGCUAAGACAGUGAAGCUCUUUCAUCUUCCUGGUAAUACUGUCCCUUGGUUCAAGCUUCUUUGGGGUAAGAAGCACAUCCCUAGUCAUGCUUUUCUUUCCUGGAUGGCUAUGAAUAAGAGUCUGAGAGUCAAAGCUAAACUGUACAAUCUUUAAGUGCUUUCGUCUGAUUUUGAGGUUUGGAAGCAAAGAAGCAGAGCGGAGUUUGAUUCCUUAUAUCAGAAAAAGAUAUAGGAAGACUCCCAGAAAGAAGAAAGCCUAGGAGAAAGCAAAGAAAGAGUAAGGAUCAGAAAGCUCCUAACCCCUAUUUAUUUAUGGAUGUGAAUUGAGCGAAGGCGCAAAGAAUAUUGCGAAGGUUCAAAGAAUAUUGACUUGAUAAACCUCUAUUUAGCUUCUUAUAUCUGAAGACGAUAAAGUCAGAUAAUCAGCCUCCGGCUGGGUCGGAUCGUCCAUACCUAGUUGAGUAUCUUGUCCGUCAUAACGAAGUCACUCUUUGAAAAAGGGUCGGGCUUUGUUGGAGUUGACUCGGUGAGUACACUUUCAUCUUUACGAGAAGAAGCGCGAACAACAACUAUAUUAUUCAGCAGAGACCUGAUUUACCCGAUGAGUGGAACGGCUCGACAAAAGUCUUAGGACUCGGGACGACGCGCCUCCUUCCUGCUAGAACUCAUAGGUCUACGGGGUUCUUUCGGUAGCGAGAAUAGUGGUCCCAAACGGAAUAGAAGUACUUUUGAUUCACUGAAUCGGAAUCUUUGAAAGAAGAAAGGGGGACGGAGGAUCAAUGAAAUUUGAUGAUGAUGAGUAAGCUCUUGCUUUUCUUGCUCCUCUUUCUGAAGUUGCGAGAGGUUCAAAGAUCCUUAUCAAUGAUUGGAGUGGCUGUUCCGGUUGCAGACGUUGCUGUUGGAGUAGAAGCUGUAGCCCUUUCGGUGAGGUGCGAAUGCUCGACCUCGACCCAUUGGCAUUAGUUGAGGAUGCACCAUCCCUGAUUAUUUUUUAGGAGAAAGCCUCUUUCGUCGGGUUCAAGGGAAAAGACUAAGAAUGAGGUCCCCUCCCCCCAGUUGAGGAACGAGGGCAAAAGCGAAGCCUAUGAAGUGAGUAUGAGCUCGCUCGACCCCCACGUAGCGGGAAUAGCACCAUCUUCUCUCUUUCAUGAGUAGUUCACUGCACUCAUUAGUAGCUGGACCAAGAGGUUAUUCUCUCUAUGAUCUCCUGGACUGGAAUAGCGCUCUCCCCAUAGCAAGAGGGAGCUCGACGUAGUCGGUCUUUCGGCAGUCACAAUAAUUAAGAGAAGCAGCUGCUCGGGAGAGGGAGGUAUCAGAUGCACGAAGAGAGGAUUGGUCGAAUCGACUGUAAGAAGAGGCAUCUGUUCUUGUGGCUGUAGCAGUUGCAGAAGUUGAAUCGUCUGUGGCUGUUCUUGUUUAAGAAAUAGCUGCAGCUAUUCCCACCAAGGCCUGACGAUAGGCUGAUUUCAGGAUUUCCUAUCCAUCCUCAAAUUCUUUGAGCCUUUGUUACAAGAAAAUACUCUUUAGUGACUCAAGAAUGACCCUGUCUUAUGGCACCUCUCAUCUGGAGCCUUUGUUUUUGAAACAAGUCAAAUUCUCUAAUGGAUAGGCCUGAAUUCAUGAAUAUUGAAUUGAACCUACUAAAAUCAAAGGAAUAAAGAAAGAGCUCAAAAGGAGUCAAAAUGAGAAGUCCGAAACCUCAUCACCUACUCCCGGAGGCAAGGUGAAAUUCAAUAUGACGAAGUCUUAUAGUUGGGUCUCAUCCCCCCAUAAUCAAGUAGCGUCCACUAAAAAGAAGCGGAGCGCGGAAGGACGAGGCGCAAUGAAAUAUGCCUUGAAUGAAUCUACCCUUUUUAGACUCGACUACUCCGCUACGUGGGCUUACUAGUAAUGCUGAAGUUUCCUCCUUUUCUAGCUUUCUUUCUAAUGCCCUUCUUUAUGGUCAAUGGUCACUUCCCCGAGGCGCGGAUCCCACUACACGGGAAUAUAUUAUGAUAUAAUGAACUAUCUUCUUUCUAAUAGCUAGUUUCAACAGCCACCGGGGAGGAGACAAGAACUCAAUCUACUGAAACAAGGGUUUCAACCACAGCGAGAGCAGACCUCAAAAAAAUAAGGAAGAAAAAGAUAAAGGCGCGAAGCGAAGCCUAUGAAGUCAUAAGGGCAAGGGCUUUCCGUGAACUUUCUUAUGAUGGGAAAUCCUUGUUUUCAUUUGCGAGACACAUUUCAUUCGUAGAAAUACCACUUCCUACUUCCUCAUCCCGACAAUAAAUAAAGCACUACGCGGGACAAAGUAGAUUCCCAAACUUAAAAGGAAAGACUAAAAUCAAAGCUCCAGAUGAGUUGAAUUGAGGUGCAAUGAAAUAUGCCUUUCUGCAGUGUGCGAAUUCGCUCUUUCGGCUGAUAACCUUUCGAUCCAGAAAGCACUACGCGGAAGUUCCCCACUACGCGGCGUGAAGUGACUGCCCACUUUUUGAAAAGAAAUAAAGAGCGCAGAACAAGGUUCAGUUAAGCUUGAUAAAUCAGUCCUUCGCCUAAGAAUAAGGUGAAAAGAAUAUUGAACUCAUGAAAUCAAUAUCCCUGUCUUAUGGGGCCUUUGUAGCUUAAUAAUGGGGAUCUGGUUCAAUUAUAAGGCUCAAAGAAGAUUGAGAAAGAAUAUUGCAAAAUCAAGGCGGCAAAGAAAAGGUGAAUAGGGAUUCGUACGAUUAGACUUGACUGAGAAUGGAAUUGCUUUAGCUAUCUUUUUUUUUCCGUCUUUCAAGGUGGAAGCUAAAUCAGAAUAGUUUCUAGUUGAAGGCAAGCAAGCUAGGGUUGGUUCGUAUUGACAAAGAGCUGGACUUCUAAACUUUCAAUGGGUACUGGAGUACUUUCUUUGUCAAUCGAUGCUUAAUACUAUCUUUACGCAAAUAAAGGCCGAAGAAUGAGGCUAAGUCUUCUAUUUAGUGGUCUCGCAAUAUUCUUUGCACCUUGCUGAUCUCAUUUCAAAAAUGCUUCGCCUGCCUCUUCUUUGAUUCCGUGCACGAGUAAGUACCCGUAAAUCGUAAAGAAAGAGGGGGGUAGUUACCUGCUCUUUCAUCGAGAUUGGCGAAUUACGGUAGAAGAUAGAAGAGGUUCGAGGAUCAAAGUAUUUGAGCUUUGCUAUUACUUUCAUGCUCCUCUUAGAAGGAAGAUAAGCACGAUAAGCUGGCCUAUAUCAUUGCUUAAUUCAUGCUUUCUUCGUACUUCCGGAAAGAAAUCUCACUCAUUUCAUUCUAUCACAUAAUGAGAACUCUAGAAAAGAAAUUGCUUACUUCAUGCUUUCUUCGUAUUUAUUUAAGGACCCAAUCCAUCUUUUGUCUAUGACGAUCGGUACGAAAGGAAGGCAUGCUCGCAGGGGAUUCUUAUUACUAAUAGAUGAUAAGAUAAUACGAGAAUGAAAGAGGUCGAGCGCCUCACCUCUGAGUCUGAUUGUUGGAAGUAUGAUGACUCCCACUGGUCGUCUUUCAACUCAUUAAAUCCCCCUAUCUUUUAUGGCGGUCUUACCGGAAUAUCUACUUUAUAGAAUUCCUAUGAGACUAAGAAAACAAACUGAGACCUCGUAGUCUUCCUGUUCCCGGUCGAUCCUAUGAUCGAUCUCAUACAAAGAUCUUCUAUGAUUCGACUAAAAAGACUCUUUCUUCUUAGUUUGAGCUUGAGGCGCGUCCAACCCACUACGCGGUAAGCUUUUCCUCUUUUCCUCUCACUUCAAGACUCAAGACCUUACCCGCACCGAGUCAAUCCGAUCGCUACCUUUCCAGGUCGUAUUCUAGUAAUUAAUUUCAUUAAUAACUCAGAGCGGCGAUCUAAAUACUUCUUCAGCAAGAACUUUCGAAGAAGGUAGAGGAACUGAAAUGGAUUCAGCUUCCGCAGGCAGCAUCCCUUUCAACGACGACUCCCCGAGAGACUCGCUUCAAACUUCCGAUUUAGAAAGAAGGUAUCUCAGUCUCUUACCGCGUAGUGGGCUGAUCGUGAGAGAUGGAAUCUUCAACCUCUUAUGGAAAUGUGUCCAGCGGAAGUAUUUACGUAAGAAAUUGAGAACCAGGCGAGAGGAGAGGGGUGAGGAUCGAGCGCAUUCCCUAUCGAUCAGCAUCCUCAACUCUACUUCAAGAGUAGAAAGGUUUCGGAAUUCAGAGGCAAGAGCAUUCCUUCCUCUUUCUUUAGUCAAGUCAUUUCAUUCCUUUUCUCACUAGGUCUAUAGAAAUAGUUCAUGGCCAGGACUAGGUCUCGUCAUAUUCUUUUCUCAAGAGAUGAGAAGAAAGUUCUCCUAAUAGAAUAUGUUUGAAUAUCUCAACUAGAAAGUCUCGGACUAACUCUUCCCAUAGCGUAGCCUACGGAGCGGGGAAAAGGAAGAUUUUCAACAGUCAAGAGAUCAAUCAGAAGGGAGCGGGAAGAAUGGAUAUUGUCUUCGAUCUUGCGAUAAAAUGAGUCAGACCAUAUGCGAUCUCGUCUCAAACAGAGAAUUAGUAAUCUGAGUCGCACGGGGAAUAGGUUGGAUAGUCCGGAGGACGGGAAGACAGAAAGAAAAGAGAGGCUCCGGAGGUUCAAAGAAUAUUGACAAAGAAUAUUUCAUGAAUUGAGGUGCGGUAGUCCGUCCGAAGGACUAUGAAAUCCAUUAGUUUUCGUUUGCACUCCUUUCUUCUUUUCUUAGAUAUUCUGGGAUUGAACUCCGUCUGAAAUCUAGCAGAUUCAUUUUUAGCUUCUUUCAUUCUCGUUAAUGAGCACUUGAACCUGUCUUUCUCAGGCGCAAAAAAUAUUGCGAGAAGAGCAAAGAAGAGAAUGGCGAUCAGAAUUUGAGUCCUUUCAUACUUUCGUUGAGGAGGAGGAGUUUUCUUCUUGUAUCAUAAUAGGAUAUUUUAGUAGAAUAAGAAGAAGAAGAAGAUAAGACUACGUAGCGUAGUGGGCUUUUCUUAUGGCGGAGCGGAGGAUUCCGACUAUCCACUGAAGAAAGUAGGAAAGCCUAAGGAACCUAAAAAGGGCUAAUAGGGGAAGGAAGAAAGCCUAUCCCUCCAGAAUCUUUGAGGACCGAAGGACUUCUUUAUAUCCCUAUUUAUUUAUUUAUGGGACUCCCAGAAAGGUUUAGUUCCAUAAAUCAGUCGGCUAAUAUAUAGGAUGAAAGUAGAUAGAAAGGAAAAGAAAAAAGUCGUCACUCUUAAGGAGUGCAAGAAGGAAUCUUUGAACCUUUUAUCCUGAUCUCUCUCAUUCUACAACUCAGUCGAGCCACUAUUCAACCUUCUUUUCGAUGGGACAUCAUGUCCUCUUAUCUUAAUCCCAUAAAUCAUUUAAGGCGAUACGGAAACAAGAAAUCCAGAAACUUAAUCCGGUAGAGUCAAUUCGAGACUAAGACGAGUUGGGGUUUCGACCAUAGGCUUUCCUUCCAAACCUACUAUACUAAACCUACCCCCGGACUCAAGGCGCGAAGUGAAGCGGCUGCCCACUUUUUAGAAAUAAAGAGCUGAGAUAAUUCUUUUCACUCAUUGAGGUCGGCUAAAUUCAAUGGAUAAAGAAGUCCUUUGCUUCAUUCUAUAUGUCCUUAUCAAUGAGACCAUUAAUCAGUCCGAAGGACUAUCCAAAGAAAAGAAUAUCCCUGUCUUAUGGGGCCUCCGUAGCUUAAUAUGGAGCGCUCCGGACGAGUCUUAACUAAUAUUCCCAAUCAAAGAAUUAUCGAAAGAAUGAUCGACGAGUCUUAUUCCACUAAAAUAGUAGUCCUUCGGAGCAGUCUUAUACUAAUCUCCUAAAAUCAAAGCUCCAGAUGAGUUUCAUUCCACUAAAAGACGAAAGAAGGUAUCUCAGUUACCAAAGAGAAAGAGCUUCCACAAACCACUUCCACAUAAACUUCUGCUAAGUCUACUUCUGUUAUUGAUUCAACUUAGCCUUUAAUCAGAUUAGGACCUAGCUAGCCAACCUUAUUCCUUCCUCUUCCUUACUUUGUUCUCGCUUGCUUCGGCAGGCACACACUAUCUCUGGAUACUGGAUAAGAGAUCCUUUGGUCAAGCUGCAAGAGAAAGACUUCUUCUCCGAUCGAUCAGCUACCCGAUUCCUCCUUCCCCGAUGAUAAGGUUAGCAGGCCCGAUCCUCUCCUAUUGAAAAAGAAAGCAGAAAUCUUUCAGUCUAGAGGAUUUAUCCGUAGCCCGGAGGAUUUAUCCGUAGCCCGGAGGAUUUAUCCGUAGGACCAUCUGUAAUUAACGCGAAGUAGUCUGCAGUCCGGAGUCCGCAGGAUUUAUCCGGAGGACUAUCCAUAUGGAAGUAGGACCAUCCAUAUGGAAGGAAGUAGUCCGCGAGUCCGCAGUCCGCAGGAUUUAUCCGUAGGACUAUCCAUUUUCAGUCGGACUAUCCAUAUGGAAGGGAGCGAAAUCUAGCUAUGAGGACUCUUUGAGCUCUUCUUUGAGUCAGUGGCUCUGCCACUUGCAGAAGGAGCAGCGAAGUCCGCGGUUUCAGAGGUUUAUGUAGCAGUUCUUCUUUAAUAAGAUGCUUACUUUCUUUCGGGUAGAAAGGUUCACUCGUGAACGGUACACCUCUUAUAUGAUGCCUGGGGACUUUGUCCCUUCUUCUACGGAUUUCUCUUAUAUGAUCUUAUUCAUCUCCGUAUCGUUCAUAUAUUCAUUCUAUAAAAUCCCUAGCUGCCACAGAUGGUCGAACUUGCCUCUUAAGUGGCGUGGGUCGAUCCUCUUGUUGACUUUUUACCUAGGAGUGGGGGGGAAGAAGUUCGAGAAUAAUUUAUCUUCUUUCCUUGUCCCAGUUCUUCUUUCCACUUCUACUUAAGUCACCACGACUGAUACAGAUGCAAGAACAUCAGGGCGAGCAGGGAAGAGGCGGAGGGAGUUUGCACUCUUUUCAUGCGGGUUUGAGUGAGACUGAUGCGCCCUAGGUCAAGCCAUUGCUUCGUCUUGUUCAUCACAUUCAUUAUGUUCACAAUUCCGGAAUCAAAGUAGAAAUACGAGAAAGCGCUCCAGCGGACUCUGAUUCAUUGGGAAUUCUAUCUUCCCGCCUCAAUGAACAAGGUGAAAAGAAUAUUAAAUGAAUCAUUGAGUUGAGGCGGUGGAACCUAGGAGUGGGACCGGGAACAUGAUAGGCUUGAAUCUAAGAAGUGAAUAUAGUAUUGAAAGAGGCCCACGGAGCGGUGUCCGACUAUCCUACUAUCGAAGCCUUGAAGCAUGAGUCUUGAGGUUUUCAAAGUCUACUCAGAGGACGAGGUUGAAGUUUCAUAGGGAAAGGUUUCAUAACAAGCAGUUGUUUUCCGUAUCGAAUGCUCUUUCAUUCCUUAUUCGAAAGAAGGCAAAGAAAGUGGAAACUAAAUCCUUGGAUUCUUUCCCGCUUGAACCAUGAAAGGUUAGGCCUUAGUUACGAUCUCAUUCAAUGCCCUAGCAUACUCAAAGGUUCGGGGGCGUAGUGGAUGGAGCUAGAAGACUACUACUUGGACGAGGGAUUUCCUUUCUCUUAUUGUAAUACUCCUAACCACCCCUUUUUGAAUGGGCAGGCCCCUCUGGUCGAGUUUACCCUUUUUAUUCAGGCCUAUCUGCCUCCGUUCAUGAAGGACAAAAUCGGACUGAGCCCUUGUUCAUUGAGGCGUAUAAGCCCACGUAGCGGUGCCAUAAGACAGGUCUGAAGGCGUCACAGGUCCGGAGGACCCGUCUGUCCGAAGGACGAGAUAUUUAUAAUGUUGAGAGAAAGAUUAGACUUUGUCAGGACCCUUAUUUCCAUUAUUUUUCACUUUCAAUAUUCUUGAGAAUAUUCAUUCAUCCGACAGAGCAAAGUUCAUCCAGAUCCCCAUAUGAAUUAGGCGAAUGACUGAUUUUCAAAGUCAGAGUUAUCCCUCAAAUUCUUUGAGCCUUUGCACUCAAAUUCUCUAAUGGAUAGUCCUUCAGACCGCUAGGAGUAAAGAAUAUUGUGUGGAACUGAACUAAUAGGGAAAAGCAUUUCCUAUUGAUUUGUCCCCUGGACUGGACCUAUUCUGAUUCUGAAUUAUCCGUCGCUACGUUGUUCCCAAGGACUAGCAAAAUCGAAAUAGCGAAAUUCUUGGGUCAUCUCAAUGGGUUCAGAAACCACACGUUUCUCUGGAUCAUCACAGCGUACUUCCACAUAUCCACUCAGAGGAAGGUCUUUUUGUAAUGGAUGACCCUCGAAACCAUAAUAUGUUGAUAUACGGCGUAGAUCCGGAUGAUUGAUGGAAGAAACACCAAACAUAUCCCAAACUUCUCGCUCCCACCGGCCGGCUGAUGGAAAUAGACUGACUACCGGAGAGAUUCGUGUUACUUCGUCUGCACUGGUUUGUACACGAAUGCGUGAGUUAUACCGAGUACUCAGUAAAUUAUAGGCCACUUCAAAUCUGAGUUUUCUAUAUAUAUUUAUAUUGAUGUUAAUAUGUUACCUUGUAAUUGGAAUGGUGAUUUGAAUAAUCUAAUAGGAUUAUGUGUUUGGAUCAAAAUAUGUUGCAAGAGAAAUAGCUAAAUGUGUGGAUUUAGUGACAAAGAGGGUAUUCAUGUGUUUAUUUUAGUUUUCUCAGUGAGGACUCGAUUUUUAGAAGAAACGACCACUGUUCGAAUCAUUCAAAACUUUGUUCCGAACAAAAAUUUUGGACUUUGUCAUUGUCCUCUUCACCGAAUGUGACAAACUUGAAGACAACGAUGAAACAUUGAAAGAUUACUUGGAUCGAAAAUGUCUUGUGGGGUUGAAAGAUACCAUAGCCGCUAGCAAGAACUGUUGCUUGGUUUUCAAUAACAAAACCGAUAAUGAAACAAAGAAGAUUGAAUAAGUGGAUAAACUUAUAAAGAUGGUGCAUGAAGUUGUACAACAAAAUGAAGGAAAAGCAUACACUCAUGGCUUGUUUUCUAAUGUCAAGUUUGAGACCAACUUGCAAGAUGAUGUGAAAACCAAGCUUGAACACACAAUUACAGUUCAAAACACAAGCAAAAUUUAAAGCAUAACAAGGAGCACAAGAAGUUCAACAACAAUCUAUGGAUCAAAUUCGAGUCCUCAAAGACCAUCUAUGCAUCAAGACUUGAAAGGUCACUGUCACUACCAAUGCUUCCACAAAUUAUUCGUCAUGGUCGCUGCAUGAGAAAAGGUUGCAUUAUUGUAUGACUUUACUGUGCAUGCAUUCAAUAAAUAUGUACAAGUAAUUAGUAUAAUGAAUAUAUACUAAAUAAAAAUAUGAAAAAACUGUGAAAAAAAACUUAUUUGAUUAACUGCUAUAAAAUUAAUAUUUGAAAAUUGGCAUGUGUUCUCGAAACUAAUAAAAGCAAGUUUGGAAAUGCCUUUAUUUUGUCUUUGUUGAGUGUAGUGUAAAUUGGGAAAUAUAGAAUGCUUAAUUAUGUUGUUAAUUAAUAAGAAAAUUAUUUUAGAAGUUUUGAUGAAUGUCCAACUACAUGUGGAAAGAAUUAUAAAGGAUUGAAAAAUGAUUCUAUAAUCUAGCCCAAACAAGAGGUGGGUUAUUAUAGCUCACUUCACUUCUAUUUAGUUUGGGACCCAAAUAGCCUCUUAAAAUUAGGUUAACUCCAUAACUAAUAAGGGUCUUUAACUCAUAUAGUCUAAAUUGCUAUAUGAUAUUACAUGAAUGAUCCAAAUUACUAAUAAAUUUCAUAAAAGUCCUAAAUGGACUAGUAUAUUACAUAAAUGUAGGCUCAAAUUACUUUAAUACCAAUUUAUAUUAUUUAAUUGAUUUAUAACAAAUAUCUAAAUGAAAAAAACCGUGGGAUAUAGUUUUGGAAAGAAGUGGGGUCCAAAUUAAUUUAAUAUCAACUUCUAUUAUUUAAUUUAAUUGAUUUAUAACAAAUAUCUAAAUGGAAAAAAUGGUGGAACACCGUUUUGGAAAUAAGUGGGGUCCAAAAUAAUUUAAUACAAAUUUUUAUUAUUUAAUUGAUUUAUAACAAAUAUCUAAAUGGAAAAAAUAAAGAGAUACAGUUUUGGAAAGAAGUGGAAAACUUUUCAUGCUUUCCUUCCACGAAAAUGGUUGUCUACUCCUUUCAACGUGGAUUACGAUUUUUACUUCAAAAUUUUAGAGAGUUCGGAGGUGAAGAAGAAGACAGUCGACGACCGACAAAUACAAAACUUCUCGAACAUAAUCUAGUUAAAAACUUUGAAGUUAGUAUUGUAUAUAUUCAACACAUAUGAAACAUUAGAUAUAUUAUGUAUAUUUUAGACAUUCAAUUAAAUAGUCAAUCAAAUGAAAAUGUAGUUUUGAAUGUGAUACAUUUUAGGGUUUAUUGAGAUUUCGGCGGUGAAGAAGAAAACUUUUGAUGGCCAAAAAAUACAAAACUUAUCCGACAGAAUCUAACUAGAAAAUUUGUGCUUAAUAUUAUAUAUAUUCAAAACAAAUGAUUAGAAACAUUUAGUAUAUUAGGUAUAUUUUAAAUAUUCGAUUAAAUAGACAAACAAAUGAAAAUAUAUGAAACAUUUGGUAUAUUAGGUAUAUUUUAAAUAUUUGAUUAAAUAGACAAACAAAUGAAAAAUUAGUUUUGAAUGUGAUACAUUCUAGAGUUUAUUAAGAAUUCAACGUUGAAAAAGAACGGUCAUCCUAUCAAAAAAAUAAUAGAACUAUAUAUAUAAUAUGAGGUAUAUAUAUAUAAAACAUAGAACAUAACUAUUAUAGAUUACGGAUAUAUUAAAGUAUAAUGUAAUCAAAUACAUUUAUAAAGGAAAAAUAUGUAUGUAUGAUCAUGUCGUUUACUACCGUUUUAGUAAUAUUUAUUCUACAAACACAAAUUCUGUAGGAAUUAUGUAUAAGGUAUUAUUGUAUAUAAUAUGAGGUAUAUAUAUACUAAAUAACAUGUAUGAAUUAAGUGUACAUUUUAUUAGUGAAAGGUUCUUAUAUCAAUUUGUUUAUGAUUUUUAUUUAAAUAUUCAUAUAUUAUGUAGUAAGUAAUACGUUAUGUUUGAAAUAAUAUUGAUUAUGUAUUAAAGUUGCCAUUAGACAGUUUUUUAACAAAAUAUACCUAUUAUAUUAAUAUAGAAAAUGGGAGGAAAUCGUGCAACAUUAAAAUAGGAAACUUCUUUACCAUUUUCUCACUUUCCAUAUUCAACGAAAAGCUUGCCAUUUCGACAGUCAAUGACAUAUACAACAUAUUAUAUAAUGCGAUAAUAUUAUAAAACUAGUAUAAUCAUAAAUAAGAUGUGAUAUAUAUUUAAGGGAAAUAUUAAAAAACUGAUAAAUUCAUAAUAGAAUAACGUUAAAAUAAGGAGAAUAUUGUUAAUAUAAUAUAUAUACGCAUAUGAUAUACUCAUAAUGAACUAAUUUUAAAUGGGUAAAAUAACAAAUGACAUAUUUAUGUUAUUCUUCAUAUAAAACAUCAACUAAAAUAAUAAAGUAUUAUAUCUCACGGUUAAUAUAUAAAACUAUUAUAAAUGUAAACAAGAUGUGAUAUAUAUAUAUAAUAAAUCACAUAUACAACCUAUUAUAUCAUGCGAUAAUAUUUAAAACUAGUAUAAUCAUAAAUAGUAUGUGAUAUAUGUUUAAAGGGAAUAUUAAAAAACUGGUAAAAUCAAAAUAGAAUAACAUUAAAAUAAGAGGAAUAUUGUUUAUAUAUACUAUAUCUCAUAUAUAUACUCAGAAUGAACUAAUUUUAAAUGGGCAAAAUAACAAAUGACUGUGGAUUUUAUCUUAUCUUUAGGUGAUGGACAAUUGUAUAUGACGGCGAUUUGUUAAGAUUCUGCAGCUUACGGUUAUGAUAAAUUUGAAUACAAAUUUAUAAAACAAUGUAAUAAGAAGUUCAAAUGAUGGAGAAGAAUAGCAAAAAACAGUUGUCGGCGAUGGAGAAGAUAAUGUAAUGGCUGCCAGAGAGAGUGAACAAUUAGGUUAAGUUAUAUUUUUAGAAAGAAUAAUUAAAUAGUUUAUUACAAAAUAAAGUAAAAUUACAAUUAUUAUAAUAUAUUCUGAUUUAUAAUUAAUUUAAAAGAUACUUGAAAUUUAUUAACAUAUUAAGGUCUUUUGUCUAAAAGUUUCAACUAAUAAUAAUGAUAGUUGUAAAGCCCCAAAGGUAAAAAAAAAAAAUGUAUAUUUUACAUUUUCUUUUUAUAUAUUUUUAUAUAUAUAUUUUAUUUUAUUAAUUUAAAUAAAAAGAAAUGAAAAAGAAAAUCCUUAUUUAUAUAUUUUUUCUUUUCUUUUCUUUUUUUUUCUCUCUUCUUCUUCCUCCGUGCGCCGCGACCCCCACCCGUCCUCUUCUCCUUCCCGUUCGCAUCAAUCGCCGCCCCAUCCGUUCUCUUCUCUUUCGUUCGCAGCAGCCGUCGGCCGCCGCGUCUCCCCUACUGAAGCCGAGCGCCGCGACCAUUCCUUUCUCCUCUUCUCUUCAGUUCGCAAAGCAGCUGUACGCGUCCAAAUCUGUCGUCGUCCAGAUCUGCACCGCAAGACCUUCCGUCGUUGCGACCGUUGCUCUUUCUCCGCUGCCCAGCCGUCUCAGCCGGUUCUGUCUCCGUCGAAGCCACGGUUCUGCAACCGUCUCCGCCGGUUCUGUCUUCGUCGAAGCUAAGGCCCCCGCGUGAACCAGUAACCGCUACGCUCUCCGCUCACAACCGCCGCUCCACUUGCUAUCGACGUCGGUCGACUAGUUGCUGUAACCGUUCAGAUUUGCUGUAACCGUUCAGAUUCGCGGUCUGUUCGCGACGGUCUCCAUCCGUGAAGCCCAGCCGCCACGUUCCCUUUGGCCGACCGCUGACCGACCCACACUUAGGAUUUUGCUGCAAGUUCGACAGUCGUGCGUUGAGGUGUUGGGAGUAACGUUAGGCUCCCUUGCAUUCACAACCAGUUUGUGAGUUGUUGAGGGUUCAGUUCGCCAAUAUAUCGGUGAGUUGGAACUUACGUUGAGGAAAGUAAGUGAGAUAUGUAUCGUGAAAGUAAUUGAAUUUUGUGUUGUUGUGCUUAGGAUUGUUUCGAGGACGUUAGUUGAUUAAGGAGCUUCCCCAACUUUGAGGUAAGGGAUUUUCUACUGGACUCAAUUGUGAUUGUGAACUGUGAUUGUGAACUGCAUGUGUGUUGAAUGUAUACUGUGGGCUAACUGAAAAUAUAUAUGAAUGUAUAUGAAUUGAAGUAGACUUGACGUCAAAUGUAUAUCGUGAUUGUCAUGGAAUCUAUAUAUAAAUGUGUGUGUGUGGACAGGACGGAGAUUGUAGAUUGUGUUUGUAUGAGAUGCAGAUGUGAAUCUUGUGAUUUUCGUUUAGAUUGGGUGUAUGAUUACGCUAAAGUAUGACUGUGUGCUGGUGAACUGAGGGGUGCAUUGACUGUAUAGUGGAUUGACUGUAUAGUGGAUUGACUGAUGUAUUAGCAUAUUAUUGACAGACAUAUGACUGUAGUAAAAUAAGUUGACUGUUAGGAUGUUGAAAGAAAGAACUUUGUGACUUGAAGUAACUGAAAGAUGGGUUGAAUGGAAUGAGGGGAUAAAUUGUUAGAUUGUAUUGGGAUGUUUACCUUGUAGGUGUCCCACGGGAUCACCAAUUUAUUGUGCACCUUCAAGAGCAUUUGACUGAUAUGUGUUUCUGCAGAACACUAGACUGAUAUGUACGUCCCUCGGGGCGUUAGACUGAUAUGUACGUCCCUCGGGGCGUUAAACUGAGAUCUGUAUCCUACGGGAUCACAAGACUGCGAAUGUACAGAGUGUCCCAAUAGAACUUUAACAAUUUACUUUCCCCUGACGAGACCAGUAGAGGGUCUCUUACUGAGUAUUGUUAUACUCACCCUUCUUAUGUUUAAUUUUCAGGCAAAGGUAAUAAAGGCGGCAAACCGGCGAAGGGCAGGAAGGAAGCGUGAUUGACAUAGGAAAUGUGUCAUUUUGCUUCCGCUUAUGGUUUCUUUUGAGGUUUAAGAUGUACUAAAACUUAGUUUACAAACUUUUAUUUGUAAAUAGUGUUAUUUUUAAGUUUUCUUGAACAUUUGAAAAUCAGGCCUGACAUAAAUUGUUUUUAAAUUGACUUACGUUUCAUUUUGUAUCAACCAAAGUCUUUUGUUAAAAAUUAACGACCUCGACUUACCUAGAAAAGUUGGGUCGUUACAAUAGUUCUCAUUAACCAAUUGACAAAUGAAUGAUAUUGUCAAAUGAUCGAUAUUGUCAAAUGAUCGAUAUGUGCAAGUGCACAUUUCAAUUAUAUUAUAGUAAAACGUUCUUAGAGAUCGAGCUAGUAUCCUUUUAAGAGGGAUCAAAUUAACAAAUUAAUUUAUUGAUUUUAGGAUUAGGAUGUGUUUUAAGGAUAAAAACAAUGAUUAGAAACUAAUUAACUACAAGUUGUUGACUUUUGAAAAGAAUAUCUUUCCAUUCAAACAUAAUUGUUCCUAAUCUCUUCCAACUAAGUUAAAUAUUAUGGUAUUAAACAGAUACAUAGUUUGGUUGGUAGUUUCUCUUCAAAAUUAUUAUUUUGAGAAAACAAAUACAAUUUCUUUUUAUGUAAUCCAAUAUCCUCAAGUAUAUUUAUAAAUAUGGAAAUAUUAUUUCCAUAUUAGAAGAGAUACUAAAAGAUCUUAUUACAACAUCAUUAGAGUCCCAUCAUUUUCUCUAAAUAUCUCUUUUGUGGUGAAAGAUUUGGAAUUGCACAUCAAUCAUUUUGGAGUGGGUAAUUGAUCACCCUAUUUUUCAAAAAAUAAGAAAGAUAAAAAAUAGUUAUUUUUUUAAAGAUAUAUUUGAAAGUGUUGAGUUUAUGGAAGGUAUUAGUACUUAUACAACCACGAAACAUUUGAUUUUUGUUAUCUAAAUUAUUUUAAUAAAAAUGUUUUUUUUUUUUUUUGAAGUUUAUGCUUAUUAAAAAUGCUUAUUUAAAAAAUGUUAAUGAAAUUUUAAAAAAUAAAAUCUAAUUAAACACUUCUGAGAUAGAGAGGUUUCCCUUGACUACCCGAGCGUAGAUAAACACUUCUGAGAUUUGGUUGGUAAUCCUAAGUUCGUGUGCAGUUGAUUAUUUUUUAAAUUUUGUAUAGUUGAAUAAUAUUUGAAUUUUAAAUUUUCAUCUAUGUGAUAUUUACUCAUUUCAAACUUUUUGAAUAUGCAUGUUUAUUUAUUAUUCUGUCGUCUCUCUAUUGUAUUUUAAAAUAUAGAAUAUGUGUAUUUAUAUUAUUUGAAAUUGAAAAUUUAACUUUUACUCUUAGAGUAGGCUUUAACUCUUUGUUUGUCCGUGUUGUAGGUGAGCGAGAAGGAAAAGUUCCAUUGUUUGAUUGAAUUGGAAUUGUUUCCUGCAUGGGGUGUCAUACAUAAUUCCACUUAUUACUAGUUGAAGGUCUUCUUUGCCUCUGUCUUCUUCCCCAUCUCCCCAAGUUGUUCUAACCUUUUUAUAUCUACCUAUUACAUGUCAAAAGGUUCGCUCUUCAAUGUUUUGAAACAAGUUCAUUAUGAAAAUCUCUCACAAGCAAACGUAUGUGCAUUAUGAAUAAUUUCAUCUCAAAAAAAUUGUUUGAGAGGUUUCAAAAGUGUAUCGAAACUAAUAAUUUUAAUGAAUAAAAAAAUAAUUCUUCGUUAGAUUCUUACAUUUUAUUUCAACGAACAAAAUUUAGGAAAAUUUUUAAAAAUAGCAAAUUUUACAAAAAUAUUUACAAUUUAUAACAAAUUUAUAGUCAUUGAUAUGAUAUAACGAUAGUUACUAAUAAAUAUUUUAAUUUAUUUUGUUAUUUUUAAAAAUGCUCAUAAAAUAUUAUAGUGAGGGAACAAUGAUGAAUCACAUAGUUCUUGUGGUGAUGUCGCUUUUUCUCCCUCUUUACAUUCUAAAAUCUCAAAUACAAAUCAUAAAACAAGUAGAUAUACAUUCAAUUAGCAUGAUUUUGAUUCUAAUAAAUUAGAAAGACAAAAAUAACUAACUAAUUAUGGAAAAGUAAUAUUUUAACAUGAAUUAUUGAUUUUUAAUUAGAGGUAAUUUUAAAAUAAAUAAAAUAAAAGAAAAUAUUACAAAUCAAAUCUAAACUAACUUUGAUUUUACUUCUUUAAUUGCAAUAUAACAUAGAUACAUUGGCUAUGAAGUGCAAUUUCUUAUAUUAUAAUAUUUAAAAGAUUUAAAUUUAAAAAUAAAAAUAAGUAAUCUCAAGUCCAAUAUUGGACCCGUGGGCUUAGCCCAUCAAUUUAAAAAUUCAAAAUGCACACUCAACCGUCACAUUUUCCUAGGAUCAUCCUAUUUAAUGCCCUUCUACUUGUCAACUCCAUCGAAAUCCUUCAUUUCUUGUGGCACCGUCUAAAAUUUGCUUCGAUUGAAGAAAUUUUGACGCCCAUGACAGCGUUGAAAUUUCUUCAAUGCAAACAAAUUUUUUAUCUUCCUUUCAUCGAGGAUUUUCAUACCAUGUGAAGGAGAGAUCAGUUCCAUCCGUUCCAAGUCGUUCGUGAGUCAUCUUCUUUCCUGUGUAGUUUUCAUCUCUUGAUUUUGGAUUGCUUGUUCAAGAUUUAUUUUCGAAUUUUGGAUUGUUUGCUAUUCGGAUAGGCAGAAGGUUUGCACGAUGAUAGAUCUGGAGUACCUGAAUCGUUUAUUGAUUCUGUAGUUUAAUCUUAUGAUUUUGGUGAUUUCGAAGCGUACAAUAUAAUCGUACUGUGUUAUGAAGUAAAUAAGAUUUUGUAGGGUUUUUGAAAGUUAAUUUAGAUAUUUCCUGCAUUUUAGUCUUGAUAGAUCUGGGGUACCUGAACCGUUCAGGUUUGCAUGCUGUGAUUGUGUUGUUCUUUUUUGAUUUUGGAGAGAGUCCUUGGGUAAUUUUGAGGAUUGUUCUUUUUUUAGUUUUUUUUUGCAUGCAUUCAAACACACGCAUGGUUUUUAAACUGGGGUUCUUGAAUAUUUGUUGGUUUUCUCGAAUAUUUGCCGGUUUUUUUUUCUCAGAAGAAUUGAUCUUAUAUUUGUGUAUCUCUCUGUGCAACUUUAAUAUAAAGUUAUUAAGGAAGAAGAGAAAGGAGGAAGAAGGGAGAGAGAAAAGGUAGAAACGACCUAAUAGUAGGCAUGAGUAUUAAGAUGCAGCAGAGCCACCACUUAGUGGCGCUAAGGUUUAAUGAGCAAAUUGACAGUAGAAAAGGGUCCACAUCCAUACCUAAGUUACUAUUGCUCUGGGUUCUGUUGGUGGCAUUCAUUAGUAUGUUAAACUACAAAGAAAUGGAUGGGUGGGUGUUAACAAAGUUAGAAGAAAGUAAGUUCUGGGAAGUAUGUGUGACCAGACGACAAAGAUGUUUCUUAGUGUCAGUGUCAAACUAUGUCCAGGCUUUGGCCAUUCUCAUUUCCAUUUUCCAGUACUUCAAAAUCGUAUCAGCAAUUGAUCAGGAAAAUGUGUUUCGAUUUCUGUCUUUUAUUAGUCUCGGUUAGUUAGGCUUAAGAGUAAGGGAUAUAAUUCAUUUUUCUUGUUUCAGCUAGAAAUUACGUCGAUGUCUUGAUUUUUAGUUUUUUUAGGGCUGUUUGGUUGUUUUUUUAGGGGUGUUUGGUUAGUUAGGCCUAAGAAGUAAGGGCUAGUGAAAGAGAAGCAUUUGAUUGUCCUACAAGUAUCUGAAUCGCCAAUGAAAGCAGAGGUUAUUUCCUCUGAAUUUCCACGAAUUGUUCAGGUUUGGAUUCUGUGAUUGUGUUGUUCUGUUGUUCUCUUCUUUAUUUUGGAGUGUUCUAGGAAAUUUUGAGGUUUGUUAUUUUUUAGUUUUUUUGGCUUGCCUUUAAUCACGCUCGUUUGGGAAUAGACAGGCUUCAGAGAAUGAAUCUCCUUUUUAAGGGUUCGUUGGGGAGCGAAGUGACCAUAUGGCAUCCCUUUCUGCACCUGCUCAGUCUCUCUCUUGCCUUUUUCAUACUACAUAUUUUUGUUUCUCAAUUUAGUGUCAGUGUCAACCAUGUCUAUGCUUUGGCCAUUCUCAUUUCCACUUUCCACUACUCUAAAAAUGUAUCUGCAAUUGAUCAGGUAAAAGUGUUUCAAUUUUCUGUCUUUGGUUCAUCUCCGUUAGUUAGUCUUAAGAGUAAGGGAGAUAAUUCGUUUUUCUUGUUUCCCUCCAUGUAUUGAUUUUUAGUUUUUUAGGGAUGCUUGGUUGGUUUGAAUGCACGAAACAUUUGCUGGUACACGAUUCAAACAGCUUGCCCAGUCAUGUUUUUCUAUUUUUUUUUAAUAUUUUGGAAUUUUGCAUGUGUGAUUUCUGUAUAUAUUAUUCUUGCCCUUUUCCUUUAUCAUCAUUUAUUUUGAUUUUGGAGAGGUCUCUUGGUUAUUUGUUAUUUGCACAUAUACAAGGGUUGAAAAUUUCAAUCCCACCUCUCUUUUAUAUUACAUUCAUUUAGUUUUGGCUGUUAUCUAAUUGAACUAUUUGAUCAUCAAAUAAUUGUGUUACCUUUUCUUCUAGAUGUUUAGAUUCAUUUUUCUCACUCUUUUAGUUUUCUUAAUGUGUGACAGUCUUUGUUUUUUAUUGAACUAUUGUGUGGCAGUCUUUAUUUAUUGGUUAUCUUUAGUUUCACUAUUGUUCUUUUUUUAAUGUUUUCUUAGUUUUUAAUAAGUGUGACAAAAUAUGAAUUAAUUUUUUUCUUUGAACAAAUGUGGAAUUUAUUUUCUUUUAAUGUAGUUGUGUCCCCAAUAAAUUUAUUUUGGCGAUUUAACAAUCCAUCAUGUUCUUUUUCAUUUUUCUGUUGUAUUUUCUUCGGUUCUUUGUUGUGGUAUGUCUAUUUUUGAGACAUUCUUAAUUUAGUUUUAUUUCUUUUAGCUUCCUGCAUCAUUUUGUAUUAUGGAUUGUUAUGAAAUUUUGAGAUUAUGCUUUAUUUUGUUUUUUGGUCCUUUGCUGUGAUGUCUUUUGAUUAUUUAUUUUGAGUGAACAGUUCAUGUAAGAUUUUCUGCAUGAGAAUAAAUUGAUUAUUUAAUUUGGUCAAAGAAGUUCAAAAUUUACAUGUGAAAUUUACACUCAGUGGCUGUAAGGUUUAAUGAGAAAAUUGGAAGUAGAAAAGAGUCCACAUUAAUUCAUUCAGCCAAGAGGGCUUGGCAUCCUAAGUUUGCUCUGGGUUCUGUUGGUGGCAUUCAUCAAUAUGUUAAUCUAUUAGGGAAUGUAUGGUUAUAACAAAGUAAGAAGAAUGGAAGUUCUGGGGGAGUAUUUGUGACAAGAGGGCAAGGAUGCUUCUGCAUCAAUUUAGUGUUAGUCAAUCAUGUCUAUGCUUUGGCCCUUCUCAUUCCACUUUCCACUACUACAAAAAUGUAUCUGCAAUUGAUCAUGUAAAAGUGUUUCAAUUUUCUGUCUUAGGUUCAUCUCAGUUAGUUAGUCUUAAGAGUAAGGGAGAUAAUUCAUUUUUCUUGUUUCAGCUAGAUGUUACCCUCCAUGUCCUGAUUUUUAAUUUGGCUUCCUAAGUGUGCUCUAGGUUCUGUUGGUGGCAUUCAUCAGUAUGUUAAUCUACAGGUGAAUCUAUAGUUAUAACAUAGUAAGAAGAAUGGAAGUUCUUGGGGAGUCUUUAUGUGUGACGGUCUUUGUUUUUCAUUGAACUAUUGUGUGGCAGUCUUUAUUUAUUGGUUAUCUUUAGUUUCACUAUUGUUCUUUCUUUAAUGUUUUUCUUAGUUUUUAAUAAGUGUGACAAAAUAUGAAAUUAUCUUUUUCUUUGAACAAAUGUGGAAUUUAUUUUUCUUUUAAUGUAGUUGUGUCCCCAAUAAAUUUAUUUUGGCGAUUUAACAAUCCAUAAUGUUGUUUUUCAUUUUUCUGCUGUAUUUUCUUUGGUUCGUUGUUGUGCGAUGUCUAUUUUUGAGACAUUUUUAAUUUAGUUUUAUUUCUUUUAGCUUCCUGCAUCAUAUUGUAUUAUGGAUUUUUUCGAAAAUUUGAGUUUGAUCUUGUUUUCCUGGUCCACUGCUGUGCAGUUUUUUUUUAUGAGAUAUUUUUAUUUAGAUUUAUUAUCUUUUAGCUUGUUUUGCAUUUUGCAUUAUAGAUUAUUUUUUAAAAUUUUGAGGUUGUUUUUUUUCUUUGAUCUUUUGUUGCGGUGACAAUUUUAAUUUAGAUUUAUUAUCUUUUAGCUUGCUUGCAUUAUGGAUUGUUAUGAAAUUUUGAGAUGAUGCUUUAUUUUGUUUUUUGGUCCUUUGCUGUGAUGUCUCUCUAUAAGACAUUUUUAAUUUAGGUUUAAUAACUUUUAGCUAGCUUGCAUUGUGGAUUGUUAUGAAAUUUUGAGUUUCUGCUUUCUUUUGAGUUUUGGUGAUGCCUUUUUACGAGACAUUUUUUAAUUUAGGUUAAUUUUUUAGGUUGCUUGCAUUUAUGGAUUGUUCUGAAAUUUUGACUUUCUGCUUUUGUUUUUUAUGUCAUUUGUUGUGUGAUAUUCUCUUUAUAAGAUAGAGAUAUUUUUAAUUUAGGUUUACUAUUUUUUAGCCUGCUUGCAUUUGGUAUCAUAUAUGAAUUGUUCUGAAUUUUGAGUUUCUACUUUUUCAGUCAUUUUUUUAGGGCUGUUUGGUUGUUUUUUUAGGGGUGUUUUGGUUAGUUAGGCUUAAGAAGCAAGGGCUAGUGAAAGAGAAGCAUUUGAUUGUCCUACAAGUAAUAAGCUUCUCCUCAAUCAUUCAACCAUUUUUUUAGUAAAGAAAGAGGCUUCUCCUCUGGCAACCAAAGUCCGUCCCUCGUUAACAGGUAAGUCUACCUCAUUACUUUUUAUGUCCUUUUAAUUAAGAUAUUUGGGUCAAUAUAUAUCAAAAUAAAUAAGAUCCAUCUUUGGUAAUUUUUAAAAAAAUUAAAUCUAUAAAUACUCAUUUCAUCUCUAAAAUUAUGUGAUUUGUACUUUCUAAAAUUCCCUCGAUGGUACUAAUACACUCUUAUAUUUGUAUUGUAAUUAUCAUGUCCUUUUUCUAUGGUUUUUUAAAGUUAAUUUAGAUCCUUAUUCGCUCUAGGUAUAAGUUGAAUGGAAGAGUUUUUUAGCCUUGAUGGAUCUUGAGUACCUGAAUCGCCGAUGAAACAGAGGUUAUUUUCUCGAAAAUUCCACGAAUUGUUCAGGUUUGGAUUCUGUAAUUCUGUUGUUCUUUUUUGAUUUUGGAGAGUGUCCUGGGUAAUUUUGAGGAUAUUAUUUUUUUGUUUUUUCGGCUUGCAUUUAAUCACGUGCGUUGGGGAAUAGACAGGCUUCGGAGAAUGAAUCACCUUUUUAAGGUUUCGCUGGGGAGCGAAUUGGCCAUAAGGCAUCCCUUUCUGUUCAGUCUCUCUCUUGCCUUUUUCAUACUAUAUGGUUGUUUGAUCUGGGGUUAUUGAAUGAUUGUUGCUUUUAUUUUCAUAAGAAGUGAUCUUAUAUUUUUGUCUCUCUGUGCAACUUUAAUUUGAGGUUAUUAAGGAAGGAGAUAAAGGAGGAAGAAGGGACGGAGAAAAGGAAGAAAUGACUGGAUUGUUGGGAUGGGUAUGAAGAUGCAGUAGAGCCACCACCUAGGUAAGGUCUAAUGGGCAAAUUGAAAGUAAAAAAGAGUGCACAUCCAUUCAAGCUAAGAGAGCUUGGGUUCCUAAAUUACUACUGCUCUAGGUUCUGUUGGUGGCAUUGAUUGGUAUUGUUAAUCUACAAGGGAAUUGAUGGUGUUAACAAAGUUAGAAGAAAGGAAGUUUUGGGCGUAUGUGUGACCGGAGCACAAAGAUGCUUCUGCAUCAAUUUACUGUCAGUGUUAAACUAUGUCCAUGCUUUGGUUUAUUUUCUAUUUUCUACUUUCCACUCCUCUCGAAAUGUAUCAGCAAUUGUUCAUGUAAAUGUGUUUCGAUUUCUGUUUGAUACUUCUCAGUUAGUUAGGCUUAAAAGUAUGAGAGAUAAUUCAUUUCUCGUCUCAUAUAGAAAUUAUCUUGAUGUCUUGAUUUUUAGGGUUUUUUUCAGCGGUUUUUGGUUUUUUUUUUUUUUUUUUUGGAUUUUGGCUAGUUAGGCUUAGAGGUGCAAGGACUUGUGAAAGAGAAGCAUUUGAUUGACCAACGAGUAAUUAGUUUCUCCUCAAGCAUCCCACCACUUUUCUAUUAAAGAAAUACAGGUACGUCUACGCUAUUACUUUUCAUGUCCUUUUACUUAAGAUAUUUAUAUAAAUAUAUAUAAAAAUAAAUAAGAUCCAUCUUUGGUAAUUUUUUUUAAAAUCAAAUCUGUGAAUAUUCAUUUCAUCUCUAAAGUUUUGCGUUUUGUUACUUUUUAAAAUUCCCUCCAUGUUACUAUUACACUCCUAUAUUUGUGUUGUAAUUAUGAUGUCCUUUUUCUAUGGUCUGUUAAAGUUAAUUUAAAUCCUUUUUUGCUCUUGGUUUAUGUUGAAGAAAUGGAAGAGUUUUUUAGCCUUAAUAGAUCUGGAGUACCUUAAUCGCUCUUGCAUUUUGUGAUUCUGUUCUUUUUCUAUUUUGAAGAGUGUCCUGAGUAAUUUUUAGGAUUUUUAUUUUAUAGUUUUUGUCGCUUGCAUUUAAACACGAACUUGGUUGUUGAACUGGGAUUCUUGAAUAAUUGUUGGUUUUGUUUUCUGAAGAAGUGAUCUUAUAUUUGUGUAUCUCUAUGUGCAACUUUAAUAUGGGGUUAUUAAGGAUGGAGAUAAAGGAGGAAGAAUGGAGAGAGAAAAGGCAGAAAUGACUUAAUUGUUGGGAUGAGUAUGACCCCAUGUCUAGUAGUUCCCAAGUAUGAUAUAGGAAGGCAGAGAGUCAAGGCCUUGUCUGACUCUAAUAGAAGUAAGUAGCUAACGCAACGCAAUAUUCUUUGCACCUUCAGUCUGUGAAUCUGAGGAGCAAGAGUUUGGCCAGAGGAGCUAGUCUCGUAACUGCGGGCGCAGUUCUAGUUCUUUACAAGACAGAUGGGAACUGUAGCUAACAAGUGUGCCCUGAGUGGAAUCCUACCACUACUCUUUCUACUAUAUUGGCAGGACGGGUGCCAAGUUAUUAGUAGCUAGGCAGCUAAGCCAGUAGUAGUUCAGUUCAGGUGCUGUUCUCAAACCUAGUUGACUACGUUGUAGCGUAGCGGUACGGGACAGAAAAAGAAUUGAUAGCGGUACACUGAACACAAAGAAAUUUGAUAGACAUAUGUUGAGAGUUCGACAAGUAGCACUGAAUCUACUAUCAGUAGUGAUUUAUAGAAGUUGACUCGCUUAAACGAAGAGAGUGAACAAAGCAUAGCGGAGUGAAGAGAGAAAUGGUUUCAUUAGAUAGCUCUCUCGAUGUCCUUGUUAUCUUUCCUAGGUAGAUUGUGACUUAUUCAUUCUUUCUCGCUGACUCUAGUUUCCCCGCCGUGGAUCCUUUCUCGGUUAGGGCUGUAAUUUAGAAUUCAGAAACGUAUCUGUCUUAUUAUCUUUGAGUCAAAGCAAUGUUACAUAUUUAUAUAGAGAAUAAACUAAACCCUAGAGACUAUGUAAAAUUACAAUAAAGGACAUAUGUGUAUAUAUAUAUAUAUAUCAUAACACUCCCCCUCAAGCUGGAGCAAAUAUGUCGAUCAUGCCCAGCUUGUUGCACAGAUAGCUUAUCCUUGUUCCAUUUAAAGCUUUAGUUAGAAUAUCUCCCAAUUGUUCUCCGGUCUUCACAUAUCCUGUGGACACCAACCCAUCUUGGAUUUUCUCACGAAUGAAGUGACAAUCCACCUCAAUAUGUUUAGUUCGUUCAUGAAAUACUGGAUUAGAUGCAAUAUGAAGUGCAGCUUGAUUAUCACACCAUAAUUUAGCUGGCACGGUAAUACUGAAGCCUAUCUCAGAUAAUAGUUGGUGAAUCCAUACUAUUUCACACACAGAUUGUGCCAUAGCUCUAUAUUCUGACUCAGCACUCGAACGAGAAACAACAUUUUGUUUCUUACUCUUCCAUGAAACUAAGUUUCCACCUACAAAAACACAAUAUCCAGAAGUCGAUCUCCUAUCCUCACGAGACCCCGCCCAAUCAGCAUCAGAAAAACAUUCAACUCUCGUAUGUCCAUGAUCUUUGUAUAGGAUCCCACGUCCAGGAGCAGCUUUUAGAUAACACAAAAUCUGCUCUACUGCAGCCCAAUGAUCCACUGUAGGGGAAGACAUGAAUUGACUUACAACACUUACAGAAUAUGCAAUGUCUGGUCGAGUCACUGUUAAGUAGUUCAACUUCCCAACUAAUCUCCUAUAUCUCUCAGGAUCUUUACAUAAUUCUCCUUCUUUAACAAGUUGCUGAUUUGGCAUCAUUGGAGUGCCACUUGGUUUGGCGCCUAAUUUUCCUGUUUCAGACAACAAAUCAAGUACAUAUUUUCGUUGAGACAAAUAAAUACCUUUCUUGCUUCUCAUCACUUCAAUGCCCAAAAAAUAUUUCAAUUGGCCCAAAUCUUUUGUAUAAAACUGACCCUGAAGGAAAGUUUUGAGAGACGAAAUACCCAAUGCAUCAUUUCCAGUAAUAACAAUAUCAUCAACAUAUACAACUAGUAGAACUAUACCCUUCUCAGAUCGGCGAUAGAAAACUGAAUGAUCAGAUGUACUCUUCUUCAUACCAAAGCAUACAAGGGCUGACUAAACUUACCAAACCACGCACGAGGACUCUGUUUCAAACCAUACAGAGAUUUUCGAAGGCGACAUACUUUAUCACUCUCCCCCUGAGCAACAAACCCUGGUGGUUGUUCCAUAUAAACUUCCUCUUGAAGAUCACCGUGAAGAAAAGCAUUCUUAAUGUCAAGUUGAUGCAACGACCAUUUAUUGGUAGCAGCCAUGGAAAGAAAUAGGCGAAUGGAAGUUAACUUGGCAACCGGAGAGAAUGUAUCUGAAUAAUCAGUGCCAUAGAUUUGAGCAUAACCUUUGGCAACAAGGCGAGCCUUUAAACGAGCCACUGUUCCAUCAGGAUUCAUCUUGACAGCAAACACCCAUUUACAACCAAUGGCCUUCUUUCCUGCAGGACGAGAUACCAAAUCCCAAGUAUCAUUAUCAUCUAAAGCAGUCAUCUCCUCAAUCAUUGCAUUUUGCCAGCGAGGAUGAGACAAAGCUUCAUGAACAGAGUUAGGAAUAGAUGUGGACUCAAGAGACGUAAUAAACGCAUAUGUGGAGGGAGAUAACUGGUGAUAGGAAAUAAAGGAAGAAACGGGGUAAGUACACUUGCGUUUACCUUUGCGAAGAGCAAUGGGAAGAUCAUCACUUGGCGCUGGAUCACAUGAUGAAGGAAGCAUUGAUGGAGGACAUGAGUCUGAAGGUUGUGGUGGAGGUCGUCGGGAGUAGACUUGAGAAAUCAACGGGCGGGAAGGAGGCACAUCAGUAGACAAGGAUGGUGUGGGAGAGGUAACCUCAUAUAUAAAAAGAUUGUCAUCCUCCCCCUGACACAAACUCGAUGGUGAUGAAGUAAAGGGUGUAUCUUCAAAAAAGACAACAUCAGGCGAAACCAGAUACCUUUUAAGGGUAGGACAAUAACAACGAUAACCCUUUUGAACACGUGAAUAACCCAAGAAGAUACACUUCAAGGAUUUGGGAUCUAACUUAGUAUGAUGAGGACGAACGUCACGAACAAAACAGACACAACCAAAUAUCUUAGGAGCAAUAGGAAACAAAUGCUUGGUAGGAAAAAGAACACGAUAGGGAAUCUCACCAUUAAGAACAGAGGAAGACAUUCUAUUAAUCAAAAAACAAGCUGUAGAGACAGCAUCAACCCAAAAGAUUUUUUAAACAUGCAUUUGAAACGAUAAAGCACGGGUAGUUUCAAGUAAAUGCCUAUUUUUCCGCUCUGCAACACCAUUUUGAGAUGGAGUGUCAGCACAGGAAGAUUGAUGAAUAAUGCCAUUUUCACACAAGUAAGAGCCAAGAGAAUGAGAAAAAUAUUCACCCGCAUUAUCAGUACGCAAAGUUUUGAUAGAGACAUUAAAUUGGUUUUUUAUUUCAGUAUGAAAGGCACAAAAAUGAGAUAAUAACUCAGAACGAUUUUUCAUUAAAUAUAACCAAGUUAGACGAGAAUGAUCGUCAACAAAAGUAACAAAAUAACGAAAGCCUGUUUGAGAUACAACUGGACACGGACCCCAAAUAUCAGAAUGAACUAACUCAAAUGGAGCAAUUGCUCGUUUAUCGACUCGAGGACUCGAACUAAGACGAUGAAAUUUCGCAAAUUGACACGAAUCACAAUUUAAAGAGGACAAAGACCUAAAUUCUGGAUAAAGUUUCUUCAACACGAACAAAGAUGGAUGACCUAAACGACAAUGGACUUCAAAAGGAGAGGGAACGACAGGACACGCCACAGCUUGCGAUACUUGAUGAUCAAAGAGAUAAAGGCCUCCUGACUCAUAUCCUCUACCAAUAAUCUUCUUCGUCACACGAUCCUGAAACAAGCAAUAACCAGAAAAGAACAUGACAACACAAUUUAGGUAGGUCAUGAGUAAGUUGACUAGUAGAAAUUAAAUUAAAGGAUAAGUUAGGCAAAUGUAACACAGAAGAGAGUGAAAAUGAUGGGGUAAGGUGAAUAGUGCCAGAGCCAAGAACAGAAGAUGUGGAGCCAUCGGCCAAUGUAACCGAUGGAAAAGGGGCAGGGGACAACGGUCUAGAAAAUAGGUGAGAAUUACCUGUCAUAUGAGCUGUGGCACCAGAGUCUAUGACCCAUUUGGUAGAUGAUGUAAGAAGACACUUUAUAUUACCUGGGGCAACAGUGGAUGCAAUCAGAGUAGAGGAAGAUGACGCUUGUAAUGACUCUUGGUAAUUCUGAAACUUAGCAAACUCAUCUGCCGAAAUAGUAACUGACGCCUCUGGUAUAUCACAUGUGGAGGCUAUCUGAGCAUGUUGAGAUCGUUGACUAUUCUUAUAUAGCAAUUUCUGACAAUCACGUUUCAUAUGGCCUGGCUUACGACAGUAGUUACAAACAAUCUCUACAGACUCUGGUUUUCGAUGAUCAGUACUAUUCCUCUGAGGUGCCCGAGGGUUAUUGUUAUUGUUCUUGCUAAAGAGAGCACUACUGGGUUGAGGAAUAGACACACUAGUCGGAGAGCUUUCAAUGCGAAGGACUCGAGUGAAGGCAUCAUCUAAUGAUGGAAUCUUGGAGUCAGAGAGAAUCUGUGUCUUUGCCAUUCCAAAUUCAGGUAAGAGUCCAUUCAGGAAAAUCAUAACAGCCAUCUUCUCUCGUUGAACUUGUUGAACUUUAACAUCAGGACUAAAAGGUAACAACAAGCCAAGCUCGACAAUGAUCUUCUUAAGCCGCAUAAAGUAGCUGGUGACAGACUCAGCUUUCUGUUCCGCACGAGAAAAUUGCAUACAAACUUCAAACAUUCUAUGCACUUGCUCUUUACCUGAGUAUAGAAAAUCCAAAAAUUCCAAAAGUUCUUUAACAGACUCACAGUGAUCAACCAAUCCAAUUAUCUCACUCUCAAUUGAAUUCUUGAUCUGAAGAUAUAAACGGGCAUCAUCACGAAGCCAAUCCUUCUUCUGCUUUGCAUCUUUUGGGAGAUCGAGUUUCAAACCUUUAUACACAAAAUUGAAACUCAAAAUUCACUUCCUUCCUUCCGCAAGGCCGAUAUCUUUCAUAGCAAGCAAGGAUGAGUCCAUUAGGUUCUUCGAUUGAUUCGGAAAAGAAAUGAGAGACAAGAAAAGAUCUUUGAUGGAGAUGAAAAGGAAGAAUCUCAAAUAGACCAAGAUCCAAUUUCGGGUCAUUUCUUGGUGAACAUGAUCUGCCAUAAUCUCUUCGAUCCCUGAAUUUAUGUGCCAGAAUAAAGAGAGAUUUGGUAGGAAAGUGGAAGAGACCUUGUGGUAUAUAAUAAUGAGAGGGAGUGGGAAAGCUGCUGUAAUUCUUUGGAAAAGCCCGGUUCUUUUUGUCUUCGAGCUUGAAUUCCUCAAUCCACUCUUUCGUUCUUUCAUAUACCUCCCCACCAAUAGAUAGAGACAAAUAGGAAUAACCGAACCACGUCUACAAAAUGCCAGUACCAUGCAGCUGCUUCAAAGCCAAUGUGAUGCUCCUUGGUCGGAUGACCUAGAUAUUGGCGAAUACCACAUACGAUCAAGAAAAGAGUACCUAUAAUCACAUGAAAACCAUGAAAGCCAGUUGCUAAGAAAAAGGUAGAACCAUAAAUACUAUCCGAAAUAGUGAAGGGUGCUUGAUAAUAUUCCAUUCCUUGAAAGCCUGUGAAUACUAGAGCCAGUGAAACGGUAGCUACUAAAGCGUAAACAGCUCGUUUUUCCUUCCCCGCGAGUAUAGCAUGAUGAGCCCAAGUUACGGCUGCUCCGGAUGAAAGGUGAAUAGGGGUGUUAAGAAAAGGGAUUUCCCGAGGAUCUAAAACCCCAAUCCCUUUUGGGGGCCAAAUAUCUCUGAUCUCUACCGUAGGUGCCAAAGAAGAAUGAGAAGAAGCCCGAAAGAAGCAAAAAGGAACAUAACCUUCGAUACGAUAAAGAGAAUAAAACCAUAUCGAAGUCCUAUUUUUACGACUUUGGUAUGAUGUCCUUCCAACGUGGAUUCACGUAGAACAUCGCGCCACCAUACGAACAUGGUAUAUAGGAGAAAUAUGAGGCCCAAACUGAGAAGUCUUGCACCCCCUUGAAAUGAGUGCAUGUACAUCACACCUCCUACGGUGGUUGCCAAAUGAUAAGAAUGCCUCUGAGAUUCAAUCAUAAACCACUUUGCCUCGGUUGUAUGUAAACCCCCCCUUCACCCCCACCCGCUAAAGUGGUAAAGAAGGGCUCUUUGGGGUCUCAUUUUCUUUCUAUCUGACAGGACUCAAAAAUAGGAAGGGAUGGUUCUUUCAUUGCAUUGAUAGAAGUCUAACUAGAAAAAGAUCUCGUUGCUUUGACCGAGCCCUAGGCUUUCCUUGGAUAGAGCCCUCUAUAUUCCGACUGAUUUAUGGCGUAGAAGGCGGGAAUAGGAAUCACUCAUAUUGCAUUGAGCCUUAACAGUCCGGAGGACUAUCCCGCUCCGUGGGAUUCUUUGAGCCUCACAAUAUUCUUUGCACCUAUCCAUCCACGGCAAUAUUCUUUGCACCUUCGCUCCAAAUAAAGUAAUAGCCGCAACUCAAUUCAUUUCAGCCUUCGCCUAGAAAUUCACUUUGCGACCCACUCUGUAAGCCCACUACACGAGAAGAAAGAAUAUCCUUAGCUAUUUAUCUUUAUUAUCUCUUCUCUGAGAAUAUCCUCUUAUUCUACUAUUAGAAGAAUAUCCUACUUUCAGUUUCUAGUCAAAGAAAGGUCCAGGCGCAGGCGCAAAGAAUAUUGCGAGGUGCAGUCUAAUGGAUAGGACUGAGGGCUCGACUGAAAGGAGAGAAGGCGCAAUUCAAUAUGCGAGGUCCAUAUUCCGACUGAGGAACUGAAACUUCCGCGUAGUGCUUCCCUUGUUCAUUGAUAGUAAUCCUGAAGUUUCUUCUUGGCAUCAAAAUAGAUCAAUGAAAGAGGACUAAAAAUAAGACGAAAGUACUUAUGACGGCUUUCCUUCCCAACAAAUCUUCGUUCUUAGUUAUUUGAUUCCACUUUCAAACUUUCUGGGAGUUGUCUUCUCCUAGGCUUUCUUCUUUCUGGCAGUCUUCUGCCUUGCCGUAGGGAGUAGGUUCAGGAGAACCAUAACCAUAAAUCAGAGAGACGGAGGCAUCAAUCACGCAAUAUUCUUUUGCACCUCUUCCUUUAAGCUAUAUUUUUUUAGGCUCCGGAGGCUCAAAGACAGGGAUAUUGUUGAAUACUAUUAGUUCGAGUCGCAGAGAGCAAAGAAUUUUCUCUUAAUGGAACUUAGCGCGGGUUAAUAUGGAUAGGACUGAGGUCUUAAGACUCCUAACUAUUAAUGGAAAGGACCCACGGAGCGGUGCAAAGAGAUAUAUAUAGAAGGGCAGACAGGUCCUGAGGACCUGUCUGUCCUUCGGUCUUAAUACUCCUAACGUCGAAUAAGAAGCUGGAGGCUGGGUCCAGGUGCAAAGAAUAUUGUGUCCAUUAGAUCCAUUGAAUUAGGCGAAGGAUUUUAUCAAGCUUAGCUUUCUGGAUUCUUCGGCGGAGUGAGGCUUUCUCUAGUAGGUCUGGAGGCACAAAGAAUGAUCGAAGGCUCCAGACCAUAAAGAAGAGAGUCGGAGGACUUCCAUUGACUUUUUCUUCCUUUCACUUCUAACUUCAAACCUUUCAUAUUCAACCUUGAAAAUAAAGGAGGGAGCGGACUACGGAGGCCAUAAGUUUGAGUUCCUCAGAUGUAUAAAAACAAGUCCUCCGGACGACCUAUCCACUGAAAGUAGCUACGUAGUCUUGUCUCCUUCCCCGCGUAGUGGGCAUUGACUUCUUCAUUGAUUUUCUUCUAUCUCCCACGUAGCGGGUUUGAAUUAUGAAAGGAAGCCCACAGAGCUGAAGAUGGAGCGGGAUAAUAAAGAAGAAAGCUCAAAAGGAGGGAGCGGACCUCAAUGAACAAGGGGAGGACUCGUUUUCAUCCUUAUGGAAGAAAAAUCUCUUUUUUUUUUAUCUAAAAGACGUAGAAGGAGGCUCAAUGUCUAAUCUUUCUCUCAAAUCAAUAUCUCCCAGUGCAAAUAUUCCAGCAAUAUUCUCAAUAUGAAAAGAGCCUUUCUUCUUUUCUUAGAUAAAUGCGCUUCGUAGAUUAUGCUGAAGGAGGAGUGGGCCAUGAUCUUUGCUCCUUAAUUUCCCUAAUGGAUAGUCAUCUGGACCUUUCUUUUUAGUUCUUUGCGCUCUCGUCAACGCAUAUUUCAUUGCGCCUUCGCCUUCAAUGAAAAUCCAUAAAUAAAUAAGGGUAGAUUUCAGACUCAAGAGGAGGGUUCCUUAUCAAUAUCAAUAUGAGACGGAUAGGCUUUCUUUUACAUUCCACAGGUCCGAAGGACUAUCCAUAUUAACAUGUCUGUCCUUCGCCUAACUAGUUUCAUAUAGACCUUUGUUUUUCUUCCGCAGUCACUAAUAUGGAUAGUCCGGAGGACCUCCUUCAGCAUAAUCUAUGAAUGAUCGGAGCAAAGAAUAUUGCGGAAAAGAAGAAAGGAGUGCAAGCGAAAAAUAAUGGAUUGAAUAGUCCUUCGGACGAACUACCGCACUUGGGGGAUAUUGUUGAGAAAGAAUAUUGAAAAAGAAUGAUCGAAGAAUAUUGAAAAAGGACGGAGGAUAGGCUUUCUUUGAACAAUGUGGAUGUAUCAAAGAUUCCACAGGUUAAUAUGGUAGAUUUCAGACUAGUCCUUCACCUUGGAUCUGGGGACUAUUCUCUGUUCUAAUAGACAGAGGAGAGGUUCAAAGAAUAUUGAGAAUACUCGUGCAAGCGCAAUCAAUGAACAAGGUGAAAAGAAUAAAAAAAAAGGCGGUCGAUGAUCAGGAAGAAAAAGUCAAAAGUCUAUCCCAUCUUCUUCGUUAGGCGCAAAGAAGAAAAACAAGGUGCAAAGAUCUAUGGCCCAAUUAUAAGGGGUCCAGAUGCACCAUAAGACUGGUCCGAAGGACUAUCCAUAUUAACCGGAGUCUUCAACAAGAUUUCCAACAUUGAAUAUUAAGCUACUGAGGCCCAAUAUUGCGAAGGAAGAACUGCGCCAUAAGACAGGUCCGAAGGACUAUCCAUUAGGGAAUGAGACGGAGGUAACGUUUGGUUUUUUGGAAACUUGUUGGUCGCGGAUUAGUGCGUUUUUUUUGGAAAGUAACAAUUCUCUUCAGUUUGGUUUCAGAAAACUUGUUGGUCACGGAUUAGUGCGUUCUGCGCCGCCUGGUGUCACGAACAUAUUUUUCCAAAGUGUGUUUACCUUUGGUUAUAUGCUCCGAUUACCCCCAGUUUAUCUCAUCUUUAGUUUGCAUAACUAGUUUAGCUGAUUGCUUUUCAUUCUAGGUCAUAAAGCUUGGGUGUGACGUUUCGGCAUUUUCAUAUGCAAGCCUGCCAGAGAGGAAAAUGUUCAAAAUGUACUAUAGGGGAGGCAUACCAGUUGAAUCCCCGCCCAAGCAUUAGUUGUACUCUUUGCAAGCAACCCUUUUUCCUUGCAAUUGACAGUCUUUAAUGCUUAUUGUAACGUCUAUUUCAAUGUAUUUCUUUCUUUCCCGUGUUUUAUAAAUAAAAUGUCCCUAAAACGCAAACGAAGGUUACGACAUACAUCGACGUUACCCACAACUCUUGGAUAUUGAUCGACUGACUUGUUCAUCGAGUUAGAACAAGUGCCGCACAAUCGUCCGUCUCGAGGUUGAAACGCUACGAUUGUGACAAGUGGUAUCAGAGCCAAAGUUGGCUGAGUGACAGUUUUGACAAAAAUAAAAUGUCGACUGCAAAACGAGCGAGCAAGACCCAUGAAGAACGGUUGGUGGGGAUCGAAGUGCAGAUGCUCCACCUGAUGGAAGUUCCUGAUUCCAUCCGGUUCUUGGAAUAGCGGCUUGAGGAUAUUGCCAAGAAAGCUGAUGGCAUUGAAGCCGUGUCCGGUCGCCUUGACGGACUACCCAUCCAAGAGUUACUGACUAGAGUCGACACUCUAGAGUCCCGAGUUAUGAGAACGGGAAAUGUCACCUACGAGCGUGGGGACAGUUCAUCGGGCUCUGUUGCCCAGAUGGAAGAACGAGUUAUGGAGCUUGAUAACUCGCAAAAGAACAUGUUGGAGAUGAUCAGCGGCAUGACAAAGGAUUUUCGAGCAACCCUCGAUGUCGUGAGGAAUGAGCUCGCAGAGGUAAGCACGAGGGUGAACCUUACUAUGCGAGCACUAGAAAAUCAGGCUCUAGCUGGAGGAGCCAUUCCUGUGGGCAGAAUCAAGAUUCCUGAGCCCAAGCCCUUCUGUGGGGCGAGAGAUGCCAAGGCGUUGGAAAACUUCAUCUUUGAUGUCGAGCAGUAUUUCAAAGCCACGAACACAAUUACUGAAGAGGCCAAGGUGACGUUGGCAACCAUGCAUCUGUCAGAAGAUGCGAAGUUAUGGUGGAGGUCCCGAUACAUGGACAUUCAAGAAGGGCAUUGCACAAUCGACACGUGGGAUGCCCUAAAAGGAGAACUCCGUUCGCAAUUUUCCCUGAGAAUGUCGAAAUUCUGGUCCGACGGAAGCUGCGUGAAUUGAAGCACACGGGGAACAUUCGGGACUACGUGAAACAGAUUGCGGGGGUAAUGUUGGAUAUACGCGACAUGAUCGAAAAAGAUAAAAUAUUCAGCUUUGUUGAAGGGUUGAAGCCAUGGGCAAGGACUAAGCUAUACGAGCAGAAAGUCCAAGACCUCGUGUCAGCCUAUGCAACAGCUGAACGUUUGUUUGAUCUGUCUAAUGACGUUCAAGAGACAAGACAUCAUUGAAGCUCUUCACCUGGAAGAGACAGAAACAGCCGACUGAGUUCUCCCGAAGCUGUCAGUAGAAAUAAAAGUCCCGGCAGAGACCGCAAGCCCUUCCAGUCAAAUACGGGGAACACCAGGCAAAGGCCCACUAGUCAAAGGACCUCCCACACUCCUAUCAUGUUGCUACAUUUGUAACAGGCCACAUCGGACAAGGGAAUGUCCGGAUAAAGCGGCCUUCUACGCCUUCCAGGCCUCUCUGGCUACAGACUUAGGUGACAAGUUGGGUCAACCAGAGAAUGAAGGUGGGUAGGUGGAGGAAGUCCAAAACGUUAGAGUAGGGGCCAUAAGACUCUUGUCGUUCCUUCAGAAUAAAGCAGGGGAGACAAGUGGUCGUACAAAAGGGGGCCUAAUAUAUGUGGACACCUGGAUCAACCGAAGGCAUGCAAAGAGCACUAUGGUUGACUUCAGUGCAACCCAUAAUUUUAUAACGGUGGCGGAAGCCAGACGAUUGAACCUUCACUAGAAGAAGGAUACAGAAAGAUGAAGGCCGUAAAUUCUACAGCUUUACCCGUCGUCGGAGUAGUGAAACGAGCGGUGAUACAGUUGGAAAGAUGGAACGGCCUUGUUGACUUUGUGGUUGUGGGCAUGGAUGACUUUGAUGUAGUUCUCGGAAUGGAAUUCCUUCUCGAACAUCAAGUGAUCAUGAUGCCUGCAGCCAAAUGUCGGUGAUCACGGGAUCUACCCCACCGUUAUGCAGAUACCCCCACCAUUAUGGCAGAUAGAACUCCGGCAACCCAAAGGAUUGAGAAUGGUCUCGACCAUGCAACUGAGGGAGGGCCAUAUUCAGGAAGGACACAAGGCGUGUCGUGGAGAGACGUUGUGAUGGGAAACAGGAUAGUUUGCCCAUGUCAGAAUCGCCUACGAGAAAUGAUCAUCGUAUGGCGCAAUCAAAAUCAUCUGGACUCAGGAGACAGUCAAGAAGACUGUCAGGUGCAGGAUCCACUAGACCUGCGAGAGAUCCGUAUCAAGCACAAGACUUCUUACGGAAGGAAGAGAAUGGACAAUUGUGUGUCAACAACCGUGUCCUAAAGCAAGCCCCGAGGAGAGGGCCAACUUUUGAGUCCGUGAGUGGGACUCAGCCUGUUGAAGCUUACGCUAAGGCAUAUGGUCCUGUGUCAGGUGGCAUCCUAAUGCAGAAUGGACACCCUGUCACAGCUGAGAGUCAGAAACAAAGUGCCGCAGAAGGUAGUUAUACGAUGUUUGGAAAAGGAAUGCUGACCACGAUACGUAGUCUGAAGGAUGGAAGACAACAUUCCCAGGGGUCUACACAUGGAAGAGAGACGAACAACAUUGCGACCAACCGCUUUGAUACUCGGCCGAAGUGGGCUUUGAGUCAAGAAAAGUGGCAGAGGGACGUGUCAAGGAAUCCUUGCAGAAAAACUCUGUCAUUGAAGUUGAUGUAAGUCUGGCGGAGACCAGUCAGGUGGAAGAAAAGAAUGGAGUUCAAUUGUGGAAGCUAACCCAAUCUUAUGUUAAUGCUGCAAUGAGUUCGUCAAUGGAUGGAAACCAGUUUGUGGGUGUUUGUGGCGGACAUUCUGUACAGUCCCGCCUUGUUGGUCCCUCCUAUGUUGGUAAGAAUCCUCAAGCUUGCAACAGUACCAAGAGGUGGAAGCUGGAGUCAGACAUCGUUCGGACCGAUCGAGAGGAAGCCUCGAAGUGGCCAGAAAAGUGGGCAGAUAAGAAGCAUCGCCUCCGUGAUUCCCGUGGGGGAGACCAGGUCAUCGUCAAACGGCGAUCUGAACUGACUCAGUUUUUGAAGAAGACUUCAAGAUCACUGCCUCGUGAGAGAACGCGAGGGACAAACAGAAGUUCAAGAAGUCCUUGCUAAAGAAGCAAGGAAAAGAAGAAGACCCAUGGGGGGAUACACAAGUUCGUGGUGAAGCAGAGGAGCCUCCUCAUGGAAGAAGCCUGUGGAAGACGUACCAAGACUGUGAAGCGUGGAGGUAGAAGAUCGAAGGAUUCCAGCUUUGCCAGUCGACGGGGACGUCAACUGUUUAAGUGGGGGAGUGUGUCACGGACAUAUUUUUCCAAAGUGUGUUUACCUUUGGUUAUAUGCUCCGAUUACCCCUAGUUUAUCUCAUCUUUAGUUUGCAUAACUAGUUUAGCUGUUUGCUUUUCAUUCUAGGUCAUAAAGCCUUGGUGUGCGUUUCGACAUUUUCAUAUGCAAGCCUGCCAUAGAGGAAAAUGUUCAAAAUGUACUAUAGGGGAGGCAUACCAGUUGAAUCCCCGCCCAAGCAUUAGUUAUACUCUUUGCAAGCAACCCUUUUUCCUUGCAAUUGACAGUCUUUAAUGCUUAUUUUAACGUCUAUUUCAAUGUAUUUCUUUCUUUCCCGCGUUUUAUAAACAAAAUUUCCCUAAAACGCAAACGAAGGUUACGACAUACAUCGACGUUACCCACAACUCUUGGAUAUUGAUCGGCUUACUUGUUCAUCGAGUUAGAACAAGUGUCGCACAAUCGUCCGUCUCGAGGUUGAAACGCUACGAUUGUGACACCCGACGGCCACAUAGAAUUGAGAAAAGCCUAUGGUUGAGGCAGCAUUAAUUUAUGAAACUUUACACGUGGGAAGGGAUGACUCUUUCUAUUCAAACCUGUAAACAUAGAAGACCGCCUCAAUGAACAAGGGAUCAUUCACAUAGAAUAAAUAUGAACAACGAGAAAGGGAAUAUAAGGUUUGAAUUCAGAGGAAAGCCUAGCUUGAAUGAACAAGGUGAAAAGAAUAUUGACAGCUGCACUUACGAGUCUUUCAGUUACCUUUCUGCCUCUUUAAAGAGAGUUCAAGGUUUUCUAUUAUCGAAAGAAUCAGAAUAAGAAGAAAAUAGAGGAAGACAGAGAGAAGAGAGCUCAGGAGGCGCAAUGAAAUAUGCGUGAGAAGCGCAUUUCCUUAGUGGAAUACUUUGAUAGCGGAAUAAGAAGUCGGAGGCUCGGUCAAGACGAUCUUUUGAUCUAUUCUAAUGGUUCUAAUGGAUAGUCCUUCGUUUUAGAGUCCUACAGAUAAAUCCUCCGGACUGGUCCGAAGGCUAGGUUCAUACGGAUAGUCAGGAGGACGGUUAGUUGGAGCCUUGUUUUUCGAAAUCUUCUUUGAGCCUCAGUCGUCUCAUUGAUAAGGACAUCUUUGCAAAUGAAGAGCGGGAGGUGCAAAGUGCGGCUAUUACUUUGAAAAGAAUAGGAGCUCCGCGGUUUGAAUUGAAUAAAAAGGAUAGGCUGAAAUUCAAAGUGAAUAAGAGGAUAUUUUCAGAUAUAAUAUCUAAAGUCAAUGAACAGGGGCUCCUAACCUCUGAUUUAUGGGGAGCCUACUACGUCCAUUAGUUCCGAACUUGGCUCCACUCCUAGUAGUUCGAACUUGGCUUUGCUCCUUCGCUUUUUCUCUUAUUGAUCUCUCUUGUAAUGCUUUCUACUAAGAAUCAAGAAAGCGCAACUUCUAUUUUGUUCGAACGACCUUGAUUAAAAAACGAUGCUUCCUUGGUCGUGUAGAACAUGGAUUAGCAUUAUUUCAUUCCUACAAGCGAUCCCCCAUCCAGGAUUGGAAGAAGUGCUAUAUGAGGACUUUGAGAUCAAAUAGAAUAUAUUUCUUUCAAGACCUCGUGAGCCACUUAUUUCUCUGAAACAAGAGAGAAAAGUGAUUUUCCUCCUUUUUCUCAAUAAGUCGACGACCUUACACCAUUGGGAUACUUCUUUGAAACUAGAGUACAUAUAGGAUACACCGGUGCUAAAACCUUUUCUCAAAAGAUCUUCCAAACUGUUGGGGUCCUUGCUCCGUAUGUUCUUCCCCCGGUGUGAAAGCAGUUGGUUCCAUAGUUUGAGAAUUCUACUGAUCCCAAGUACUCCAUCUCCAUCAUUGCAUAUGGGAAUAUAGAAAGUCAAGAAGAAAAGGCAUGAGCAGAAGAAUUGUGUGAAAUAAGUCAAUUUAUCCAAUUGAGGCAUUCUUUCUUUUUCUUAAGAAAAUUCCCUCUAGACAUAAAUCCUUUCUGUACGAGUAGUGAAGAACUAUAGAGAGUAGUGGUUGGUUGUUGACCAACGAAAAGCAUGGGAGAAAGAAAGAUGUUGGCAAGGAAGCAUCAAAUUAGAUCAAUGGAAGAGGCUCAAAGAAUGAUCGAGGACUAUUUUAGUUCGACUAGAAACUAGGGAAACUAAAGACUAACGAAAUCUAGAUGAGAAUCCGUACAAUUAGUCUCGAGAAAAAGAAGAAAGCAAUAAAAAAAGUGAAGACAGAAAAUGAACCGAAAAUCUUCUUCUCUCAUAUUGAAUUCAUCCUUCUACGCAUCUCCAUGGGCUCGACUGAGAGUGGAGGAGAGGACGGGAAGAAUGAGAAAAAUAGUAAGGCGAGAAGACAGGUUCGAAGGACUAUCCAUCAGGGAGUUUGGACCCCGUAGUUAGGAGCAAAGAAUAUUGCGAAAGAGUCAUAAUAGGUACAAAUCUUCUUAUAGAUUAUGUUGAAGGAGGCGGCGCAAUUCAAUAUGCGAAAGUCAUGAUCCCUUUAAAGCAGACGUUAGGCGCAAAGAAAGAAGCUCAUUAACGAGAAUGAAAGAAUAAUUCACUCAUUAACGAGAAUGAAAGAAUAAUUCACUCAUUAACGAUAAUGAAAGAAUAAUUCUGAUUUCAUCACCUUGUUUUUACGGAGUUCAAUACUAGAUUGAAGACGGAGGGAAAUCCCAGAUUUUGCUAGGUUUUGGGCCUAUAAAGUAGCAAGAAAUCAUGAAAAAUCAGUCAAAAUUAGACAAUUAUCGUAGCAUAUCAAUAUGAGAAAAAGUAUGAAAAAGAAGCAAAAAAGUCGGGAAAUAGCAAUUCAAGAAGAAAGCCUAGGACAGGGAAAAGAAAUGAACACUUCUAGUUUGAGUUUAUGGUCCGGAUACUGACAGGUCUAUUCUUUAUUCCGCUCCUGAAUACGGAUAAUCCUACUUCGGUUAAUUACGGAUAGUCCUCCUUCGGUUAAUUACGGAUGGUCCUACGGAUAAAUCCUCCAGACUACUUCCUUCCAUAUGGAUGGUCCUACUUCGGUUAAUUACGGAUGGUCCUACUUCCAUAUGGAUGUCCUACGGAUAAGAAUCCUGCAGACUCCGGACUACUUUGGUUAAUUACGGAUGGUCCUACGGAUAAAUCCUUCGGACUCCGGAUAAAUCCUGCGGACUCCGGACGUACGACGUAGGAUAAAUCACCUGGACCUUUCUUUGGCACUACGGACUACUUCGGUUAAUUACGGAUGGUCCUACGAAUAAAUCCUCAAGACUCCGGGUCGUAAGACGUAGGAGAAAUCCUGCGGACUCCUUCCUUCCAUAUGGAUGGUCCUACGGAUAAAUCCUCCAGACUACUUCAAUUAAUUACGGAUGGUCCUACUUCCAUAUGGAUAGUCCUACUUCAAAUGGAUAGUCCUCCGGAUAAAUCCUGCGGACGUAGGACCCUGGACCUUUCUUUCUUUAAUGGAUAGUCCUCCAGAUAAAUCCUGCAAACUGCGGACGUAGGACCCUGGACCUUUCUUUGGCACUCCGGACGAAUAAAGAAAGGAUAAAUAAAGGCGCAAAGAAUAUUGCGAAGUGAAGCGCAUUUAUCUAAGAAAAGAAGAAAUGAUAAAUAAAGGCGCAAAGAAUAUUGCAAGAGCGGGAAUUACCUUUUCUCUUCGGGUUAGCUAAGAGUUGCCGGAGGCUUGAAGUCGGAUAAUUACUUUUACUUAAAGGUUUCACAAACCUGGAAAAUCUUCUCCAAAUUAGCGUUAGCGUUCUGAGCUAGCCAAGCAGUAUAUUUAAAAUAUAGAAAGAAGAAAAAUCCAUGCAAUCCAAGUACACUAAGAACCUACAGCAUCGUCACCGCUGCGUGGGAAGGUUAAUUCUUCUAACUCUAGUAUUAUCGUUGAACAAGCAGUUCAUAUUCGACUGCCCGCGUAGUGGGGGAAGCUCGCUCGCUAACUUUGCACUUCGGCCAAAAUGCCGAAAAAAGGCUAAGGCCGAAGGAGGUCUGCUCCUUCGCUCAAGGAAAAAUUGCCCGAUUGGAUAUAUAUCUUGGAGCAGAGAGAGGAAAGGAUGACGGAAGCCUCAGUCUCAGUACGAAACGGGCAAAAAGCUGGAAAAGGCAUACUGGCUUCACCUUGCCCUAGGAUGGGGUCCGCCGGAUCUUUUAAGGCAUAAGCUUAAUGCUGAGACGCACGGGGAUAUCCGGUCAAGGAUGGAUAUUCAAGACAAGGACGAAGGCUCUCCUUCACGCAAGAUGAUUACAAGUCUUAGGAGUGAACUUCCGCUUUACCCCUUGUGGUAUCAUGAAGCGAAGGGCAGAGAAAGCGAGCGAGAAAACAUAAAUCAAGGCGGUCGUUGACUUAAAAUAGGCAAAAAGAAAAGACAGAGAGCCUACAGGUUUCUCGAUUUACCCUUCUUUUAGGAUAGAAAAAGGCACUGCCUGUGUGACCACUACAAGCAGACGUGACGAGCGAUGCAGGGCCACCCACGACCGCUAGCAAUACGAGGUAAAGCGGCCAGAAAGCAUACCAUAGGAUGCGUCCUGAGGGCAUUCACAUAAACAUUCUUCGAAUUGUUCACAUUCGGCGGGAUGUUCUUAGCCUUGUCUCCAAGUGAAUAAUUGAAUCGGCACCGACACGAUCGGACCUAUUGCAGCCUUCGGUUGACUGGUGGCAUUCGAUGGUAUGCUUUGAGGCCUUCCCAACCUGCUCCGUGUAAAAGAGGUAGAAGGAGGCUCAAAGAAUUAUCGAAGAGCGAGACGAAAGAAAAUAGCGACUUCCAGUCGGUGAUGGGAUAUCUCAAUGUUAUCGCAGAUUCAAAGGCGCAAAGAAUAUUGCAUUGAGGCUCGAUUGAAAGGAGAGGCGAAUUUGAGAAGAAAGAACUAUAUCGGAUAAAUACUCAACUGCCUCAGAUGUCACUGGGACAAGAGCCGGAGAUUCUGAAACCUCUCGCAGCUUCUUUGCUUCCUUUGGUCUCGAUAUUUGAACCGCCUCAAUAAACAAUAAAUAAGGGUCCAAAAAAUCAAGGUCAUCUGAAACCCUUUUUUUUAUGCGCCUCAAUCCUAUCCAUUAGAACGCCGGCCCUCACCCUUUUUCUCAAAUUCUUUGACCCUCUGUCUCAGUAUUCGGCGGAGAUGCUGAUGUUAACAACAAAUGCAGGCUGAAUGUUGUAUGGAAGGAUGAUCAUUUCGGCUUCUUGUAGCCAUUGAUGUUGUCUAAUGCUUGGAGAGACAUUGUUUAAUGUGACUUUGGACAAGGUUACUGAAGAUAGAACUAUCUGGCUUUAGGUCAGUUUUCAGUUGCUAAGACAGUGAAGCUCUUUCAUCUUUCUGGUAAUACUGUCCCUUGGUUCAAGCUUCUUUGGGGUAAGAAGCACAUCCCUAGUCAUGCUUUUCUUUCGUGGAUGGCUAUGAAUAAGAGUCUGAGAGUCAAAGCUAAACUGUAUAAUCUUUAAGUGCUUUCGUCUUAUUUUGAGGUUUGGAAGCAAAGAAGCAGAGCGGAGUUUGAUUCCUUAUAUCAGAAAAAGAUAUAGGAAGACUCCCAGAAAGAAGAAAGCCUAGGAGCAAGCAAAGAAAGAGUAAGGAUCAGAAAGCUCCUAACCCCUAUUUAUUUAUGGAUGUGAAUUGAGCGAAGGCGCAAAGAAUAUUGCGAAGGUUAAAAGAAUAUUGACUUGAUAAACCUCUAUUUAGCUUCUUAUAUCUGAAGACGAUAAAGUCAGAUAAUCAGCCUCCGGCUGGGUCGGAUCGUCCAUACCUAGUUGAGUAUCUCUGUCCGUCAUAACGAAUUCACUCUUUGAAAAAGGGUCGGACUUUGUUGGAGUUGACUCGGUGAGUACACUUUCAUCUUUACGAGAAGAAGCGCGAACAACAACUAUAUUAUUCAGCGAUAGACCUGAUUUACCCGAUGAGUGGAACGACUCGACAAAAGUCUUAGGACUCGGGACAGACGCGCCUCCUUCCUGCUAGAACUCAUAGGUCUACGGGGGUUCUUUCGGUAGCGAGAAUAGUGGUCCCAAACGGAAUAGAAGUACUUUUGAUUCACUGAAUCAUAAUCUUUGAAAGAAGAAAGGGGGACGGAGGAUCAAUGAAAUUUGAUGAUGAUGAGUAAGCUCUUGCUUUUCUUGCUCCUCUUUCUGAAGUUGCGAGAGGUUCAAAUAUCCUUAUCAAUGAUUGGAGUGAUUGUUCCGGUUGCAAAUGUUGCUGUUGGAGUAGAAGUUGUAGCCCUUUCGGUGAGGUGCAAAUGCUCGACCUCGACCCAUUGGCAUUAGUUGAGGAUGCACUAUCCCUGAUUAUUUUUUAGGAGAAAGCCUCUUUCGUUGGGUUUAGGGGAAAAGACUAAGAAUGAGGUCCCCUCCCCCCAAUUGAGGAACGAGGGCAAAAGCGAAGCCUAUGAAGUGAGUAUGAGCUCGUUCGACCCCCAUGUAGCAGGAAUAGCACCAUCUUCUCUCUUUCAUGAGUAGUUCACUGCACUCAUUAGUAGCUGGACCAAGAGGUUAUUCUCUCUAUGAUCUCCUGGACUGGAAUAAGCGCUCUCCCCAUAGCAAGAGGGAGCUCGACGUAGUUGGUCUUUUGACAGUCACAGUAAUUGAGAGAAGCAGCUGCCCGGGAGAGGGAGGUAUCAGAUUAGGCACUAAGAGAGGAUUAGUUGAAUCGAUUGUAAGAAGAGGCAUCCGUUCUUGUGCCAGUAGCAGUUGCAGAAGUUGAAUCGUCAGUGGUUGUUCUUGUUUAAGAAAUAGCUACAGCUAUUCCCACCAAGGCCUGACGAUAGGCUGAUUUCAGGAUUUCCUAUCCAUCCUCAAAUUCUUUGAGCCUUUGUUACAAGAAAACACUCUUUAGUGACUCAAGAAUGACCCUGUCUUAUGGCACCUCUUAUCUGGAGCCUUUGUUUUUUAAACAAGUCUAAUUCUCUAAUGGAUAAGCCUGAAUUCAUGAAUAUUGAAUUAAACCUACUAAAAUCAAAGGAAUAAAGAAAGAGCUCAAAAGGAGUCAAAAUGAGAAGUCCGAAACCUCAUCACCUACUCCCGGAGGCAAGGUGAAAUUCAAUAUGACGAAGUCUUAUAACUGGGUCUCAUCCCCCCAUAAUCAAGUAGCAUCCACUAAAAAGAAGCGGAGCGCGGAAGGACGAGGCGCAAUUCAAUAUGCCUCGAAUGAAUCUACCCUUUUUAGAUUCGACUACUCCGCUACGUGGGCUUACUAGUAAUGCUGAAGUUUCCUCCUUUUCUAGCUUUCUUUCUAAUGCCCUUCUUUAUGGUCAAUGGUCACUUCCCCGAGGCGCGGAUCCCACUACACGGGAAUAUAUUAUGAUAUAAUGAACUAUCUUCUUUCUAAUAGCUGGUUUCAACAGCCACCGGGGAGGAGACAAGAACUCAAUCUACUGAAACAAGGAUUUCAACCACAGCGAGAGCAUACCUCAAAAAAAUAAGGAAGAAAAAGAUAAAGGCGCGAAGCAAAGCCUAUGAAGUCAUAAGGCAAGGGCUUUCCGUGAACUUUCUUAUGAUGGGAAAUCCUUGUUUUCAUUUGCGAGACACAUUUCAUUCGUAGAAAUACCACUUCCUACUUCCUCAUCCCGACAAUAAAUAAAGCACUACGUGGGACAAAGUAGAUUCCCAAACUUAAAAGGAAAGACUAAAAUCAAAGCUCCAGAUGAGUUGAAUUGAGGUGCAAUGAAAUAUACCUUUCUGCAGUGAGCGAAUUCGCUCUUUCGGCUGAUAACCUUUCGAUCCAGAAAGAAAUUACUUACUUCAUGCUUUCUUCGUAUUUAUUUAAGGACCCAAUCCAUCUUUUGUCUAUGACGAUCGGUACGAAAGGAAGGCAUGCUCGCAGGGGAUUCUUAUUACUAAUAGAUGAUAAGAUAAUACGAGAAUGAAAGAGGUCGAGCGCCUCACCUCUGAGUCUGAUUGUUGGAAGUAUGAUGACUCCCACUGGUCGUCUUUCAACUCAUUAAAUCCCCUUAUCUUUUAUGGCGGUCUUACCGGAAUAUCUACUUUAUAGAAUUCCUAUGAGACUAAGAAAUCAAACUGGGACCUCGUAGUCUUCCUGUUCCCGGUCGAUCCUAUGAUCGAUCUCAUACAAAGAUCCUAUGAUCGACUAAAAAGACUCUUUCUUCUUAGUUUGAGCUUGAGGCGCGUCCAACCCACUACGCGGUAAGCUUUUCCUCUUUUCCUCUCACUUCAAGACUCAAGACCUUACCCGCACCGAGUCAAUCUGAUCGCUACCUUUCCAGGUCGUAUUCUAGUAAUUAAUUUCAUUAAUAACUCAGAGCGGCGAUCUAAAUACUUCUUCAGCAAGAACUUUCGAAGAAGGUAGAGGAACUGAAAUGGAUUCAGCUUCCGCAGGCAGCAUCCCUUUCAACGACGACUCCCCGAGAGACUCGCUUCAAACUUUCGAUUUAGAAAGAAGGUAUCUCAGUCUCUUACCGCGUAGUGGGCUGAUCGUGAGAGAUGGAAUCUUCAACCUCUUAAGGAAAUGUGUCCAGCGAAAGUAUUUACGUAAGAAAUUGAGAACCAGGUGAGAGGAGAGGGGUGAGGAUCGAGCGCAUUCCCUAUCGAUCAGCAUCCUCAACUCUACUUCAAGAGUAGAAAGGUUUCGGAAUUCAGAGGCAAGAGCAUUCCUUCCUCUUUCUUUAGUCAAGUCAUUUCAUUCCAUUUCUCACUAGGUCUAUAGAAAUAGUUCAUGGCCAGGGCUAGGUCUCGUCAUAUUCUUUUCUCAAGAGAUGAGAAGAAAGUUCUCCUAAUAGAAUAUGUUUGAAUAUCUCAACUAGAAAGUCUCGGACUAACUCUUCCCAUAGCGUAGCCGACGGAGCAGGGAAAAGGAAGAUUUUCAACAGUCAAGAGAUCAAUCAGAAGGGAGCGGGAAGAAUGGAUAUUGUCUUCGAUCUUGCGAUAAAAUGAGUCAGACCAUAUGCGAUCUCGUCUCAAACAGAGAAUUAGUAAUCUGAGUCGCACGGGGAAUAGGUUGAAUAGUCCGGAGGACGAGAAGACAGAAAGAAAAGAAAGGUUCCCGAGGUUCAAAGAAUAUUGACAAAGAAUAUUUCAUGAAUUGAGGUGCGGUAGUCCGUCCGAAGGACUAUGAAAUCCAUUAGUUUUCGUUUGCACUCCUUUCUUCUUUUCUUAGAUAUUCUGGGAUUGAACUCCGUCUGAAAUCUAGCAGAUUCAUUUUUAGCUUCUUUCAUUCUCGUUAAUGAGCACUUGAACCUGUCUUUCUCAGGUGCAAAAAAUAUUGCGAGAAGAGCAAAGAAGAGAAUGGCGAUCAGAAUUUGAGUCCUUUCAUACUUUCGUUGAGGAGGAGGAGUUUUCUUCUUGUAUCAUAAUAGGAUAUUUUAGUAGAAUAAGAAGAAGAAGAAGAUAAGACUACGUAGCGUAGUGGGCUUUUCUUAUGGCGGAGCGGAGGAUUCCGAUUAUCCACUGAAGAAAGUAGGAAAGCCUAAGGAACCUAAAAAGGGCUAAUAGGGGAAGGAAGAAAGCCUAUCCCUCCAGAAUCUUUGAGGACCGAAGGACUUCUUUAUAUCCCUAUUUAUUUAUUUAUGGGACUCCCAGAAAGGUUUAGUUCCAUAAAUCAGUCGGCUAAUAUAUAGGAUGAAAGUAGAUAGAGAGGAAAAGAAAAAAGUCGUCACUCUUAAGGAGUGCAAGAAGGAAUCUUUGAACCUUUUAUCCUGAUCUCUCUCAUUCUACAACUCAGUCGAGCCACUAUUCAACCUUCUUUUCGAGGGGACAUCAUGUCCUCUUAUCUUAAUCCCAUAAAUCAUUUAAGGCGAUACUGAAAGAAGAAAUCCAGCAACUUAAUCCGGUAGAGUCAAUUCGAGACUAAGACGAGUUGGGGUUUCGACCAUAGGCUUUCCUUCCAAACCUACUAUACUAAACCUACCCCCGGACUCAAGACGCGAAGUGAAGCGGCUGCCCACUUUUUAGAAAUAAAGAGAUGAGAUAAUUCUUUUCACUCAUUGAGGUCGGCUAAAUUCAAUGGAUAAAGAAGUCCUUUGCUUCAUUCUAUAUGUCCUUAUCAAUGAGACCAUUAAUCAGUCCGAAGGACUAUCCAAAGAAAAGAAUAUCCCUGUCUUAUGGGGCCUCCGUAGCUUAAUAUGGAGCGCUCCGGACGAGUCUUAACUAAUAUUCCCAAUCAAAGAAUUAUCGAAAGAAUGAUCGACGAGUCUUAUUCCACUAAAAUAGUAGUCCUUCGGAGCAGUCUUAAUACUCCUAAAAUCAAAGCUCCAUAUGAGUUUCAUUCCACUAAAAGACGAAAGAAGGUAUCUCAGUUACCAAAGAGAAAGAGCUUCCACAAACCACUUCCACAUAAACUUCUGCUAAGUCUACUUCUGUUAUUGAUUCAACUUAGCCUUUAAUCAGAUUAGGACCUAGCUAGCCAACCUUAUUCCUUCCUCUUCCUUACUUUGUUCUCGCUUGCUUCGGCAACACAUCUCUGGAUACUGGAUAAGAGAUCCUUUGGUCAAGCUGCAAGAGAAAGACUUCUUCCGAUCGAUCAGCUACCCGAUUCCUCCUUCCCCGAUGAUAAGGUUAGCAUGCCCGAUCCUCUCCUAUUGAAAAAGAAAGCAGAAAUCUUUCAGUCCAGAGGAUUUAUCCGUAGCCCGGAGGAUUUAUCCGUAGGACCAUCUGUAAUUAACCGAAGUAGUCUGCAGUCCGGAGUCCGCAGGAUUUAUCCGGAGGACUAUCCAUAUGGAAGUAGGACCAUCCAUAUGGAAGGAAGUAGUCCGCAGUCCGCAGUCCGCAGGAUUUAUCCGUAGGACUAUCCAUUUUCAGUCGGACUAUCCAUAUGGAAGGGAGCGAAAUCUAGCUAUGAGGACUCUUUGAGCUCUUCUUUGAGUCAGUGGCUGCCCUUGCAGAAGGAGCAGCGAAGUCCGCGGUUUCAGAGGUUUAUGUAGCAGUUCUUCUUUAAUAAGAUGCUUACUUUCUUUCGGGUAGAAAGGUUCACUCGUGAACGGUACACCUCUUAUAUGAUGCCUGGGGACUUUGUCCCUUCUUCUACGGAUUUCUCUUAUAUGAUCUUAUUCAUCUCCGUAUCGUUCAUAUAUUCAUUCUAUAAAAUCCCUAGCUGCCACAUAUGGUCGAACUUGCCUCUUAAGUGGCGUGGGUCGAUCCUCUUGUUGACUUUUUACCUAGGAGUGGGGGGGAAGAAGUUCGAGAAUAAUUUAUCUUCUUUCCUUGUCCCAGUUCUUCUUUCCACUUCUACUUAAGUCACCACGACUGAUACAGAUGCAAGAACAUCAGGGCGAGCAGGGAAGAGGCGGAGGGAGUUUGCACUCUUUUCAUGCGGGUUUGAGUGAGACUGAUGCGCCCUAGGUCAAGCCAUUGCUUCGUCUUGUUCAUCACAUUCAUUAUGUUCACAAUUCCGGAAUCAAAGUAGAAAUACGAGAAAGCGCUCCAGCGGACUCUGAUUCAUUGGGAAUUCUAUCUUCCCGCCUCAAUGAACAAGGUGAAAAGAAUAUUAAAUGAAUCAUUGAGUUGAGGCGGUGGAACCUAGGAGUGGGACCGGGAACAUGAUAGGCUUGAAUCUAAGAAGUGAAUAUAGUAUUGAAAGAGGCCCACGGAGCGGUGUCCGACUAUCCUACUAUCGAAGCCUUGAAGCAUGAGUCUUGAGGUUUUCAAAGUCUACUCAGAGGACGAGGUUGAAGUUUCAUAGGGAAAGGUUUCAUAACAAGCAGUUGUUUUCCGUAUCGAAUGCUCUUUCAUUCCUUAUUCGAAAGAAGGCAAAGAAAGUGGAAACUAAAUCCUUGGAUUCUUUCCCGCUUGAACCAUGAAAGGUUAGGCCUUAGUUACGAUCUCAUUCAAUGCCCUAGCAUACUCAAAGGUUCGGGGGCGUAGUGGAUGGAGCUAGAAGACUACUACUUGGACGAGGGAUUUCCUUUCUCUUAUUGUAAUACUCCUAACCACCCCUUUUUGAAUGGGCAGGCCCCUCUGGUCGAGUUUACCCUUUUUAUUCAGGCCUAUCUGCCUCCGUUCAUGAAGGACAAAAUCGGACUGAGCCCUUGUUCAUUGAGGCGUAUAAGCCCACGUAGCGGUGCCAUAAGACACGUCUGAAGGCGUCACAGGUCCGGAGGACCCGUCUGUCCGAAGGACGAGAUAUUUAUAAUGUUGAGAGAAAGAUUAGACUUUGUCAGGACCCUUAUUUCCAUUAUUUUUCACUUUCAAUAUUCUUGAGAAUAUUCAUUCAUCCGACAGAGCAAAGUUCAUCCAGAUCCCCAUAUGAAUUAGGCGAAUGACUGAUUUUCAAAGUCAGAGUUAUCCCUCAAAUUCUUUGAGCCUUUGCACUCAAAUUCUCUAAUGGAUAGUCCUUCAGACCGCUAGGAGUAAAGAAUAUUGUGUGGAACUGAACUAAUAGGGAAAAGCAUUUCCUAUUGAUUUGUCCCCUGGACUGGACCUAUUCUGAUUCUGAAUUAUCCGUCGCUACGUUGUUCCCAAGGACUAGCAAAAUCGAAAUAGCGAAAUUCUUGGGUCAUCUCAAUGGGUUCAGAAACCACACGUUUCUCUGGAUCAUCACAGCGUACUUCCACAUAUCCACUCAGAGGAAGGUCUUUUUGUAAUGGAUGACCCUCGAAACCAUAAUAUGUUGAUAUACGGCGUAGAUCCGGAUGAUUGAUGGAAGAAACACCAAACAUAUCCCAAACUUCUCGCUCCCACCGGCCGGCUGAUGGAAAUAGACUGACUACCGGAGAGAUUCGUGUUACUUCGUCUGCACUGGUUUGUACACGAAUGCGUGAGUUAUACCGAGUACUCAGUAAAUUAUAGGCCACUUCAAAUCUGAGUUUUCUAUAUAUAUUUAUAUUGAUGUUAAUAUGUUACCUUGUAAUUGGAAUGGUGAUUUGAAUAAUCUAAUAGGAUUAUGUGUUUGGAUCAAAAUAUGUUGCAAGAGAAAUAGCUAAAUGUGUGGAUUUAGUGACAAAGAGGGUAUUCAUGUGUUUAUUUUAGUUUUCUCAGUGAGGACUCGAUUUUUAGAAGAAACGACCACUGUUCGAAUCAUUCAAAACUUUGUUUCGAACAAAAAUUUUGGACUUUGUCAUUGUCCUCUUCACCGAAUGUGACAAACUUGAAGACAACGAUGAAACAUUGAAAGAUUACUUGGAUCGAAAAUGUCUUGUGGGGUUGAAAGAUACCAUAGCCGCUAGCAAGAACUGUUGCUUGGUUUUCAAUAACAAAAACCGAUAAUGAAACAAAGAAGAUUGAAUAAGUGGAUAAACUUAUAAAGAUGGUGCAUGAAGUUGUACAACAAAAUGAAGGAAAAGCAUACACUCAUGGCUUGUUUUCUAAUGUCAAGUUUGAGACCAACUUGCAAGAUGAUGUGAAAACCAAGCUUGAACACACAAUUACAGUUCAAAACACAAGCAAAAUUUAAAGCAUAACAAGGAGCACAAGAAGUUCAACAACAAUCUAUGGAUCAAAUUCGAGUCCUCAAAGACCAUCUAUGCAUCAAGACUUGAAAGGUCACUGUCACUACCAAUGCUUCCACAAAUUAUUCGUCAUGGUCGCUGCAUGAGAAAAGGUUGCAUUAUUGUAUGACUUUACUGUGCAUGCAUUCAAUAAAUAUGUACAAGUAAUUAGUAUAAUGAAUAUAUACUAAAUAAAAAUAUGAAAAAACUGUGAAAAAAAACUUAUUUGAUUAACUGCUAUAAAUUAAUAUUUGAAAAUUGGCAUGUGUUCUCGAAACUAAUAAAAGCAAGUUUGGAAAUGCCUUUAUUUUGUCUUUGUUGAGUGUAGUGUAAAUUGGCAAAUAUAGAAUGCUUAAUUAUGUUGUUAAUUAAUAAGAAAAUUAUUUUAGAAGUUUUGAUGAAUGUCCAACUACAUGUGGAAAGAAUUAUAAAGGAUUGAAAAAUGAUUCUAUAAUCUAGCCCAAACAAGAGGUGGGUUAUUAUAGCUCACUUCACUUCUAUUUAGUUUGGGACCCAAAUAGCCUCUUAAAAUUAGGUUAACUCCAUAACUAAUAAGGGUCUUUAACUCAUAUAGUCUAAAUUGCUAUAUGAUAUUACAUGAAUGAUCCAAAUUACUAAUAAAUUUCAUAAAAGUCCUAAAUGGACUAGUAUAUUACAUAAAUGUAGGCUCAAAUUACUUUAAUACCAAUUUAUAUUAUUUAAUUGAUUUAUAACAAAUAUCUAAAUGAAAAAAACCGUGGGAUAUAGUUUUGGAAAGAAGUGGGGUCCAAAUUAAUUUAAUAUCAACUUCUAUUAUUUAAUUUAAUUGAUUUAUAACAAAUAUCUAAAUGGAAAAAAUGGUGGAACACCGUUUUGGAAAUAAGUGGGGUCCAAAAUAAUUUAAUACAAAUUUUUAUUAUUUAAUUGAUUUAUAACAAAUAUCUAAAUGGAAAAAAUAAAGAGAUACAGUUUUGGAAAGAAGUGAAAAACUUUUCAUGCUUUCCUACCACGAAAAUGGUUGUCUACUCCUUUCAACGUGGAUUACGAUUUUUACUUCAAAAUUUUAGAGAGUUCGGAGGUGAAGAAGAAGACAGUCGACGACCGACAAAUACAAAACUUCUCGAACAUAAUCUAGUUAAAAACUUUGAAGUUAGUAUUGUAUAUAUUCAACACAUAUGAAACAUUAGAUAUAUUAUGUAUAUUUUAGACAUUCAAUUAAAUAGUCAAUCAAAUGAAAAUGUAGUUUUGAAUGUGAUACAUUUUAGGGUUUAUUGAGAUUUCGGCGGUGAAGAAGAAAACUUUUGAUGGCCAAAAAAUACAAAACUUAUCCGACAGAAUCUAACUAGAAAAUUUGUGCUUAAUAUUAUAUAUAUUCAAAACAAAUGAUUAGAAACAUUUAGUAUAUUAGGUAUAUUUUAAAUAUUCGAUUAAAUAGACAAACAAAUGAAAAUAUAUGAAACAUUUGGUAUAUUAGGUAUAUUUUAAAUAUUUGAUUAAAUAGACAAACAAAUGAAAAAUUAGUUUUGAAUGUGAUACAUUCUAGAGUUUAUUAAGAAUUCAACGUUGAAAAAGAACGGUCAUCCUAUCAAAAAAAUAAUAGAACUAUAUAUAUAAUAUGAGGUAUAUAUAUAUUAAAACAUAGAACAUAACUAUUAUAGAUUACGGAUAUAUUAAAGUAUAAUGUAAUCAAAUACAUUUAUAAAGGAAAAAUAUGUAUGUAUGAUCAUGUCGUUUACUACCGUUUUAGUAAUAUUUAUUCUACAAACACAAAUUCUGUAGGAAUUAUGUAUAAGGUAUUAUUGUAUAUAAUAUGAGGUAUAUAUAUACUAAAUAACAUGUAUGAAUUAAGUGUACAUUUUAUUAGUGAAAGGUUCUUAUAUCAAUUUGUUUAUGAUUUUUAUUUAAAUAUUCAUAUAUUAUGUAGUAAGUAAUACGUUAUGUUUGAAAUAAUAUUGAUUAUGUAUUAAAGUUGCCCAUUAGACAGUUUUUUAACAAAAUAUACCUAUUAUAUUAAUAUAGAAAAUGGGAGGAAAUCGUGCAACAUUAAAAUAGGAAACUUCUUUACCAUUUUCUCACUUUCCAUAUUCAACGAAAAGCUUGCCAUUUCGACAGUCAAUGACAUAUACAACAUAUUAUAUAAUGCGAUAAUAUUAUAAAACUAGUAUAAUCAUAAAUAAGAUGUGAUAUAUAUUUAAGGGAAAUAUUAAAAAACUGAUAAAUUCAUAAUAGAAUAACGUUAAAAUAAGGAGAAUAUUGUUAAUAUAAUAUAUAUACGCAUAUGAUAUACUCAUAAUGAACUAAUUUUAAAUGGGUAAAAUAACAAAUGACAUAUUUAUGUUAUUCUUCAUAUAAAACAUCAACUAAAAGUAUUAUAUCUCACGGUUAAUAUAUAAAACUAUUAUAAAUGUAAACAAGAUGUGAUAUAUAUAUAUAAUAAAUCACAUAUACAACCUAUUAUAUCAUGCGAUAAUAUUCUAAAACUAGUAUAAUCAUAAAUAGUAUGUGAUAUAUGUUUAAAGGGAAUAUUAAAAAACUGGUAAAAUCAAAAUAGAAUAACAUUAAAAUAAGAGGAAUAUUGUUAAUAUAUACUCAUAUGAUAUACUCAGAAUGAACUAAUUUUAAAUGGGCAAAAUAACAAAUGACUGUGGAUUUUAUCUUAUCUUUAGGUGAUGGACAAUUGUAUAUGACGGCGAUUUGUUAAGAUUCUGCAGCUUACGGUUAUGAUAAAUUUGAAUACAAAUUUAUAAAACAAUGUAAUAAGAAGUUCAAAUGAUGGAGAAGAAUAGCAAAAAACAGUUGUCGGCGAUGGAGAAGAUAAUGUAAUGGCUGCCAGAGAGAGUGAACAAUUAGGUUAAGUUAUAUUUUUAGAAAGAAUAAUUAAAUAGUUUAUUACAAAAUAAAGUACAAUUACAAUUAUUAUAAUAUAUUCUGAUUUAUAAUUAAUUUAAAAGAUACUUGAAAUUUAUUAACAUAUUAAGGUCUUUUGUCUAAAAGUUUCAACUAAUAAUAAUGAUAGUUCUCAUUAACCAAUUGACAAAUGAUUGAUAUUGUCAAAUGAUCGAUAUUGUCAAAUGAUCGAUAUGUGCAAGUGCACAUUUCAAUUAUAUUAUAGUAUAACGUUCUUAGAGAUCGAGCUAGUAUCCUUUUAAGAGGGAUCAAAUUAACAAAUUAAUUUAUUGAUUUUAGGAUUAUGAUGUGUUUUAAGGAUUAAAAACAAUGAUUAGAAACUAAUAAAAAGAUCCCUAAAAGACAAAUAUGAAAUCUCAAAGAAUAAAAAAUGCUCCAAAAUUGUUUUUGAUUUCACUGUUCAAUCCAUAAAAUCAUGAUGUGUAUAGGUUAUAUGAAAACUAGUGUCAGUAUGUGUUCAGAUGUAGGAACUAAUUAACUACAAGUUGUUGACUUUUGAAAAGAAUAUCUUUCCAUUCAAACAUAAUUGUUCCUAAUCUCUUCCAACUAAGUUAAAUAUUAUGGUAUUAAACAGAUACAUAGUUUGGUUGGUAGUUUCUCUUCAAAAUUAUUAUUUUGAGAAAACAAAUACAAUUUCUUUUUUAGGUAAUCCAAUAUCCUCAAGUAUAUUUAUAAAUAUGGAAAUAUUAUUUCCAUAUUAGAAGAGAUACUAAAAGAUCUUAUUACAACAUCAUUAGAGUCCCAUCAUUUUCUCUAAAUAUCUCUUUUGUGGCGAAAGAUUUGGAAUUGCACAUCAAUCAUUUUGGAGUGGGUAAUUGAUCACCCUAUUUUUCAAAAAAUAAGAAAGAUAAAAAAUAGUUAUUUUUUUAAAGAUAUAUUUGAAAGUGUUGAGUUUAUGGAAGGUAUUAGUACUUAUACAACCACAAAACAUUUGAUUUUUGUUAUCUAAAUUAUUUUAAUAAAAAUGUUUUUUUUUUUUUGAAGUUUAUGCUUAUUAAAAAUGCUUAUUUAAAAAAUGUUAAUGAAAUUUUAAAAAAUAAAAUCUAAUUAAACACUUCUGAGAUAGAGAGGUUUCCCUUGACUACCCGAGCGUAGAUAAACACUUCUGAGAUUUGGUUGGUAAUCCAAGUUCGUGUGCAGUUGAUUAUUUUUUAAAUUUUGUAUAGUUGAAUAAUAUUUGAAUUUUAAAUUUUCAUCUAUGUGAUAUUUACUCAUUUCAAACUUUUUGAAUAUGCAUGUUUAUUUAUUAUUCUGCCGUCUCUCUAUUGUAUUUUAAAAUUUAGAAUAUGUGUAUUUAUAUUAUUUGAAAUUGAAAAUUUAACUUUUGCUCUUAGAGUAGGCUUUAACUCUUUGUUUGUCCGUGUUGUAGGUGAGCGAGAAGGAAAAGUUCCAUUGUUUGAUUGAAUUGGAAUUGUUUCCUGCAUGGGGUGUCAUACAUAAUUCCACUUAUUACUAGUUGAAGGUCUUCUUUGCCUCUGUCUUCUUCCCCAUCUCCCCAAGUUGUUCUAACCUUUUUAUAUCUACCUAUUACAUGUCAAAAGGUUGUUUCGCUCUUCAAUGUUUUGAAACAAGUUCAUUAUGAAAAUCUCUCGCAAGCAAACGUAUGUGCAUUAUGAAUAAUUUCAUCUCAAAAAAAUUGUUUGAGAGGUUUCAAAAGUGUAUCGAAACUAAUAAUUUUAAUGAAUAAAAAAAUAAUUCUUCGUUAGAUUCUUACAUUUUAUUUCAACGAAUAAAAUUUAGGAAAAUUUUUAAAAAUAGCAAAUUUUACAAAAAUAUUUACAAUUUAUAACAAAUUUAUAGUCAUUGAUAUGAUAUAACGAUAGUUACUAAUAAAUAUUUUAAUUUAUUUUGUUAUUUUUAAAAAUUCUCAUAAAAUAUUAUAGUGAGGGAACAAUGAUGAAUCACAUAGUUUUUGUGGUGAUGUCGCUUUUUAUCCCUCUUUACAUUCUAAAAUCUCAAAUACAAAUCAUAAAACAAGUAGAUAUACAUUCAAUUAACAUGAUUUUGAUUCUAAUAAAUUAGAAAGACAAAAAUAACUAACUAAUUAUGGAAAAGUAAUAUUUUAACAUGAAUUAUUGAUUUUUAAUUAGAGGUAAUUUUAAAAUAAAUAAAAUAAAAGAAAAUAUUACAAAUCAAAUCUAAACUAACUUUGAUUUUACUUCUUUAAUUGCAAUAUAACAUAGAUACAUUGGCUAUGAAGUGCAAUUUCUUAUAUUAUAAUAUUUAAAAGAUUUAAAUUUAAAAAUAAAAAUAAGUAAUCUCAAGUCCAAUAUUGGACCUGUGGGGCUUAGCCCAUCAAUUUAAAAAUUCAAAAUGCACACUCAACCGUCACAUUUUCCUAGGAUCAUCCUAUUUAAUGCCCUUCUACUUGUCAACUCCAUCGAAAUCCUUCAUUUCUUGUGGCACCGUCUAAAAUUUGCUUCGAUUGAAGAAAUUUUGACGCCCAUGACAGCGUUGAAAUUUCUUCAAUGCAAACAAAUUUUUUAUCUUCCUUUCAUCGAGGAUUUUCAUACCAUGUGAAGGAGAGAUCAGUUCCAUCAGUUCCAAGUCGUUCGUGAGUCAUCUUCUUUCCUGUGUAGUUUUCAUCUCUUGAUUUUGGAUUGCUUGUUCAAGAUUUAUUUUCGAAUUUUGGAUUGUUUGCUAUUCGGAUAGGCAGAAGGUUUGCACGAUGAUAGAUCUGGAGUACCUGAAUCGUUUAUUGAUUCUGUAGUUUAAUCUUAUGAUUUUGGUGAUUUCGAAGCGUACAAUAUAAUCGUACUGUGUUAUGAAGUAAAUAAGAUUUUGUAGGGUUUUUGAAAGUUAAUUUAGAUAUUUCCUGCAUUUUAGUCUUGAUAGAUCUGGGGUACCUGAACCGUUCAGGUUUGCAUGCUGUGAUUGUGUUGUUCUUUUUUGAUUUUGGAGAGAGUCCUUGGGUAAUUUUGAGGAUUGUUCUUUUUUUAGUUUUUUUUGCAUGCAUUCAAACACACGCAUGGUUUUUAAACUGGGGUUCUUGAAUAUUUGUUGGUUUUCUCGAAUAUUUGCCUGUUUUUUUUUCUCAGAAGAAUUGAUCUUAUAUUUGUGUAUCUCUCUGUGCAACUUUAAUAUAAAGUUAUUAAGGAAGAAGAGAAAGGAGGAAGAAGGGAGAGAGAAAAGGUAGAAACGACCUAAUAGUAGGCAUGAGUAUUAAGAUGCAGCAGAGCCACCACUUAGUGGCGCUAAGGUUUAAUGAGCAAAUUGACAGUAGAAAAGGGUCCACAUCCAUACCUAAGUUACUAUUGCUCUGGGUUCUGUUGGUGGCAUUCAUUAGUAUGUUAAACUACAAAGAAAUGGAUGGGUGGGUGUUAACAAAGUUAGAAGAAAGUAAGUUCUGGGAAGUAUGUGUGACCAGACGACAAAGAUGCUUCUUAGUGUCAGUGUCAAACUAUGUCCAGGCUUUGGCCAUUCUCAUUUCCAUUUUCCAGUACUUCAAAAUCGUAUCAGCAAUUGAUCAGGAAAAUGUGUUUUGAUUUCUGUCUUUUAUUAGUCUCGGUUAGUUAGGCUUAAGAGUAAGGGAUAUAAUUCAUUUUUCUUGUUUCAGCUAGAAAUUACGUCGAUGUCUUGAUUUUUAGUUUUUUUAGGGCUGUUUGGUUGUUUUUUUAGGGGUGUUUGGUUAGUUAGGCCUAAGAAGUAAGGGCUAGUGAAAGAGAAGCAUUUGAUUGUCCUACAAGUAUCUGAAUCGCCAAUGAAAGCAGAGGUUAUUUCCUCUGAAUUUCCACGAAUUGUUCAGGUUUGGAUUCUGUGAUUGUGUUGUUCUGUUGUUCUCUUUUUUAUUUUGGAGUGUUCUAGGAAAUUUUGAGGUUUGUUUUUAUUUUUUUGGCUUGCCUUUAAUCACGCUCGUUUGGGAAUAGACAGGCUUCAGAGAAUGAAUCUCCUUUUUAAGGGUUCGUUGGGGAGCGAAGUGACCAUAUGGCAUCCCUUUCUACACCUGCUCAGUCUCUCUCUUGCCUUUUUCAUACUACAUAUUUUUGUUUCUCAAUUUAGUGUCAGUGUCAACCAUGUCUAUGCUUUGGCCAUUCUCAUUUCCACUUUCCACUACUCUAAAAAUGUAUCUGCAAUUGAUCUUAUAUUUGUGUAUCUCUCUGUGCAACUUUAAUAUGAAGUUAUUAAGGAAGAAGAGAAAGGAGGAAGAAGGGAGAGAGAAAAGGUAGAAACGACCUAAUAGUAGGCAUGAGUAUUAAGAUGCAGCAGAGCCACCACUUAGUGGCGCUAAGGUUUAAUGAGCAAAUUGACAGUAGAAAAGGGUCCACAUCCAUACCUAAGUUACUAUUGCUCUGGGUUCUGUUGGUGGCAUUCAUUAGUAUGUUAAACUACAAAGAAAUGGGUGGUGUUAACAAAGUUAGAAGAAAGUAAGUUCUGGGAAGUAUGUGUGACCAGACGACAAAGAUGCUUCUGCCUCAACUUAGUGUCAGUGUCAAACUAUGUCCAGGCUUUGGCCAUUCUCAUUUACACUUUCCAGUACUUCAAAAUCGUAUCAGCAAUUGAUCAGGAAAAUGUGUUUCGAUUUCUGUCUUUUAUUAGUCUCGGUUAGUUAGGCUUAAGAGUAAGGGAUAUAAUUCAUUUUUCUUGUUUCAGCUAGAAAUUACGUCGAUGUCUUGAUUUUUAGUUUUUUUAGGGCUGUUUGGUUGUUUUUUCAGGGGUGUUUGGUUAGUUAGGCCUAAGAAGUAAGGGCUAGUGAAAGAGAAGCAUUUGAUUGUCCUACAAGUAUCUGAAUCGCCAAUGAAAGCAGAGGUUAUUUCCUCUGAAUUUCCACGAAUUCUUCAGGUUUGGAUUCUGUGAUUGUGUUGUUCUGUUGUUCUCUUUUUUAUUUUGGAGUGUUCUAGGAAAUUUUGAGGUUUGUUAUUUUUUAGUUUUUUUGGCUUGCCUUUAAUCACGCUCGUUUGGGAAUAGACAGGCUUCAGAGAAUGAAUCUCCUUUCUAAGGGUUCGUUGGGGAGCGAAGUGACCAUAUGGCAUCCCUUUCUGCACCUGCUCAGUCUCUCUCUUGCCUUUUUCAUACUACAUAUUUUUGUUUCUCAAUUUAGUGUCAGUGUCAACCAUGUCUAUGCUUUGGCCAUUCUCAUUUCCACUUUCCACUACUCUAAAAAUGUAUCUGCAAUUGAUCAGGUAAAAGUGUUUCAAUUCUCUGUCUUUGGUUCAUCUCCGUUAGUUAGUCUUAAGAGUAAGGAGAUAAUUCGUUUUUCUUGUUUCCCUCCAUGUAUUGAUUUUUAGUUUUUUAGGGAUGCUUGGUUGGUUUGAAUGCACGAAACAUUUGCUGGUACACGAUUCAAACAGCUUGCCCAGUCAUGUUUUUCUAUUUUUUUUUUAAUAUUUUGGAAUUUUGCAUGUGUGAUUUCUGUAUAUAUUAUUCUUGCCCUUUUCCUUUAUCAUCAUUUAUUUUGAUUUUGGAGAGGUCUCUUGGUUAUUUGUUAUUUGCACAUAUACAAGGGUUGAAAAUUUCAAUCCCACCUCUCUUUUAUAUUACAUUCAUUUAGUUUUGGCUGUUAUCUAAUUGAACUAUUUGAUCAUCAAAUAAUUGUGUUACCUUUUCUUCUAGAUGUUUAGAUUCAUUUUUCUCACUCUUUUAGUUUUCUUAAUGUGUGACAGUCUUUGUUUUUUAUUGAACUAGUGUGUGGCAGUCUUUAUUUAUUGGUUAUCUUUAGUUUCACUAUUGUUCUUUUUUUAAUGUUUUCUUAGUUUUUAAUAAGUGUGACAAAAUAUGAAUUAAUUUUUUUCUUUGAACAAAUGUGGAAUUUAUUUUCUUUUAAUGUAGUUGUGUCCCCAAUAAAUUUAUUUUGGCGAUUUAACAAUCCAUCAUGUUCUUUUUCAUUUUUCUGUUGUAUUUUCUUCGGUUCUUUGUUGUGGUAUGUCUAUUUUUGAGACAUUCUUAAUUUAGUUUUAUUUUUUAGCUUCCUGCAUCAUUUUGUAUUAUGGAUUGUUAUGAAAUUUUGAGAUUAUGCUUUAUUUUGUUUUUUGGUCCUUUGCUGUGAUGUCUUUUGAUUAUUUCUUUUGAGUGAACAGUUCCUGUAAGAUUUUCUGCAUGAGAAUAAAUUGAUUAUUUAAUUUGGUCAAAGAAGUUCAAAAUUUACAUGUGAAAUUUACACUCAGUGGCUGUAAGGUUUAAUGAGAAAAUUGGAAGUAGAAAAGAGUCCACAUUAAUUCAUUCAGCCAAGAGGGCUUGGCAUCCUAAGUUUGCUCUGGGUUCUGUUGGUGGCAUUCAUCAAUAUGUUAAUCUAUUAGGGAAUGUAUGGUUAUAACAAAGUAAGAAGAAUGGAAGUUCUGGGGGAGUAUUUGUGACAAGAGGGCAAGGAUGCUUCUGCAUCAAUUUAGUGUUAGUCAAUCAUGUCUAUGCUUUGGCCCUUCUCAUUCCACUUUCCACUACUACAAAAAUGUAUCUGCAAUUGAUCAUGUAAAAGUGUUUCAAUUUUCUGUCUUAGGUUCAUCUCAGUUAGUUAGUCUUAAGAGUAAGGGAGAUAAUUCAUUUUUCUUGUUUCAGCUAGAUGUUACCCUCCAUGUCCUGAUUUUUAAUUUGGCUUCCUAAGUGUGCUCUAGGUUCUGUUGGUGGCAUUCAUCAGUAUGUUAAUCUACAGGUGAAUCUAUAGUUAUAACAUAGUAAGAAGAAUGGAAGUUCUUGGGGAGUUUGUGUGACAAGAGGGCAAGGAUGCUUCUGCAUUAAUUUAGUAUCAGUGUCAACCAUGUUUAUGCUUUGGCCAUUCUCAUUUCCACUUUCCACUACUCCAAAAAUGUAUUAUCUGCAAUUGAUCAGGUAAAAGUGUUUCAAUUUUCUGUCUUUGGUUCAUCUCAGUUAGUUAGUCUUAAGAGUAAGGGAGAUAAUUCGUUUUUCUUGUUUCAGCUAGAUAUUACUCUCCAUGUCUUGAUUUUUAAUUUUUUAGGGGUGCUUGGUUGGUUUGAAUGCAGGAAACUUUUGCUGGUACACGAUUCAAACAGCUUUCCAUGUCAGGUUUUUCUAUUAUUUUUCUUUAAUAUUUUGGAACAUGUGUAAUUUCUGUAUAUAUUAUGUUUGCCGUUUUCCUUUUUCAUCAUUUAUUUUGAUUUUGGAGAGGGUCUCUUGGUAACUUGACUUUUCUUUUAGUUUUGACUGUUAUCUAAUUGAACUAUUUGAUUAUCAAAUAAUUGUGUUACUUUUUGUUCUAGAUGUUUAUAUUCAUUUUUCCCACUCUUUUAGUUUUGUUAAUGUGUGACAGUCUUUGUUUUUCAUUGAACUAUUGUGUGGCAGUCUUUAUUUAUUGGUUAUCUUUAGUUUCACUAUUGUUCUUUCUUUAAUGUUUUUCUUAGUUUUUAAUAAGUGUGACAAAAUAUGAAUUUAUCUUUUUCUUUGAACAAAUGUGGAAUUUAUUUUUCUUUUAAUGUAGUUGUGUCCCCAAUAAAUUUAUUUUGGCGAUUUAACAAUCCAUAAUGUUGUUUUUCAUUUUUCUGCUGUAUUUUCUUUGGUUCGUUGUUGUGCGAUGUCUAUUCUUGAGACAUUUUUAAUUUAGUUUUAUUUCUUUUAGCUUCCUGCAUCAUAUUGUAUUAUGGAUUUUUUCGAAAAUUUGAGUUUGAUCUUGUUUUCCUGGUCCACUGCUGUGCAGUUUUUUUUAUGAGAUAUUUUUAUUUAGAUUUAUUAUCUUUUAGCUUGUUUUGCAUUUUGCAUUAUAGAUUAUUUUUUAAAAUUUUGAGGUUGUUUUUUUUCUUUGAUCUUUUGUUGCGGUGACAAUUUUAAUUUAGAUUUAUUAUCUUUUAGCUUGCUUGCAUUAUGGAUUGUUAUGAAAUUUUGAGAUGAUGCUUUAUUUUGUUUUUUGGUCCUUUGCUGUGAUGUCUCUCUAUAAGACAUUUUUAAUUUAGGUUUAAUAACUUUUAGCUAGCUUGCAUUGUGGAUUGUUAUGAAAUUUUGAGUUUCUGCUUUCUUUUGAGUUUUGGUGAUGCCUUUUUACGAGACAUUUUUAAUUUAGGUUAAUUUUUUAGGUUGCUUGCAUUUAUGGAUUGUUCUGACAUUUUGACUUUCUGCUUUUUUUUUAUGUCAUUUGUUGUGUGAUAUCUUUAUAAGAUAGAGAUAUUUUUAAUUUAGGUUUACUAUUUUUUAGCCUGCUUGCAUUUGGUAUCAUAUAUGAAUUGUUCUGAAUUUUGAGUUUCUUCUUUUUCAGUCAUUUGUUGUGCGAUAACUUUUUAUAAGACAGACAUUAAGAUUUAUUAUUUUUGGACUUGUUUGUAUUUUGUAUCACGGAUUGUGGUUUUUUAAAUUCAGAGGAGGAACUAGAAAUUGUUCUUGUGAUAUGUUAAAAUCUAGUUUACUGCAAAGAAUGAAUUCUAAAACAGAGGGUAUGAAUGUCGUCAAUAAUUUUUCUCCAUUUCUGCGUUGAGCAAUGUUUAGCUGAUAUGUUUGUGUAUUCUUUACAUUAGUGCAGCACCACAUGCUAAUUUAGGUGUGAAAUGCUAAUUUAGAUGUGAAACACUUCCAAAGAUGACGAGAAAUCAAAGAUUGUCGUAGUAAAAAACCUCACCAGUUUUUCCUUUCAGGUUUUUCUUUUCUUUUUCUUUAAUAGUUUGGAAUUUUGCUGGUGUGAUUUCUGCUUUUCUCUUAUCAUUUAUUUUGAUUUUGGAGAGCAACUUUGGUAAUGUUAAUAAUUUUUCUCCAUUUCUGCGUUGAGCAAUGUUUAGCUGAUAUGUUUGUGUAUUCUUUACAUUAGUGCAGCACCACAUGCUAAUUUAGGUGUGAAAUGCUAAUUUAGAUGUGAAACACUUCCAAAGAUGACGAGAAAUCAAAGAUUGUCGUAGUAAAAAACCUCACCAGUUUUUCCUUUCAGGUUUUUCUUUUCUUUUUCUUUAAUAGUUUGGAAUUUUGCUGGUGUGAUUUCUGCUUUUCUCUUAUCAUUUAUUUUGAUUUUGGAGAGCAACUUUGGUAAUGUUAAGGUGAUUUAAGAAAAGUUGGUUGUCCAAGAAUCAAUAUUUUUAUAUUACCUUAAAUCUUCCUAAGACAUGUUGGGUCUUUCUUUGGCCUUUGUUAGUGUCUUCUAUUAAGUCUGUUAGUUUCACUUUAGUUGGGUCUUUUUUUAAUUUUAUUUUAUCUUUUAAAUUCCAAAUCCUACUCAUUUGGUCAUGACGAUUGAAUAAUCAUUGUUAAAUUUAUUUCUUGUUGGGAGUGUAGAUUUUAUUUUCUUUUUGGCCUUUGUUAUUUGCAUCUAUACAGGGGUUCGAAAAAUUCAAACCCUUCCCUCUUUUAUUCGACAUUCUUUUAGUUUUAUUUGUACUAUUGGAUUGUUAAAAAUAAUUGUGUUACUAUUUCUUACAUUCCAUAAAGAACCCUUUCUGAUGGAUUAUUUCUUAUUGAACUGUUUUAAAAUUUUGAGUUUCUUCUUUUUCUUUUUUGGGUCCAUUGUUGGGGGAUGAUACAUCUUUAAUUUUUUUUUUUUUUUUUUGAUAAGAGAUGAUACAUCUUUAAUUUAGAUUUAUUAUCGUUAGCUUGUUUUGCAUUUUGUAUUAUGUUUUUUGAAAUUUUGAGUUUCUUCUUUUUCUUUCUUUGGUCAUGUGUUGUGCGAUGUUAUUUGCAUUAGGGGUGUUUGGUUGGUUGUUUUUUUAGGGGUGUUUUGGUUAGUUAGGCUUAAGAAGCAAGGGCUAGUGAAAGAGAAGCAUUUGAUUGUCCUACAAGUAAUAAGCUUCUCCUCAAUCAUUCAACCAUUUUUUUAGUAAAGAAAGAGGCUUCUCCUCUGGCAACCAAAGUCCGUCCCUCGUUAACAGGUAAGUCUACCUCAUUACUUUUAUGUCCUUCUAAUUAAGAUAUUUGGGUCAAUAUAUAUCAAAAUAAAUAAGAUCCAUCUUUGGUAAUUUUUAAAAAAAUUAAAUCUAUAAAUACUCAUUUCAUCUCUAAAAUUAUGUGAUUUGUACUUUCUAAAAUUCCCUCGAUGGUACUAAUACACUCUUAUAUUUGUAUUGUAAUUAUCAUGUCCUUUUUCUAUGGUUUUUUAAAGUUAAUUUAGAUCCUUAUUCGCUCUAGGUAUAAGUUGAAUGGAAGAGUUUUUUAGCCUUGAUGGAUCUUGAGUACCUGAAUCGUCGAUGAAAACAGAUUUUUUCUCGGAAAUUCCACGAAUUGUUCAGGUUUGGAUUCUGUAAUUCUGUUGUUCUUUUUUGAUUUUGGAGAGUGUCCUGGGUAAUUUUGAGGAUAUUAUUUUUUUGUUUUUUCGGCUUGCAUUUAAUCACGCGCGUUGGGGAAUAGACAGGCUUCGGAGAAUGAAUCACCUUUUUAAGGUUUCGCUGGGGAGCGAAUUGGCCAUAAGGCAUCCCUUUCUGUUCAGUCUCUCUCUUGCCUUUUUCAUACUAUAUGGUUGUUGAUCUGGGGUUAUUGAAUGAUUGUUGCUUUUAUUUUCAUAAGAAGUGAUCUUAUUUUUUGUCUCUCUGUGCAACUUUAAUAUGAGGUUAUUAAGGAAGGAGAUAAAGGAGGAAGAAGGGACGAAGAAAAGGAAGAAAUGACUGGAUUGUUGGGAUGGGUAUGAAGAUGCAGUAGAGCCACCACCUAGGGGCUGUAAGGUCUAAUGGGCAAAUUGAAAGUAAAAAAGAGUGCACAUCCAUUCAAGCUAAGAGAGCUUGGGUUCCUAAAUUACUAUUGCUCUGGGUUCUGUUGGUGGCAUUGAUUGGUAUUGUUAAUCUACAAGGGAAUUGAUGGUGUUAACAAAGUUAGAAGAAAGGAAGUUUUGGGCGUAUGUGUGACCGGAGCACAAAGAUGCUUCUGCAUCAAUUUACUGUCAGUGUUAAACUAUGUCCAUGCUUUGGUUAUUCUAUUUUCUACUUUCCACUCCUCUCGAAAUGUAUCAGCAAUUGUUCAUGUAAAUGUGUUUCGAUUUCUGUUUGAUACUUCUCAGUUAGUUAGGGUUAAAAGUAUGAGAGAUAAUUCAUUUCUCGUCUCAUAUAGAAAUUAUCUUGAUGUCUUGAUUUUUAGGGUUUUUUUCAGCGGUUUUUGUUUUUUUUUUUUUGUUGGAUUUUGGCUAGUUAGGCUUAGAGGUGCAAGGACUUGUGAAAGAGAAGCAUUUGAUUGACCAACGAGUAAUUAGUUUCUCCUCAAGCAUCCCACCACUUUUCUAUUAAAGAAAUACAGGUACGUCUACGCUAUUACUUUUCAUGUCCUUUUACUUAAGAUAUUUAUAUAAAUAUAUAUAAAAAUAAAUAAGAUCCAUCUUUGGUAAUUUUUUUAAAAAUCAAAUCUGUGAAUAUUCAUUUCAUCUCUAAAGUUUUGCGUUUUGUUACUUUUUAAAAUUCCCUCCAUGUUACUAUUACACUCCUAUAUUUGUGUUGUAAUUAUGAUGUCCUUUUUCUAUGGUCUGUUAAAGUUAAUUUAAAUCCUUUUUUGCUCUUGGUUUAUGUUGAAGAAAUGGAAGAGUUUUUUAGCCUUAAUAGAUCUGGAGUACCUUAAUCGCUCUUGCAUUUUGUGAUUCUGUUCUUUUUCUAUUUUGAAGAGUGUCCUGUGUAAUUUUUAGGAUUUUUAUUUUAUAGUUUUUGUCGCUUGCAUUUAAACACGAACUUGGUUGUUGAACUGGGAUUCUUGAAUAAUUGUUGGUUUUGUUUUCUGAAGAAGUGAUCUUAUAUUUGUGUAUCUCUAUGUGCAACUUUAAUAUGGGGUUAUUAAGGAUGGAGAUAAAGGAGGAAGAAUUGAGAGAGAAAAGGCAGAAAUGACUUAAUUGUUGGGAUGAGUAUGACCCCAUGUCUAGUAGUUCCCAAGUAUGAUAUAGGAAGGCUGACUGAUUAAUGGAACUGAUCUUGUUGCGGUCCGUUUUAGAGUCCGGAGGAUUUAUCCGUAGGACUAUCCAUAUGGAAAGAAGGGUCCAGGUUUCAUAAGACUCCUUCUACGCGGUCUUCGCAAUAUUCUUUGCACUGGGGGAGGGCUCAAAGAAUUUGAGAUUAGAUUGGAACUGAUUGUAGUAGGCGAAGGACGGAUAUUAUUGGAAGGCAAUCGCAUAUUGAAUUGCGCCUAAGGCCACUCCUAACUAUUAAUGGAAAGGACCCACGGAGCGGUGCAAAGAAUAUAUAGAAGGGCAGACAGGUCCGGAGGACCUGUCUGUCCUUCGGUCUUAAUACUCCUAACGUCGAAUAAGAAGCUGGAGGUUGGGUCCAGGUGCAAAGAAUAUUGUGUCCAUUAGAUCCAUUGAAUUAGGCGAAGGAUUUUAUCAAGCUUAGCUUUCUGGAUUCUUCGGCGGAGUGAGGCUUUCUCUAGUAGGUCUGGAGGCACAAAGAAUGAUCGAAGGCUCCAGACCAUAAAGAAGAGAGUCGGAGGACUUCCAUUGACUUUUUCUUCCUUUCACUUCUAACUUCAAACCUUUCAUAUUCAACCUUGAAAAUAAAGGAGGGAGCGGACUACGGAGGCCAUAAGUUUGAGUUCCUCAGAUGUAUAAAAACAAGUCCUCCGGACGACCUAUCCACUGAAAGUAGCUACGUAGUCUUGUCUCCUUCCCGCGUAGUGGGCAUUGACUUCUUCAUUGAUUUUCUUCUAUCUCCCACGUAGCGGUUGAAUAUGAAAGGAAGCCCACAGAGCUGAAGAUGGAGCGGGAUAAUAAAGAAGAAAGCUCAAAAGGAGGGAGCGGACCUCAAUGAACAAGGGGAGGACUCGUUUUCAUCCUUAUGGAAGAAAAAUCUCUUUUUUUUUAUCUAAAAGACGUAGAAGGAGGCUCAAUGUCUAAUCUUUCUCUCAAAUCAAUAUCCCCCAGUGCAAAUAUUCCAGCAAUAUUCUCAAUAUGAAAAGAGCCUUUCUUCUUUUCUUAGAUAAAUGCGCUUCGUAGAUUAUGCUGAAGGAGGAGUGGGCCAUGAUCUUUGCUCCUUAAUUUCCCUAAUGGAUAGUCAUCUGGACCUUUCUUUUUAGUUCUUUGCGCUCGUCAACGCAUAUUUCAUUGCGCCUUCGCCUUCAAUGAAAUCCAUAAAUAAAUAAGGGUAGAUUUCAGACUCAAGAGGAGGGUUCCUUAUCAAUAUCAAUGAGACGGAUAGGCUUUCUUUUACAUUCCACAGGUCUGAAGGACUAUCCAUAUUAACAUGUCUGUCCUUCGCCUAACUAGUUCAUAUAGACCUUUGUUUUUCUUCCGCAGUCACUAAUAUGGAUAGUCCGGAGGACCUCCUUCAGCAUAAUCUAUGAAUGAUCGGAGCAAAGAAUAUUGCGAAAAAGAAGAAAGGAGUGCAAGCGAAAAAUAAUGGAUUGAAUAGUCCUUCGGACGAACUACCGCACUUGGGGGAUAUUGUUGAGAAAGAAUAUUGAAAAAGAAUGAUCGAAGAAUAUUGAAAAAGGACGGAGGAUAGGCUUUCUUUGAACAAUGUGGAUGUAUCAAAGAUUCCACAGGUUAAUAUGGUAGAUUUCAGACUAGUCCUUCACCUUGGAUCUGGGGACUAUUCUCUGUUCUAAUAGACAGAGGAGAGGUUCAAAGAAUAUUGAGAAUACUCGUGCAAGCGCAAUCAAUGAACAAGGUGAAAAGAAUAAAAAAAAGGCGGUCGAUGAUCAGGAAGAAAAAGUCAAAAGUCUAUCCCAUCUUCUUCGUUAGGCGCAAAGAAGAAAAACAAGGUGCAAAGAUCUAUGGCCCAAUUAUAAGGGGUCCAGAUGCACCAUAAGACUGGUCCGAAGGACUAUCCAUAUUAACCGGAGUCUUCAACAAGAUUUCCAACAUUGAAUAUUAAGCUACUGAGGCCCAAUAUUGCGAAGGAAGAACUGCGCCAUAAGACAGGUCCGAAGGACUAUCCAUUAGGGAAUGAGACGGAGGUAACGUUUGGUUUUUUGGGAAACUUGUUGGUCGCGGAUUAGUGCGUUUUUUUUGGAAAGUAACAAUUCUCUUCAGUUUGGUUUCAGAAAACUUGUUGGUCACGGAUUAGUGCGUUCUGCGCCGCCUGGUGUCACAAACAUAUUUUUCCAAAGUGUGUUUACCUUUGGUUAUAUGCUCCGAUUACCCCCAGUUUAUCUCAUGUUUAGUUUGCAUAACUAGUUUAGCUGAUUGCUUUUCAUUCUAGGUCAUAAAGCUUGGGUGUGACGUUUCGGCAUUUUCAUAUGCAAGCCUGCCAGAGAGGAAAAUGUUCAAAAUGUACUAUAGGGGAGGCAUACCAGUUGAAUCCCCGCCCAAGCAUUAGUUGUACUCUUUGCAAGCAACCCUUUUUCCUUGCAAUUGACAGUCUUUAAUGCUUAUUGUAACGUCUAUUUCAAUGUAUUUCUUUCUUUCCCGUGUUUUAUAAAUAAAAUGUCCCUAAAACGCAAACGAAGGUUACGACAUACAUCGACGUUACCCACAACUCUUGGAUAUUGAUCGACUGACUUGUUCAUCGAGUUAGAACAAGUGCCGCACAAUCGUCCGUCUCGAGGUUGAAACGCUACGGUUGUGACAAGUGGUAUCAGAGCCAAAGUUGGCUGAGUGACAGUUUUGACAAAAAUAAAAUGUCGACUGCAAAACGAGCGAGCAAGACCCAUGAAGAACGGUUGGUGGGGAUCGAAGUGCAGAUGCUCCACCUGAUGGAAGUUCCUGAUUCCAUCCGGUUCUUGGAAUAGCGGCUUGAGGAUAUUGCCAAGAAAGCUGAUGGCAUUGAAGCCGUGUCCGGUCGCCUUGACGGACUACCCAUCCAAGAGUUACUGACUAGAGUCGACACUCUAGAGUCCCGAGUUAUGAGAACGGGAAAUGUCACCUACGAGCGUGGGGACAGUUCAUCGGGCUCUGUUGCCCAGAUGGAAGAACGAGUUAUGGAGCUUGAUAACUCGCAAAAGAACAUGUUGGAGAUGAUCAGCGGCAUGACAAAGGAUUUUCGAGCAACCCUCGAUGUCGUGAGGAAUGAGCUCGCAGAGGUAAGCACGAGGGUGAACCUUACUAUGCGAGCACUAGAAAAUCAGGCUCUAGCUGGAGGAGCCAUUCCUGUGGGCAGAAUCAAGAUUCCUGAGCCCAAGCCCUUCUGUGGGCGAGAGAUGCCAAGGCGUUGGAAAACUUCAUUUGAUGUCGAGCAGUAUUUCAAAGCCACGAACACAAUUACUGAAGAGGCCAAGGUGACGUUGGCAACCAUGCAUCUGACAGAAGAUGCGAAGUUAUGGUGGAGGUCCCGAUACAUGGACAUUCAAGAAGGGCAUUGCACAAUCGACACGUGGGAUGCCCUAAAAGGAGAACUUCGUUCGCAAUUUUCCCUGAGAAUGUCGAAAUUCUGGUCCGACGGAAGCUGCGUGAAUUGAAGCACACGGGGAACAUUCGGGACUACGUGAAACAGAUUGCGGGGUAAUGUUGGAUAUACGCGACAUGAUCGAAAAAGAUAAAAUAUUCAGCUUUGUUGAAGGGUUGAAGCCAUGGGCAAGGACUAAGCUAUACGAGCAGAAAGUCCAAGACCUCGUGUCAGCCUAUGCAACAGCUGAACGUUUGUUUGAUCUGUCUAAUGACGUUCAAGAGACAAGACAUCAUUGAAGCUCUUCACCUGGAAGAGACAGAAACAGCCGACUGAGUUCUCCCGAAGCUGUCAGUAGAAAUAAAAGUCCCGGCAGAGACCGCAAGCCCUUCCAGUCAAAUACGGGGAACACCAGGCAAAGGCCCACUAGUCAAAGGACCUCCCACACUCCUAUCAGUUGCUACAUUUGUAACAGGCCACAUCGGACAAGGGAAUGUCCGGAUAAAGCGGCCUUCUACGCCUUCCAGGCCUCUCUGGCUACAGACUUAGGUGACAAGUUGGGUCAACCAGAGAAUGAAGGUGGGUAGGUGGAGGAAGUCCAAAACGUUAGAGUAGGGGCCAUAAGACUCUUGUCGUUCCUUCAGAAUAAAGCAGGGGAGACAAGUGGUCGUACAAAAGGGGGCCUAAUAUAUGUGGACACCUGGAUCAACCGAAGGCAUGCAAAGAGCACUAUGGUUGACUUCAGUGCAACCCAUAAUUUUAUAACGGUGGCGGAAGCCAGACGAUUGAACCUUCACUAGAAGAAGGAUACAGGAAAGAUGAAGGCCGUAAAUUCUACAGCUUUACCCGUCGUCGGAGUAGUGAAACGAGCGGUGAUACAGUUGGAAAGAUGGAACGACCUUGUUGACUUUGUGGUUGUGGGCAUGGAUGACUUUGAUGUAGUUCUCGGAAUGGAAUUCCUUCUCGAACAUCAAGUGAUCAUGAUGCCUGCAGCCAAAUGUCGGUGAUCACGGGAUCUACCCCCACCAUUAUGCAGAUAGAACUCCGGCAACCCAAAGGAUUGAGAAUGGUCUCGGCCAUGCAACUGAGGGAGGGCCAUAUUCAGGAAGACACAAGGCGUGUCGUGGAGAGACGUUGUGAUGGGAAACAGGAUAGUUUGCCCAUGUCAGAAUCGCCUACGAGAAAUGAUCAUCGUAUGGCGCAAUCAAAAUCAUCUGGACUCAGGAGACAGUCAAGGAGACUGUCAGGUGCAGGAUCCACUAGACCUGCGAGAGAUCCGUAUCAAGCACAAGACUUCUUACGGAAGGAAGAGAAUGGGCAAUUGUGUGUCAACAACCGUGUCCUAAAGCAAGCCCCGAGGAGAGGGCCAACUUUUGAGUCCGUGAGUGGGACUCAGCCUGUUGAAGCUUACGCUAAGGCAUAUGGUCCUGUGUCAGGUGGCAUCCUAAUGCAGAAUAGACACUCUGUCACAGCUGAGAGUCAGAAACAAAGUGCCGCAGAAGGUAGUUAUACGAUGUUUGGAAAAGGAAUGCUGACCACGAUACGUAGUCUGAAGGAUGGAAGACAACAUUCCCAGGGGUCUACACAUGGAAGAGAGACGAACAACAUUGCGACCAACCGCUUUGAUACUCGGCCGAAGUGGGCUUUGAGUCAAGAAAAGUGGCAGAGGGACGUGUCAAGGGAAUCCUUGCAGAAAAACUCUGUCAUUGAAGUUGAUGUAAGUCUGGCGGAGACCAGUCAGGUGGAAGAAAAGAAUGGAGUUCAAUUGUGGAAGCUAACCCAAUCUUAUGUUAAUGCUGCAAUGAGUUCGUCAAUGGAUGGAAACCAAUUUGUGGGUGUUUGUGGCGGACAUUCUGUACAGUCCCGCCUUGUUGGUCCCUCCUGUGUUGGUAAGAAUCCUCAAGCUUGCAACAGUACCAAGAGGUGGAAGCUGGAGUCAGACAUCGUUCGGACCGAUCGAGAGGAAGCCUCGAAGUGGCCAGAAAAGUGGGCAGAUAAGAAGCAUCGCCUCCGUGAUUCCCGUGGGGGAGACCAGGUCAUCGUCAAACGGCGAUCUGAACUGACUCAGUUUUUGAAGAAGACUUCAAGAUCACUGCCUCGUGAGAGAACGCGAGGGACAAACAGAAGUUCAAGAAGUCCUUGCUAAAGAAGCAAGGAAAAGAAGAAGACCCAUGGGGGGAUACACAAGUUCGUGGUGAAGCAGAGGAGCCUCCUCAUGGAAGAAGCCUGUGGAAGACGUACAAAUCUUCUUAUAGAUUAUGUUGAAGGAGGCGGCANNNNNNNNNNNNNNNNNNNNNNNNNNNNNNNNNNNNNNNNNNNNNNNNNNNNNNNNNNNNNNNNNNNNNNNNNNNNNNNNNNNNNNNNNNNNNNNNNNNNNNNNNNNNNNNNNNNNNNNNNNNNNNNNNNNNNNNNNNNNNNNNNNNNNNNNNNNNNNNNNNNNNNNNNNNNNNNNNNNNNNNNNNNNNNNNNNNNNNNNNNNNNNNNNNNNNNNNNNNNNNNNNNNNNNNNNNNNNNNNNNNNNNNNNNNNNNNNNNNNNNNNNNNNNNNNNNNNNNNNNNNNNNNNNNNNNNNNNNNNNNNNNNNNNNNNNNNNNNNNNNNNNNNNNNNNNNNNNNNNNNNNNNNNNNNNNNNNNNNNNNNNNNNNNNNNNNNNNNNNNNNNNNNNNNNNNNNNNNNNNNNNNNNNNNNNNNNNNNNNNNNNNNNNNNNNNNNNNNNNNNNNNNNNNNNNNNNNNNNNNNNNNNNNNNNNNNNNNNNNNNNNNNNNNNNNNNNNNNNNUACACAUUUCAGUCUAACGCCCCGAAGGACGUACAUAUCAGUCUAACGCCCCGAGGACGUACAUAUCAGUCUAACGCCCCGAGGGACGUACAUAUCAGUCAAGUGUUCUGCAGAAACACAUAUCAGUCAAAUGCUCCCGAAGGUGCAAAAUAAAUUGGUGAUCCCUACAAGGUAAACAUCCCAAUACAACCUAACAAUUUAUCCCCUCAUUCCAUUCAACCCAUCUUUCAGUUACUUCAAAUCACAAAGUCCUUUCUUUCAACAUCCUAACAGUCAACUUAUUUUACUACAAUCAUAUGUCUGUCAAUAAAAUGCUAAUACAUCAGUCAAUCCACUAUACAGUCAAGUCAAUACACCCCUCAGUUCACCAGCACAAACCACAGUUCAGUAUAAUCCACAUCCAACCGAAACAAAUUCACUAGUUCACAUCCAAUCUUUAUACAGCACAAAUCUAUUAAUAUCAUCAUGUACACAUAAGCAUAAUUUCAGUCAUUCACAAUGUAUACUUUUGGCAAUCCACAUGCAAUUCACACAUCAAUGUAACAUAUAUAUGUUUCCAGUCAAAUACAACAUACACUAAACAUUUAGUCUGCAAUCAAACAUGUACAUCUUAAUCAUCAUCCAUACAGUCCAUCCAACACAAACUCAAAAACUUUAGGUGAGGUCCAGUAGAAAGUCCCUUACCUCAAAGUUAGGGAAGCUCCUUAAUCAACUAACGUCCUCGAAACAAUCCGAUAUAUUUGGCGAACUGAACCCUCAACAAUUCACAAAAUUGGUUGUGAAUUUAUAGGGAGCCCAACGUUACUCCCAACACCUUCAAGAACCAAUUAACAAAUUAGCUAAACAUUCCAACCAUAACACUUGAAACCACUUUGAAACCAAUUACCAUUCAUACUUAAGUUGUUACCAACAAAGCAACCUCGAUAAAAUUUGUAAAACAGAGACAGCAGCACACCUCAACGCACGACUGUCAGACUCGCAGCAAAAAUCCUAAGUGUGGGUCGGUCAGCGGUCGGCCAAAGGAGACGUGGCGGCUGCCUCAAAAUCGAUCAACGAUCUGACGCGGUCGGAGAGUCGCGCGGCAGUGCAAAAAAUAGAGGAGAACGGAAUGGGCGGCGGCUCGAAACAGAGGUUGCGCGGCAGGGCUCCACGAAGACAGAACCAGCAGAGACGGUUGCAGAACCGUGGCUUCGACGGAGACAAAACCGGCGGAGACGGUUGCAGCGGCGGUUACUGCGCGAACGGAGAGAAGGAAACGGAUGGGGCGGCUGGGCUACGGCGGGAAGAGAACGGAAGAGAAAGGAUCGGUGGCGGUUGCGGCUGGGCUGCGACGGGAAGAAAACGGAAGGGAGAAGAGAAAAGAGAAAGGAAAAGAGAAGAGAACGGGGGGGGGGGGGGGGGGGGUCGCGGCGCGCUUGAGGGAGAGAGAAAGAGAGAGUUUUUCUUUUUUUCUUCUUUCUUUCUUUAUUUUUUCUUUUUCCUUUUUAUUAAAAUUAAAUAUAAAUAAACAAAUAUAUAUAUCUCACGGUUAAUAUAUAAAACUAUUAUAAAUGUAAACAAGAUGUGAUAUAUAUAUAUAAUAAAUCACAUAUACAACCUAUUAUAUCAUGCGAUAAUAUUCUAAAACUAGUAUAAUCAUAAAUAGUAUGUGAUAUAUGUUUAAAGGGAAUAUUAAAAAACUGGUAAAAUCAAAAUAGAAUAACAUUAAAAUAAGAGGAAUAUUGUUAAUAUAUAUUAUAUAUACGCGUAUGAUAUACUCAGAAUGAACUAGUUUUAAAUGGACAAAAUAACAAAUGACUGUGGAUUUUAUCUUAUUUUCAGGUGAUGGACAAUUGUAUAUGAUGGCGAUUUGUUAAGAUUCUGCAGCUUGCGGUUAUGAUAAAUUUGAAUACAAAUUUAUAAAACAAUGUAAUAAGAAGUUCAAAUGAUGGAGAAGAAUAGCAAAAAAAAGUUGUCGGCGAUGGAGAAGAUAAUGUAAUGGCUGCCAGAGAGAGUGAACAAUUAGGUUAAGUUAUAUUUUUAGAAAGAAUAAUUAAAUAGUUUAUUACAAAAUAAAGUAAAAUUACAAUUAUUAUAAUAUAUUCUGAUUUAUAAUUAAUUUAAAAGAUACUUGAAAUUUAUUAACAUAUUAAGGUCUUUUGUCUAAAAGUUUCAACUAAUAAUAAUGAUAGUUCUCAUUAACCAAUUGACAAAUGAUUGAUAUUGUCAAAUGAUCGAUAUGUGCAAGUGCACAUUUCAAUUAUAAUAUAGUAAAACGUUCUUAGAGAUCGAGCUAGUAUCCUUUUAAGAGGGAUCAAAUUAACAAAUUAAUUUAUUGAUUUUAGGAUUAGGAUGUGUUUUAAGGAUUAAAAACAAUGAUUAGAAACUAAUAAAAAGAUCCCUAAAAGACAAAUAUGAAAUCUCAAAGAAUAAAAAAUGCUCCAAAAUUGUUUUUGAUUUCACUGUUCAAUCCAUAAAAUCAUGAUGUGUAUAGGUUAUAUGAAAACUAGUGUCAGUAUGUGUUCAGAUGUAGGAACUAAUUAACUACAAGUUGUUGACUUUUGAAAAGAAUAUCUUUCCAUUCAAACAUAAUUGUUCCUAAUCUCUUCCAACUAAGUUAAAUAUUAUGGUAUUAAACAGAUACAUAGUUUGGUUGGUAGUUUCUCUUCAAAAUUAUUAUUUUGAGAAAACAAAUACAAUUUCUUUUUUAGGUAAUCCAAUAUCCUCGAGUAUAUUUAUAAAUAUGGAAAUAUUAUUUCCAUAUUAGAAGAGAUACUAAAAGAUCUUAUUACAACAUCAUUAGAGUCCCAUCAUUUUCUCUAAAUAUCUCUUUUGUGGUGAAAGAUUUGGAAUUGCACAUCAAUCAUUUUGGAGUGGGUAAUUGAUCACCCUAUUUUUCAAAAAAUAAGAAAGAUAAAAAUAGUUAUUUUUUAAAAGAUAUAUUUGAAAGUGUUGAGUUUAUGGAAGGUAUUAGUACUUAUACAACCACAAGACAUUUGAUUUUUGUUAUCUAAAUUAUUUUAAUAAAAAUGUUUUUUUUUUUUUUGAAGUUUAUGCUUAUUAAAAAUGCUUAUUUAAAAAAUGUUAAUGAAAUUUUAAAAAAUAAAAUCUAAUUAAACACUUUUGAGAUAGAGAGGUUUCCCUUGACUACCCGAGCGUAGAUAAACACUUCUGAGAUUUGGUUGGUAAUCCCAAGUUCGUGUGCAGUUGAUUAUUUUUUAAAUUUUGUAUAGUUGAAUAAUAUUUGAAUUUUAAAUUUUCAUCUAUGUGAUAUUUACUCAUUUCAAACUUUUUGAAUAUGCAUGUUUAUUUAUUAUUCUGCCGUCUCUCUAUUGUAUUUUAAAAUUUAGAAUAUGUGUAUUUAUAUUAUUUGAAAUUGAAAAUUUAACUUUUGCUCUUACACUAGGCUUUAACUCUUUGUUUGUCCGUGUUGUAGGUGAGAGAGAAGGAAAAGUUCCAUUGUUUGAUUGAAUUGGAAUUGUUUCCUGCAUGGGGUGUCAUACAUAAUCCACUUAUUACUAGUUAAAGGUCUUCUUUGCCUCUGUCUUCUUCCCCAUCUCCCCAAGUUGUUCUAACCUUUUUAUAUCUACCUAUUACAUGUCAAAAGGCGGAUAAUUUCGCUCUUCAAUGUUUUGAAACAAGUUCAUUAUGAAAAUCUCUCACAAGCAAACGUCAAUGUGCAUUAUGAAUAAUUUCAUCUCAAAAAAAUUGUUUGAGAGGUUUCAAAAGUGUAUCGAAACUAAUAAUUUUAAUGAAUAAAAAAAUAAUUCUUCGUUAGAUUCUUACAUUUUAUUUCAACCAAUAAAAUUUAGGAGAAUUUUUAAAAAUAGCAAAUUUUACAAAAAAUAUUUACAAUUUAUAACAAAUUUAUAGUCAUUGAUAUGCUAUAACGAUAGUUACUAGUAAAUAUUUUAAUUUAUUUUGUUAUUUUAAAAAAUGCUCAUAAAAUAUUAUAGUGAGGGAACAAUGAUGAAUCACAUAGUUCUUGUGGUGAUGUCGCUUUUUCUCCCUCUUUACAUUCUAAAAUCUCAAAUACAAAUCAUAAAACAAGUAGAUAUACAUUCAAUUAACAUGAUUUUGAUUCUAAUAAAUUAGAAAAGACAAAAAUAACUAACUAAUUAUGGAAAAGUAAUAUUUUAACAUGAAUUAUUGAUUUUUAAUUAGAGGUAAUUUUAAAAUAAAUAAAAUAAAAGAAAAUAUUACAAAUCAAAUCUAAACUAACUUUGAUUUUACUUCUUUAAUUGCAAUAUAACAUAGAUACAUUGGCUAUGAAGUGCAAUUUCUUAUAUUAUAAUAUUUAAAAGAUUUAAAUUUAAAAAUAAAAAUAAGUAAUCUCAAGUCCAAUAUUGGACCCGUGGGGCUUAGCCCAUCAAUUUAAAAAUUCAAAAUGCACACUCAACGGUCACAUUUUCCUAGGAUCAUCCUAUUUAAUGCCCUUCUACUUGUCAACUCCAUCGAAAUCCUUCAUUUCUUGUGGCACCGUCUAAAAUUUGCUUCGAUUGAAGAAAUUUUGACGCCCAUGACAGCGUUGAAAUUUCUUCAAUGCAAACAAAUUUUUUAUCUUCCUUUCAUCGAGGAUUUUCAUACCAUGUGAAGGAGAGAUCAGUUCCAUCAGUUCCAAGUCGUUCGUGAGUCAUCUUCUUUCCUGUGUAGUUUUCAUCUCUUGAUUUUGGAUUGCUUGUUCAAGAUUUAUUUUCGAAUUUUGGAUUGUUUGCUAUUCGGAUAGGCAGAAGGUUUGCACGAUGAUAGAUCUGGAGUACCUGAAUCGUUUAUUGAUUCUGUAGUUUAAUCUUAUGAUUUUGGUGAUUUCGAAGCGUACAAUAUAAUCGUACUGUGUUAUGAAGUAAAUAAGAUUUUGUAGGGUUUUUGAAAGUUAAUUUAGAUAUUUCCUGCAUUUUAGUCUUGAUAGAUCUGGGGUACCUGAACCGUUCAGGUUUGCAUGCUGUGAUUGUGUUGUUCUUUUUUGAUUUUGGAGAGAGUCCUUGGGUAAUUUUGAGGAUUGUUCUUUUUUUAGUUUUUUUUUGCAUGCAUUCAAACACACGCAUGGUUUUUAAACUGGGGUUCUUGAAUAUUUGUCGGUUUUCUCGAAUAUUUGCCGGUUUUUUUUUCUCAGAAGAAUUGAUCUUAUAUUUGUGUAUCUCUCUGUGCAACUUUAAUAUAAAGUUAUUAAGGAAGAAGAGAAAGGAGGAAGAAGGGAGAGAGAAAAGGUAGAAACGACCUAAUAGUAGGCAUGAGUAUUAAGAUGCAGCAGAGCCACCACUUAGUGGCGCUAAGGUUUAAUGAGCAAAUUGACAGUAGAAAAGGGUCCACAUCCAUACCUAAGUUACUAUUGCUCUGGGUUCUGUUGGUGGCAUUCAUUAGUAUGUUAAACUACAAAGAAAUGGAUGGGUGGUGUUAACAAAGUUAGAAGAAAGUAAGUUCUGGGAAGUAUGUGUGACCAGACGACAAAGAUGCUUCUGCCUCAACUUAGUGUCAGUGUCAAACUAUGUCCAGGCUUUGGCCAUUCUCAUUUCCAUUUUCCAGUACUUCAAAAUCGUAUCAGCAAUUGAUCAGGAAAAUGUGUUUCGAUUUCUGUCUUUUAUUAGUCUCGGUUAGUUAGGCUUAAGAGUAAGGGAUAUAAUUCAUUUUUCUUGUUUCAGCUAGAAAUUACGUCGAUGUCUUGAUUUUUAGUUUUUUUAGGGCUGUUUGGUUGUUUUUUUAGGGGUGUUUGGUUAGUUAGGCCUAAGAAGUAAGGGCUAGUGAAAGAGAAGCAUUUGAUUGUCCUACAAGUAUCUGAAUCGCCAAUGAAAGCAGAGGUUAUUUCCUCUGAAUUUCCACGAAUUGUUCAGGUUUGGAUUCUGUGAUUGUGUUGUUCUGUUGUUCUCUUUUUUAUUUUGGAGUGUUCUAGGAAAUUUUGAGGUUUGUUAUUUUUUAGUUUUUUUGGCUUGCCUUUAAUCACGCUCGUUUGGGAAUAGACAGGCUUCAGAGAAUGAAUCUCCUUUUUAAGGGUUCGUUGGGGAGCGAAGUGACCAUAUGGCAUCCCUUUCUGCACCUGCUCAGUCUCUCUCUUGCCUUUUUCAUACUACAUAUUUUUGUUUCUCAAUUUAGUGUCAGUGUCAACCAUGUCUAUGCUUUGGCCAUUCUCAUUUCCACUUUCCACUACUCUAAAAAUGUAUCUGCAAUUGAUCAGGUAAAAGUGUUUCAAUUCUCUGUCUUUGGUUCAUCUCCGUUAGUUAGUCUUAAGAGUAAGGGAGAUAAUUCGUUUUUCUUGUUUCCCUCCAUGUAUUGAUUUUUAGUUUUUUAGGGAUGCUUGGUUGGUUUGAAUGCACGAAACAUUUGCUGGUACACGAUUCAAACAGCUUGCCCAGUCAUGUUUUUCUAUUUUUUUUUAAUAUUUUGGAAUUUUGCAUGUGUGAUUUCUGUAUAUAUUAUUCUUGCCCUUUUCCUUUAUCAUCAUUUAUUUUGAUUUUGGAGAGGUCUCUUGGUUAUUUGUUAUUUGCACAUAUACAAGGGUUGAAAAUUUCAAUCCCACCUCUCUUUUAUAUUACAUUCAUUUAGUUUUGGCUGUUAUCUAAUUGAACUAUUUGAUCAUCAAAUAAUUGUGUUACCUUUUCUUCUAGAUGUUUAGAUUCAUUUUUCUCACUAUUUUAGUUUUCUUAAUGUGCGACAGUCUUUGUUUUUUAUUGAACUAUUGUGUGGCAGUCUUUAUUUAUUGGUUAUCUUUAGUUUCACUAUUGUUCUUUUUUUAAUGUUUUCUUAGUUUUUAAUAAGUGUGACAAAAUAUGAAUUAAUUUUUUUCUUUGAACAAAUGUGGAAUUUAUUUUCUUUUAAUGUAGUUGUGUCCCCAAUAAAUUUAUUUUGGCGAUUUAACAAUCCAUCAUGUUCUUUUUCAUUUUUCUGUUGUAUUUUCUUGGUUCUUUGUUGUGGUAUGUCUAUUUUUGAGACAUUCUUAAUUUAGUUUUAUUUCUUUUAGCUUCCUGCAUCAUUUUGUAUUAUGGAUUGUUAUGAAAUUUUGAGAUUAUGCUUUAUUUUGUUUUUUGGUCCUUUGCUGUGAUGUCUUUUGAUUAUUUCUUUUGAGUGAACAGUUCAUGUAAGAUUUUCUGCAUGAGAAUAAAUUGAUUAUUUAAUUUGGUCAAAGAAGUUCAAAAUUUACAUGUGAAAUUUACACUCAGUGGCUGUAAGGUUUAAUGAGAAAAUUGGAAGUAGAAAAGAGUCCACAUUAAUUCAUUCAGCCAAGAGGGCUUGGCAUCCUAAGUUUGCUCUGGGUUCUGUUGGUGGCAUUCAUCAAUAUGUUAAUCUAUUAGGGAAUGUAUGGUUAUAACAAAGUAAGAAGAAUGGAAGUUCUGGGGGAGUAUUUGUGACAAGAGGGCAAGGAUGCUUCUGCAUCAAUUUAGUGUUAGUCAAUCAUGUCUAUGCUUUGGCCCUUCUCAUUCCACUUUCCACUACUACAAAAAUGUAUCUGCAAUUGAUCAUGUAAAAGUGUUUCAAUUUUCUGUCUUAGGUUCAUCUCAGUUAGUUAGUCUUAAGAGUAAGGGAGAUAAUUCAUUUUUCUUGUUUCAGCUAGAUGUUACCCUCCAUGUCCUGAUUUUUAAUUUGGCUUCCUAAGUGUGCUCUAGGUUCUGUUGGUGGCAUUCAUCAGUAUGUUAAUCUACAGGUGAAUCUAUAGUUAUAACAUAGUAAGAAGAAUGGAAGUUCUUGGGGAGUUUGUGUGACAAGAGGGCAAGGAUGCUUCUGCAUUAAUUUAGUAUCAGUGUCAACCAUGUUUAUGCUUUGGCCAUUCUCAUUUCCACUUUCCACUACUCCAAAAAUGUAUUAUCUGCAAUUGAUCAGGUAAAAGUGUUUCAAUUUUCUGUCUUUGGUUCAUCUCAGUUAGUUAGUCUUAAGAGUAAGGGAGAUAAUUCGUUUUUCUUGUUUCAGCUAGAUAUUACUCUCCAUGUCUUGAUUUUUAGUUUUUUAGGGGUGCUUGGUUGGUUUGAAUGCAGGAAACUUUUGCUGGUACACGAUUCAAACAGCUUUCCAUGUCAGGUUUUUCUAUUAUUUUUCUUUAAUAUUUUGGAACAUGUGUAAUUUCUGUAUAUAUUAUUCUUGCCGUUUUCCUUUUUCAUCAUUUAUUUUGAUUUUGGAGAGGGUCUCUUGGUAACUUGACUUUUCUUUUAGUUUUGACUGUUAUCUAAUUGAACUAUUUGAUUAUCAAAUAAUUGUGUUACUUUUUGUUCUAGAUGUUUAUAUUCAUUUUUCCCACUCUUUUAGUUUUGUUAAUGUGUGACAGUCUUUGUUUUUCAUUGAACUAUUGUGUGGCAGUCUUUAUUUAUUGGUUAUCUUUAGUUUCACUAUUGUUCUUUCUUUAAUGUUUUUCUUAGUUUUUAAUAAGUGUGACAAAAUAUGAAUUUAUCUUUUUCUUUGAACAAAUGUGGAAUUUAUUUUUCUUUUAAUGUAGUUGUGUCCCCAAUAAAUUUAUUUUGGCGAUUUAACAAUCCAUAAUGUUGUUUUUCAUUUUUCUGCUGUAUUUUCUUUGGUUCGUUGUUGUGCGAUGUCUAUUUUUGAGACAUUUUUAAUUUAGUUUUAUUUCUUUUAGCUUCCUGCAUCAUAUUGUAUUAUGGAUUUUUUCGAAAAUUUGAGUUUGAUCUUGUUUUUCUGGUCCACUGCUGUGCAGUUUUUUUUAUGAGAUAUUUUUAUUUAGAUUUAUUAUCUUUUAGCUUGUUUUGCAUUUUGCAUUAUAGAUUAUUUUUUAAAAUUUUGAGGUUGUUUUUUUUCUUUGAUCUUUUGUUGCGGUGACAAUUUUAAUUUAGAUUUAUUAUCUUUUAGCUUGCUUGCAUUAUGGAUUGUUAUGAAAUUUGCUUUAUUUUGUUUUUUGGUCCUUUGCUGUGAUGUCUCUCUAUAAGACAUUUUUAAUUUAGGUUUAAUAACUUUUAGCUAGCUUGCAUUGUGGAUUGUUAUGAAAUUUUGAGUUUCUGCUUUCUUUUGAGUUUUGGUGAUGCCUUUUUACGAGACAUUUUUAAUUUAGGUUAAUUUUUUAGGUUGCUUGCAUUUAUGGAUUGUUCUGAAAUUUUGACUUUCUGCUUUUGUUUUUUAUGUCAUUUGUUGUGUGAUAUUCUCUUUAUAAGAUAGAGAUAUUUUUAAUUUAGGUUUACUAUUUUUUAGCCUGCUUGCAUUUGGUAUCAUAUAUGAAUUGUUCUGAAUUUUGAGUUUCUUAUUUUUCAGUCAUUUGUUGUGCGAUAACUUUUUAUAAGACAGACAUUAAGAUUUAUUAUUUUUGGACUUGUUUGUAUUUUGUAUCACGGAUUGUGGUUUUUUAAAUUCAGAGGAGGAACUAGAAAUUGUUCUUGUGAUAUGUUAAAAUCUAGUUUACUGCAAAGAAUGAAUUCUAAAACAGAGGGUAUGAAUAUCGUCAAUAAUUUUUCUCCAUUUGUGCGUUGAGCAAUGUUUAGCUGAUAUGUUUGUGUAUUCUUUACAUUAGUGCAGCACCACAUGCUAAUUUAGGUGUGAAAUGCUAAUUUAGAUGUGAAACACUUCCAAAGAUGACGAGAAAUCAAAGAUUGUCGUAGUAAAAAACCUCACCAGUUUUUCCUUUCAGGUUUUUCUUUUCUUUUUCUUUAAUAGUUUGGAAUUUUGCUGGUGUGAUUUCUGCUUUUCUCUUAUCAUUUAUUUUGAUUUUGGAGAGCAACUUUGGUAAUGUUAAGGUGAUUUAAGAAAAGUUGGUUGUCCAAGAAUCAAUAUUUUUAUAUUACCUUAAAUCUUCCUAAGACAUGUUGGGUCUUUCUUUGGCCUUUGUUAGUGUCUUCUAUUAAGUCUGUUAGUUUCACUUUAGUUGGGUCUUUUUUUAAUUUUAUUUUAUCUUUUAAAUUCCAAAUCCUACUCAUUUGGUCAUGACGAUUGAAUAAUCAUUGUUAAAUUUAUUUCUUGUUGGGAGUGUAGAUUUUAUUUUCUUUUUGGCCUUUGUUAUUUGCAUCUAUACAGGGGUUCGAAAAAUUCAAACCCUUCCCUCUUUUAUUCGACAUUCUUUUAGUUUUAUUUGUACUAUUGGAUUGUUAAAAACAAUUGUGUUACUAUUUCUUACAUUCCAUAAAGAACCCUUUCUGAUGAAUUAUUUCUUAUUGAACUGUUUUAAAAUUUUGAGUUUCUUCUUUUUCUUUUUUGGGUCCAUUGUUGGGGGAUGAUACAUCUUUAAUUUUUUUUUUUUUUUGAUAAGAGAUGAUACAUCUUUAAUUUAGAUUUAUUAUCGUUAGCUUGUUUUGCAUUUUGUAUUAUGUUUUUUGAAAUUUUGAGUUUCUUCUUUUUCUUUCUUUGGUCAUGUGUUGUGCGAUGUUAUUUGCAUUAGGGGUGUUUGGUUGGUUGUUUUUUUAGGGGUGUUUUGGUUAGUUAGGCUUAAGAAGCAAGGGCUAGUGAAAGAGAAGCAUUUGAUUGUCCUACAAGUAAUAAGCUUCUCCUCAAUCAUUCAACCAUUUUUUUAGUAAAGAAAGAGGCUUCUCCUCUGGCAACCAAAGUCCGUCCCUCGUUAACAGGUAAGUCUACCCCAUUACUUUUUAUGUCCUUUUAAUUAAGAUAUUUGGGUCAAUAUAUAUCAAAAUAAAUAAGAUCCAUCUUUGGUAAUUUUUAAAAAAUUUAAAUCUAUAAAUACUCAUUUCAUCUCUAAAAUUAUGUGAUUUGUACUUUCUAAAAUUCCCUCGAUGGUACUAAUACACUCUUAUAUUUGUAUUGUAAUUAUCAUGUCCUUUUUCUAUGGUUUUUUAAAGUUAAUUUAGAUCCUUAUUCGCUCUAGGUAUAAGUUGAAUGGAAGAGUUUUUUAGCCUUGAUAGAUCUUGAGUACCUGAAUCGCCGAUGAAACAGAGGUUAUUUUCUCGGAAAUUCCACGAAUUGUUCAGGUUUGGAUUCUGUAAUUCUGUUGGUUCUUUUUUGAUUUUGGAGUGUGUCCUGGGUAAUUUUGAGGAUUAUUAUUUUUUUGUUUUUUUGGCUUGCAUUUAAUCACGCACGUUGGGGAAUAGACAGGCUUCGGAGAAUGAAUCACCUUUUUAAGGUUUCGCUGGGGAGCGAAUUGGCCAUAAGGCAUCCCUUUCUGUUCAGUCUCUCUCUUGCCUUUUUCAUACUAUAUGGUUGUUGAACUGGGGUUAUUGAAUGAUUGUUGCUUUUAUUUUCAUAAGAAGUGAUCUUAUAUUUUUGUUUCUCUCUGUGUAACUUUAAUAUGAGGUUAUUAAGGAAGGAGAUAAAGGAGGAAGAAGGGACGGAGAAAAGGAAGAAAUGACUGGAUUGUUGGGAUGGGUAUGAAGAUGCAGUAGAGCCACCACCUAGGGGCUGUAAGGUCUAAUGGGCAAAUUGAAAGUAAAAAAGAGUGCACAUCCAUUCAAGCUAAGAGAGCUUGGAUUCCUAAAUUACUAUUGCUCUGGGUUCUGUUGGAGGCAUUGAUUGGUAUUGUUAAUCUACAAGGGAAUUGAUGGUGUUAACAAAGUUAGAAGAAAGGAAGUUUUGGGCGUAUGUGUGACCGGAGCACAAAGAUGCUUCUGCAUCAAUUUACUGUCAGUGUUAAACUAUGUCCAUGCUUUGGUUAUUCUAUUUUAUACUUUCCACUCCUCUCGAAAUGUAUCAACAAUUGUUUAUGUAAAUGUGUUUCGAUUUCUGUUUGAUACUUCUCAGUUAGUUAGGCUUAAAAGUAUGAGAGAUAAUUCAUUUCUCGUCUCAUAUAGAAAUUAUCUUGAUGUCUUGAUUUUUAGGGUUUUUUUCAGCGGUUUUUGGUUUUUUUAUUUUUUUGUUGGAUUUUGGCUAGUUAGGCUUAGAGGUGCAAGGACUUGUGAAAGAGAAGCAUUUGAUUGACCAACGAGUAAUUAGUUUCUCCUCAAGCAUCCCACCACUUUUCUAUUAAAGAAAUACAGGUACGUCUACGCUAUUACUUUUCAUGUCCUUUUACUUAAGAUAUUUAUAUAAAUAUAUAUAAAAAUAAAUAAGAUCCAUCUUUGGUAAUUUUUUUUAAAAUCAAAUCUGUGGAUAUUCAUUUCAUCUCUAAAGUUUUGCGUUUUGUUACUUUUUAAAAUUCCCUCCAUGUCACUAUUACACUCCUAUAUUUGUGUUGUAAUUAUGAUGUCCUUUUUCUAUGGUCUGUUAAAGUUAAUUUAAAUCCUUUUUUGCUCUUGGUUUAUGUUGAAGAAAUGGAAGAUUUUUUUAGCCUUAAUAGAUCUGGAGUACCUUAAUCGCUCUUGCAUUUUGUGAUUCUGUUCUUUUUCUAUUUUGAAGAGUGUCCUGAGUAAUUUUUAGGAUUUUUAUUUUAUAGUUUUUGUCGCUUGCAUUUAAACACAGACUUGGUUGUUGAACUGGGGUUCUUGAAUAAUUGUUGGUUUUGUUUUCUGAAGAAGUGAUCUUAUAUUUGUGUAUCUCUAUGUGCAACUUUAAUAUGGGGUUAUUAAGGAUGGAGAUAAAGGAGGAAGAAUGGAGAGAGAAAAGGCAGAAAUGACUUAAUUGUUGGGAUGAGUAUGACCCCAUGUCUAGUAGUUCCCAAGUAUGAUAUAGGAAGGCAUAGAGUCAAGGCCUUGUCUGACUCUAAUAGAAGUAAGUAGCUAACGCAACGCAAUAUUCUUUGCACCUUCAGUCUGUGAAUUUGAGGUGUAAGAGUUUGGCCAGAGGAGCUAGUCUCGUAACUGCGGGCGCAGUUCUAGUUCUUUACAAGACAGAUGGGAACGGUAGCUAACAAGUGUGCCCUGAGUGGAAUCCUACCACUACUCUUUCUACUAUAUUGGCAGGACGGGUGCCAAGUUAUUAGUAGCUAGGCAGCUAAGCCAGUAGUAGUUCAGUUCAGGCGCUGUUCUCAAAUCUAGUUGACUACGUUGUAGCGUAGCGGUACGGGACAGGAAAAGAAUUGAUAGCGGUACACUGAACACAAAGAAAUUUGAUAGACAUAUGUUGAGAGUUCGACAAGUAGCACUGAAUCUACUAUCAGUAGUGAUUUAUAGAAGUUGACUCGCUUAAACGAAGAGAGUGAACAAAGCAUAGCGGAGUGAAGAGAGAAAUGGUUUCAUUAGAUAGCUCUCUCGAUGUCCUUGUUAUCUUUCCUAGGUAGAUUGUGACUUAUUCAUUCUUUCUCGCUGACUCUGGUUUCCCCGCCGUGGAUCCUUUCUCGGUUAGGGCCUCCCCUAUCCUUAUUCAUUGAUCGCUCUCUUUGCCGCGAAUCUCGGCAUGGUGGUCCUUCGCCUCGCAAUAUUCUUUGCUCCUCCUUCCUGGGCUUGAUGGGUACAUCAAGCAUAUCGGCAUCUUGCUUCUUUGGUGUGGUACACAUAUCUAUCAAUGAAAAGAAAGUAAUAGAAUUCAUUCCCGCAUACUCGCAUAUUGAAUUGCGCCUUCAGACCAUCAAAGAAAGGUCCAGGGUCUGGAGUCCGCAGGAUUUAUCCGGAGUCCGAAGGAUUUAUCCGUAGGACCAUCCAUAUGGAGGGAAGUAGUCCGGAGGAUUUAUUCGUAGGACCAUCCGUAAUUAACAGAAGUAGGACUAUCCAUUAUCCUUCAUCCGGAGUCCGCAGGAUUCUUAUCCGUAGGACUAUCCAUAUGGAAGUAGGACUUGUUUUUAACCAAUCUGAGGAACUCAAACUUAUGGCCUCCGUAGUCCGCUCCCUCCCUUUAUUUUCAAGGUUGAAUAUGAAAGGUUUGAAGUUAGAAGUGAAAGGAAGAAAAAGUCAAUAGAAGUCCUCCGUCUCUCUUCUUUAUGGUCCGGAGCCUUCGAUCAUUCUUUGAGCCUCUAGACCUACUAGAGAAAGCCCCACUCCGCGGAAGAACCUAGAAAGCUAAGCUUGAUAAAGUCCUCCGCCUAAUUCAAUGGAUCUAAUGGACGCAAUAUUCUUUGCACUUGGACCCAGCCUCCAGCUUCUUAUUCGACGUUAGGAGUAUUAAGACCGAAGGACAGACGGGUCCUUCUAUAUAUUCUUUGCACCGCUCUGUGGGUCCUUUCCAUUAAUAGUUAGGAGUCUUAAGACCUCAGUCCUAUCCAUAUUAACCCGCGCUAAGUUCCAUUAAGAGAAAAUUCUUUGCUCUCUGCGACUCGAAGUAAUAGUAUUCAACAAUAUCCCUGUCUUAUGGCGCCUCGCAUAAAUACGGCUUCGAUCAUUCUUUGAGCCUCCGUCGCAAGUCAAAUUCUCUAAUGGAUAGGCCUUCUCCUUCGCCUAUAAAUUCCCAUAUUAAGCUACGAAAUAAAGAAAGCACUACGCGGGAAGAACUGAUCAAUGAAAUUUGAUUGAUUGAAUUUCAUCAUAUCAUAUUUGAAAAAGAAAGAAUAUUGAGGUGCAAAGAAUAUAUAGAAGGCGCAAAGAUCUAAAAAGAAAGGUCCAGAUGACUAUCCAUAUUAACCCAGAGAAAGUUCAGUCAGUUUCAGUGGAAUAAAGGGAAAGCCUAUCCAACAACAUUUCAGUGGAAUAGGAGAAAGGAAGUCCUCCGCUCCGUUGGAGUUGAAUUGGUCCUACGGGAAGAAAAUCAAUGAAGAAGUCAAUGCCCACUACGCGGGGUUAAAGUGAAAGAGGAAAGCCACUAAAAACCUCAAAAUAAUACGGAAAGCCUAGCCUUCUACGGCCUCCAAACAAAAAAAGCUUUACUAGACUCAAAUUCUUUGAGCCUCCGGAGCCUCAAAAAUAUAGCUUAAAGGAAGAGGUGCAAAGAAUAUUGCGUGAUUGAUGCCUCCGUCUCUCUGAUUUAUGGUUAUGGUUCUCCUGAACCUACUCCCUACGGCAAGGCAGAAGACUGCCAAACAGAAGAAAGCCUAGGAGAAGACAACUCCUAGAAAGUUUAAAAGUGGAAUCAAAUAACUAAGAACGAAGAUUUGUUGGGAAGGAAAGCCUUCAUAAGUACUUUCGUCUUAUUUUUAGUCCUCUUUCAUUGAUCUAUCUUGAUGCCAAGAAGAAACUUCAGGAUUACUAACAAUGAACAAGGGAAGCACUACGCGGAAGUUUCAGUUCCUCAGUCGGAAUAUGGACCUCGCAUAUUUCAUUGUGCCUUCUCUCCUUUCAGUCGAGCCCUCAGUCCUAUCCAUCAGUCGAGCCCUCGGGGAGCCUUGAACUUCCUUUAACUGCUUUCCUAUUCCUUUCACUUUUUCUGACUUUACCCUCUCUUUAUUCCGCUCCGUCUUCUUGAAUGAAUCUCAAUUGCAGACUUCUACGUCUUCUGUUUUAUUUUAGUAGGCUCUCUUCUUUUUCAGACGAAGGAUUCUCCCGCUCCGUGGGGUCUUGGACGAGGAUUCUCCCAAGAACCUAACAAAAUACUGAAGAAAGCCAAUCUAGAGACUGAAUACGAGAAACUGAAAGGAGAAAAGCCUAUGAUUUUCAGCAAGCAUUCUUGGAAAGUAACAAUUCUCUUCAGUUUGGUUUUGGAGAACUUGUUGGUCGCGGAUUAGUGCGUUCUGCGCCGCCCGGUGUCACAAUCGUAGUCCUUCAAACAAGAUGUGAACGAUUGUGCGGCACUUGUUCUAGCUCGACGAACAAGUCAGCCGAUCAAAAUCCGCAAAUCGCGGACAACUUUAACACAUGCUUCAACCUCCCCUCACGUUCUUGGAAAAUAUUUUUAGAAAACGUGAAAGAUGAUUAAAUUGAUUGAAAACAUUGUUAAAACAAGCAUUGAAGACUGUCAAUUGCAAUAAGAAAGCAUAGGUUGCAAAGAGUACGACAAGGCUUGGGCGGGGAUUCAACAAGUAUGACUCCCCUAUAGUACAUUUUUAACAUUUUCAUCUCUGGCAGGCUUGCAUAUGAAAAGUGCCAAAACGUCACACCCAAGCAUAUCGACUUGAAAUUGAAAGCAACUACCUAAACUACAUACAAGACAUAAAGACAAGAUAAAUUGGGGCUAAUUGGAGCAUACGGCCAUAGGUAAACACACCUUGGACAAGUAUGUCCGUUACAUUCUCCUCCACCUAAACAGUUGACGUCCCUGUCGACUGGUGAAGCUUGAACUCCUCGAUCUUCUGCGCCUCGGCUUCUAGGUCUUCGACACGUUCCCAACUGGUUUCUUCCACAGGAAGGUUCUUCCACUUUACCAGGUACUCGUGGAUCCUUCUUGUGGGUCUUCGGCCCUUCCUCACUCGUUCGGUCAAGAUUUCUUCAACUUCUUUACUCUCCUUCUGGCUGAGGUUGAUGGCCGGUCGGACUAUGGCAUUACGUUGCAUGUCAUCAGGAUCUUGGUAGUAGGGCUUCAAAUUACUCACAUGAAUUACUGGGUGGAUUUUCAUCCAUGUGGGCAACGCUACUUUAUAAGAUGUGUUCCCUACCUUCUUCAGCACUUCCACUGGUCCCUCGUACUUUCUUAGGAGGCGUUGGUCCUUGCGUCCUCGGAACCGAAUCUGUCCUGGUCGUAACUUAAUGAGAACCUGAUCUCCGACCCGCAACUCUAGAGGGCAGCGCUUCUUGUCUGCCCACUUCUUCAUCCGCUUCGAGGCUUUCCCUAAAGAGGCUCGAGCGAUGUCUGUCGUCUGCUUCCAUUCUCUGGUAAAAUUGUGAGCUUGAGGGUUCUUCCCCGCAUAGGGGUGAUCAACAAGGUGUGGCAGAACUGGUUGCCUUCCGCAAACAAUUUCAAAAGGGCUCUUUUCAGUUGACGAGCUUGUCUGAGCGUUAAAACAAAACUGGGAGACAUCCAACAACUGAGCCCAAUUUCUUUGCCUCGCAGUAACAAAAUGGCGCAAGUAUUCUUCGAGCAUACAGUUGAACCGCUCGGUCUGACCGUCCGUUUGGGGAUGGUAACUUGAGGACACAUUCAGGCUUGUCCCUAAGAAAGUGAAUAACUCUGUCCAAAAGGUGCCAAUGAACCGUCCAUCCCGAUCACUCACAAUGCUUGUCGGUAUGCCCCACAGUUUCACAAUAUGUCUAAAGAAUAAUUGAGCUGUUAACUCCGCCGAACACUGCUUCGUAGUGGGAACGAAAGUGGCAUAUUUCGAGAAUCGAUCUAUGAUGACUAAUAUAGUCUCAUAGUCGCCUACUUUUGGGAGAUGGGUGAUGAAGUCCAUAGAAACACUCUCCCACGGUCUCGUUGGCACCUGCAGAGGUUCGAGAAGCCCAGCAACCUUUGCCUUCUCGACUUUGUCCUGUUGACAGACAAGACACGUCUUCGUGUAUUGCAUGACGUCGUCUCUCAUACGGGGCCAGAAGUAUCCUUUCUUCAGCAAGGCGUAUGUCCUCUGCCAUCCGGGGUGGCCGGCCCACAGAGUGUCGUGACACUCGUGUAGCAACUUCUUCCUCAGGUCUCCUCCCCUAGGGACAUACAACCGUCUCCCCUUCGUCACUAACAACCCAUCUUCAACCCAAAACUGCCUUCUUUUACCUGCCUCAGCUAAACUCAUGACACUCCAAGCCACAGAAUCCUUCUGCAAGAACUCCCUCAAGACAUCGCGCAUAGGGCCAUCAAUCUUGCUUGCUUAGAGAUGUGCUAACAUGCACAAAGCAGCGUGGUCGCCUCUUCGACUAAGCGCAUCAGCGGCCUGAUUGCUCACCCCCUUCUUGUGUUCAAACUCAAAAUCAAACUCAGCUAGGAAUUCCUGCCAUCUAGCUUGUUUUGAAGUCAACUUCGGUUGCGUAAAGAAGUGACAAGUAGCACUAUUGUCCGUCUUCACAACAAAAGUUGACCCCAAUAAGUACUGUCUCCAGGCCCUUAAGCAAUGUACUACGACAAGCAUUUCUUUCUCGGACACGGUGUACCUCCUCUCCGCGGCAUUUAGUUUCCGACUCUCAUCUGGACCUUUCUUUGGCACUGCGGACUACUUCGGUUAAUUACGGAUGGUCCUACGGAUAAAUCCUGCGGACUCCGGACGUAGGAUAAAUUCUGCGGACUCCUUCCUUCCAUAUGGAUGGUCCUACGGAUAAAUCCUCCGGACUACUUAGGUUAAUUACGGAUGGUCCUACGGAUAAAUCCUCUGGACUACUUCGGUUAAUUACGGAUGGUCCUACUUCCAUAUGGAUAGUCCUACUUGUAAUGGAUAGUCCUCCGGAUAAAUCCUGCGGAUGUAGGACCUUGGUUCUUUCUUUCUUUAAUGGAUAGUCCUCCGGAUAAAUCCUGCGGACUGCGGACGUAAGACCCUGGACCUUUCUUUGGCACUCCGAACGGAUAAAGAAAGGAUAAAUAAAGGCGCAAAGAAUAUUGCGAGAGCGGGAAUUACCUUUUCUCUUCAGGUUAGCUAAGAGUUGCCGGAGGCUUGAAGUCGGAUAAUUACUUUUACUUAAAGGUUUCACAAACCUGCAAAAUCUUCUCCAAAUUAGUGUUAGCGUUCUGAGUGCCAAGCAGUAUAUUUAAAAUAUAGAAAGAAGAAAAAUCCAUGCAAUCUAAGUACACUAAGAACCUACAGCAUCGUCACCGCUGCUUGGGAAGGUUAAUUCUUCUAACUCUGGUAUUAUCGUUGAACAAGCAGUUCACAUCCGACUGCCCGCGUAGUGGGGGAAGCUCGCUCGCUAACUUUGCACUUCGGCCAAAAUGCCGAAAAAAGGCUAAGGCCGAAGGAGGUCUGCUCCUUCGCUCAAGGAAAAAUUGCCCGAUUGGAUAUAUAUCUCGGAGCAGAGAGAGGAAAGGAUCACGGAAGCCUUAGUCUCAGUACGAAAGGGGCAAAAAGCUGGAAAAAGCAUACUGGCUUCACCUUGCCCUAGGAUGGGGUCCGUCGGAUCUUUUAAGACAUAGGCUUAAUGCUGAGACGCACGGGGAUAUCCAGUAAAGGAUGGAUAUUCAAGACAAGGACGAAGGCUCUCCGUCACGCAAGAUGAUUAUAAGUCUUAGGAGUGAACUUCCGCUUUACCCCUUCUCGGUUUACCCUUCUUUUAGGAUAGAAAAAGCCACUGCCUGUGUGACCACUACAAGCGGACGUGACGAGCGACGCAGGGCCACCCACGACCGCUAGCAAUACGAGGUAAAGCGGCCAGAAAGCAUACCAUAGGAUGCGUCUUGAGGGCAUUCACAUAAACAUUCUUCGAAUUAUUCACAUUCGACGGGAUGUUCUUAGCCUUGUCUCCAGGUGAAUAAUUGAAUCGGCACCGGCGCGAUCGGACCUAUUGCAGCCUUCGGUUGACUGGUGGCAUUCGAUGGUAUGCUUUGAGGCCUUCCCAACCCGCUCCGUGUAAAAGAGGUAGAAGGAGGCUCAAAGAAUUAUCGAAGAGCGAGACGAAAGAAAAUAGCGACUUCCAGUCGGUGAUGGGAUAUCUCAAUGUUAUCGUAGAUUCAAAGGCGCAAAGAAUAUUGCAUUGAGGCUCGACUGAAAGGAGAGGCGAAUUUGAGAAGAAAGAACUAUAUCGGAUAAAUACUCAACUGCCUCAGACGUCACUGGGACAAGAGCCGGAGAUUCUGAAACCUCUCGCAGCUUCUUUGCUUCCUCUGGUCUCGAUAUUUGAACCGCCUCAAUAAACAACAAAUAAGGGUCCAAAAAAUCAAGGUCAUCUGAAACCCUUUUUUUGAUGCGCCUCAGUCCUAUCCAUUAGAACGCCGGCCCUCACCCUUUUUCUUCUUAGUGCGCACUUGAGCUUUAGUCUUCCGAGUUCUCAAAUUCUUUGACCCUCUGUCUCAGUAUUCGGCAGAGAUGUUGAUGUUAACAAGAAAUGCAGGCUGAAUGCUGUAUGGAAGGAUGAUCAUUUUGGCUUCUUGUAGCCAUUGAUGCUGUCUAAUACUCGGAGAGACAUUGUUAGUAAUGUGACUUUGGACAAGGUUACUGAAGAUAGAACUAUCUGGCCUCAGGUCAGUUUUCAGUUGCUAAGGCAGUGAAGCUCUUUCAUCUUCCUGGUAAUACUGUCCCUUGGUUCAAGCUUCUUUGGGGUAAGAAGCACAUCCCUAGUCAUGCUUUUCUUUCCUGGAUGGCUAUGAAUAAGAGUCUGAGAGUCAAAAUGGCUAUGAAUAAGAGUCUGAGAGUCAAAGCUAAACUGUACAAUCUUUAAGUGCUUCCGUCUGAUUUUGAGGUUUGGAAGCAAAGAAGCAGAGCGGAGUUUGAUUCCUUAUAUCAGGAAAAGAUAUAGGAAGACUCCCAAGAAGAAGAAAGCCUAGGAGAAAGCAAAGAAAGAGUAAGGAUCAGAAAGCUCCUAACCCCUAUUUAUUUAUGGAUGUGAAUUGAGCGAAGGCGCAAAGAAUAUUGCGAAGGUUCAAAGAAUAUUGACUUGAUAAACCUCUAUUUAGCUUCUUAUAUCUGAAGACGAUAAAGUCAGAUAAUCAGCCUUCGGCUGGGUCGGAUCGUCCAUACCUAGUUGAGUAUCUUUGUCCGUCAUAACGAAGUCACUCUUUGAAAAGGGUCGGGCUUUGUUGGAGUUGACUCGGUGAGUACACUUUCAUCUUGACGAGAAGAAGCGCGAACAACAACUAUAUUAUUCAGCCAGAGACCUGAUUUACCCGAUGAGUGGAACGGCUCGACAAAAGUCUUAGGACUCGCGGACAGACGCGCCUCCUUCCUGCUAGAACUCAUAGGUCUACGCGGGUUUUUUAGGUAGCGAGAAUAGUGGUCCCAAACGGAAUAGAAGUACUUUUGAUUCACUGAAUCGGAAUCUUUGAAAGAAUAAAGGGGGACGGAGGAUCAAUGAAAUUUGAUGAUGAUGAGUAAGCUCUCGGUUUUCUUGCUCCUCUUUCUCCUCUUUCUUCCAUAUGGAUAGUCCUACUUCUAAUGGUUAUCUUUAGUUUUACUAUUGUUCUUUUUUUAAUGUUUUCUUAGUUUUUAAUAAGUGUGACAAAAUAUGAAUUAAUUUUUUUCUUUGAACAAAUGUGGAAUUUAUUUUCUUUUAAUGUAGUUGUGUCCCCAAUAAAUUUAUUUUCGCGAUUUAACAAUCCAUCAUGUUCUUUUUCAUUUUUCUGUUGUAUUUUCUUUGGUUCUUUGUUGUGGUAUGUCUAUUUUUGAGACAUUCUUAAUUUAGUUUUAUUUCUUUUAGCUUCCUGCAUCAUUUUGUAUUAUGGAUUGUUAUGAAAUUUUGAGAUUAUGCUUUAUUUUGUUUUUUUGGUCCUUUGGUGUGAUGUCUUUUGAUUAUUUCUUUUGAGUGAACAGUUCAUGUAAGAUUUUCUGCAUGAGAAUAAAUUGAUUAUUUAAUUUGGCAUCCUAAGUUUGCUCUGGGUUCUGUUGGUGGCAUUCAUCAAUAUGUUAAUCUAUUAGGGAAUGUAUGGUUAUAACAAAGUAAGAAGAAUGGAAGUUCUGGGGGAGUAUUUGUGACAAGAGGGCAAGGAUGCUUCUGCAUCAAUUUAGUGUUAGUCAAUCAUGUCUAUGCUUUGGCCCUUCUCAUUCCACUUUCCACUACUACAAAAAUGUAUCUGCAAUUGAUCAUGUAAAAGUGUUUCAAUUUUCUGUCUUAGGUUCAUCUCAGUUAGUUAGUCUUAAGAGUAAGGGAGAUAAUUCAUUUUUCUUGUUUCAGCUAGAUAUUACCCUCCAUGUCCUGAUUUUUAAUUUGGCUUCCUAAGUGUGCUCUAGGUUCUGUUGGUAGCAUUCGUCAGUAUGUUAAUCUACAGGUGAAUCUAUAGUUAUAACAUAGUAAGAAGAAUGGAAGUUCUUGGGGAGUUUGUGUGACAAGAGGGCAAGGAUGCUUCUGCAUUAAUUUAGUAUCAGUGUCAACCAUGUUUAUGCUUUGGCCAUUCUCAUUUCCACUUUCCACUACUCCAAAAAUGUAUUAUCUGCAAUUGAUCAGGUAAAAGUGUUUCAAUUUUCUGUCUUUGGUUCAUCUCAGUUAGUUAGUCUUAAGAGUAAGGGAGAUAAUUCGUUUUUCUUGUUUCAGCUAGAUAUUACUCUCCAUGUCUUGAUUUUUAGUUUUUUAGGGGUGCUUGGUUGGUUUGAAUGCAGGAAACUUUUGCUGGUAAACGAUUCAAACAGCUUUCCAUGUCAGGUUUUUCUAUUAUUUUUCUUUAAUAUUUUGGAACAUGUGUAAUUUCUGUAUAUAUUUUCUUGCCGUUUUCCUUUUUCAUCAUUUAUUUUGAUUUUGGAGAGGGUCUCUUGGUAACUUGACUUUUCUUUUAGUUUUGACUUGGGAACAUGUGCAUUGUGGAUUGUUAUGAAAUUUUGAGUUUCUGCUUUCUUUUGAGUUUUGGUGAUGCCUUUUUACGAGACAUUUUUAAUUUAGGUUAAUUUUUUAGGUUGCUUGCAUUUAUGGAUUGUUCUGAAAUUUUGACUUUCUGCUUUUGUUUUUUAUGUCAUUUGUUGUGUGAUAUUCUCUUUAUAAGAUAGAGAUAUUUUUAAUUUAGGUUUACUAUUUUUUAGCCUGCUUGCAUUUGGUAUCAUAUAUGAAUUGUUCUGAAUUUUGAGUUUCUUCUUUUUCAGUCAUUUGUUGUGCGAUAACUUUUUAUAAGACAGACAUUAAGAUUUAUUAUUUUUGGACUUGUUUGUAUUUUGUAUCACGGAUUGUGGUUUUUUAAAUUCAGAGGAGGAACUAGAAAUUGUUCUUGUGAUAUGUUAAAAUCUAGUUUACUGCAAAGAAUGAAUUCUAAAACAGAGGGUAUGAAUGUCGUCAAUAAUUUUUCUCCAUUUCUGCGUUGAGUAAUGUUUAGCUGAUAUGUUUGUGUAUUCUUUACAUUAGUGCAGCACCACAUGCUAAUUUAGGUGUGAAAUGCUAAUUUAGAUGUGAAACAAUUCCAAAGAUGACGAGAAAUCAAAGAUUGUCGUAGUAAAAAACCUCACCAGUUUUUCAGUUUUUCUUUUCUUUUUCUUUAAUAGUUUGAGUUUUUCCUUUCAGGUUUUUCUUUUCUUUUUCUUUAAUGGUUUGGAAUUUUGCUGGUGUGAUUUCUGCUUUUCUCUUAUCAUUUAUUUUUGAUUUUGGAGAGCAACUUUGGUAAUGUUAAGGUGAUUUAAGAAAAGUUGGUUGUCCAAGAAUCAAUUUUUUUAUAUUACCUUAAAUCUUCCUAAGACAUGUUGGGUCUUUCUUUGGCCUUUGUUAGUGUCUUCUAUUAAGUCUGUUAGUUUCACUUUAGUUGGGUCUUUUUUUAAUUUUAUUUUAGCUUUUAAAUUCCAAAUCCUACUCAUUUGGUCAUGACGAUUGAAUAAUCAUUGUUAAAUUUAUUUCUUGUUGGGAGUGUAGAUUUUAUUUUCUUUUUGGCCUUUGUUAUUUGCAUCUAUACAGGGGUUCGAAAAAUUCAAACCCUUCCCUCUUUUAUUCGACAUUCUUUUAGUUUUAUUAGUACUAUUGGAUUGUUAAAAAUAAUUGUGUUACUAUUUCUUACAUUCCAUAAAGAACCCUUUCUGAUGGAUUAUUUCUUAUUGAACUGUUUUAAAAUUUUGAGUUUCUUCUUUUUCUUUUUUGGGUCCAUUGUUGGGGGAUGAUACAUCUUUAAUUUAGAUUUAUUAUCGUUAGCUUGUUUUGCAUUUUGUAUUAUGUUUUUUGAAAUUUUGAGUUUCUUCUUUUUCUUUCUUUGGUCAUGUGUUGUGCGAUGUUAUUUGCAUUAGGGGUGUUUGGUUGGUUGUUUUUUUAGGGGUGUUUUGGUUAGUUAGGCUUAAGAAGCAAGGGCUAGUGAAAGAGAAGCAUUUGAUUGUACUACAAGUAAUAAGCUUCUCCUCAAUCAUUCAACCAUUUUUUUAGUAAAGAAAGAGGCUUCUCCUCUGGCAACCAAAGUCCGUCCCUCGUUAACAGGUAAGUCUACCCCAUUACUUUUUAUGUCCUUUUAAUUAAGAUAUUUGGGUCAAUAUAUAUCAAAAUAAAUAAGAUCCAUCUUUGGUAAUUUUUAAAAAAAUUAAAUCUAUAAAUACUCAUUUCAUCUCUAAAAUUAUGUGAUUUGUACUUUCUAAAAUUCCCUCGAUGGUACUAAUACACUCUUAUAUUUGUAUUGUAAUUAUCAUGUCCUUUUUCUAUGGUUUUUUAAAGUUAAUUUAGAUCCUUAUUCGCUCUAGGUAUAAGUUGAAUGGAAGAGUUUUUUAGCCUUGAUAGAUCUUGAGUACCUGAAUCGCCGAUGAAACAGAGGUUAUUUUCUCGGAAAUUCCACGAAUUGUUCAGGUUUGGAUUCUGUAAUUCUGUUGUUCUUUUUUGAUUUUGGAGAGUGUCCUGGGUAAUUUUGAGGAUUAUUAUUUUUUUGUUUUUUUGGCUUGCAUUUAAUCACGCGCGUUGGGGAAUAGACAGGCUUCGGAGAAUGAAUCACCUUUUUAAGGUUUCGCUGGGGAGCGAAUUGGCCAUAAGGCAUCCCUUUCUGUUCAGUCUCUCUCUUGCCUUUUUCAUACUAUAUGGUUGUUGAUCUGGGGUUAUUAAAUGAUUGUUGCUUUUAUUUUCAUAAGAAGUGAUUUUAUAUUUUUGUUUCUCUCUGUGCAACUUUAAUAUGAGGUUAUUAAGGAAGGAGAUAAAGGAGGAAGAAGGGACGGAGAAAAGGAAGAAAUGACUGGAUUGUUGGGAUGGGUAUGAAGAUGCAGUAGAGCCACCACCUAGGGGCUGUAAGGUCUAAUGGGCAAAUUGAAAGUAAAAAAGAGUGCACAUCCAUUCAAGCUAAGAGAGCUUGGGUUCCUAAAUUACUAUUGCUCUGGGUUCUGUUGGUGGCAUUGAUUGGUAUUGUUAAUCUACAAGGGAAUUGAUGGUGUUAACAAAGUUAGAAGAAAGGAAGUUUUGGGCGUAUGUGUGACCAGAGGACAAAGAUGCUUCUGCAUCAAUUUACUGUCAGUGUUAAACUAUGUCCAUGCUUUGGUUAUUUUAUUUUCUACUUUCCACUCCUCUCGAAAUGUAUCAGCAAUUGUUCAUGUAAAUGUGUUUCGAUUUCCGUCUUUGAUACUUCUCAGUUAGUUAGGCUUAAAAGUAUGAGAGAUAAUUCAUUUCUCGUCUCAUAUAGAAAUUAUCUUGAUGUCUUGAUUUUUAGGGUUUUUUCAGCGGUUUUUGUUUUUGUUUUUUUUUUUUUUGUUGGAUUUUGGCUAGUUAGGCUUAGAGGUGUAAGGACUUGUGAAAGAGAAGCAUUUGAUUGACCAACGAGUAAUUCUCCUCAGGCAUCCCACCACUUUUCUAUUAAAGAAAUACAGGUACGUCUACGCUAUUACUUUUCAUGUCCUUUUACCUAAGAUAUUUAUAUAAAUAUAUAUAAAAAUAAAUAAGAUCCAUCUUUGGUAAUUUUUUAAAAAUCAAAUAUGUGAAUAUUCAUUUCAUCUCUAAAAUUUUGCGUUUUGUUACUUUUUAAAAUCCCCUCCAUGUUACUAUUACACUCUUAUAUUUGUGUUGUAAUUAUGAUGUCCUUUUUCUUUGGUCUUUUAAAGUUAACUUAAAUCCUUAUUUGCUCUUGGUUUAUGUUGAAGAAAUGGAAGAGUUUUUUAGCCUUAAUAGAUCUGGAGUACCUUAAUCGCUCUUGCAUUUUGUGAUUCUGUUGUUCUUUUUCUAUUUUGAAGAGUGUCCUUAGUAAUUUUUAGGAUUUUUAUUUUAUAGUUUUUGUCGCUUGCAUUUAAACACAGACUUGGUUGUUGAACUGGGGUUCUUGAAUAAUUGUUGGUUUUGUUUUCUGAAGAAGUGAUCUUAUAUUUGUGUAUCUCUAUGUGCAACUUUAAUAUGGGGUUAUUAAGGAUGGAGAUAAAGGAGGAAGAAUGGAGAGAGAAAAGGCAGAAAUGGACUUAAUUGUUGGGAUGAGUAUGACCCCAUGUCUAGUAGUUCCCAAGUAUGAUAUAGGAAGGCAGAGAGUCAAGGCCUUGUCUGACUCUAAUAGAAGUAAGUAGCUAACGCAACGCAAUAUUCUUUGCACCUUCAGUCUGUGAAUCUGAGGAGCAAGAGUUUGGCUAGGGGAGCUAGUCCCGUAACUGCAGGCGCAGUUCUAGUUCUUUACAAGACAGAUGGUAAUUGUAGCUAACAAGUGUGCCCUGAGUGGAAUCCUACCACUAUUUCUACUAUAUUGGCAGGACGGGUGCCAAGUUAUUAGGAGCUAGGCAGCUAAGCCAGUAGUAGUUCAGUUCAGGCGCUGUUCCCAAAUCUAGUUGACUACGUUGUAGCGUAGCGGUACGGGACAGGAAAAGAAUUGAUAGCGAUACACUGAACACAAAGGAAUUUGAUAGACAUAUGUUGAAAGUUCGACAAGUAGCACUGAAUCUACUAUCAGUAGUGAUUUAUAGAAGUUGACUCGCUUAAACGAAGAGAGUGAACAAAGCAUAGCGGAGUGAAGAGAGAAAUGGUUUCAUUUGAUAGCUCUCUCGAUGUCCUUGUUAUCUUUCCUAGGUAGAUUGUGACUUAUUCAUUCUUUCUCGCUGACUCUAGUUUCCCCGACGUGGAUCCUUUCUCGGUUAGGGCCUCCCCUAUCCGUAUUCAUUGAUCGCUCUCUUUGCCGCGAAUCUCGUCAUGGUGGUCCUUCGCCUUGCAAUAUUCUUUGUUCCUCCUUCCUAGGCUUGAUUGGUACAUCAAGCAUAUCGACAUCUUGCUUCUUCGGUUUGGUACACAUAUCUAUCAAUGAAUAGAAAGUAAUAGAAUUCAUUCCUGCGUACUCGCAUAUUGAAUUGUGCCUUCGGACCAUCAAAGAAAGGUCCAGGGUCCAGAGUCCGCAGGAUUUAUUCGGAGUCCGGAGGAUUUAUCCGUAGGACCAUCCAUAUAGAGGGAAGUAGUUCAGAGGAUUUAUUCGUAGGACCAUCCGUAAUUAACAGAAGUAGGACUAUCCAUUAUCCUCCGUCCGGAGUUCGCAUGAUUCUUACCCGUAGGACUAUCCAUAUGGAAGUAGGACUAUCCGUAAUUAACCGAAGUUUGCACCUCUUGAUUAUGAAUCAUAUAUAUUGAUUUUGACCGGAGCAAAGAUCAUUGCCCACAGAGCGACGCAAAGAAUAUUGCGACCUGUGGAUUCAUUGAGGCGGUGAAGAAUUGCCAUUUUAUGAGCUUGUAAGACCCCUCCGGAGGAGAAGGAUAGGGGAGCAAGGUUCAAAGUGGUUUUCAAAGUCAGGGCUAUCCCUUACUAUUGAGGGCUUUGACCACCUAGACACUCGCCUACUCAGUCGCAAGGAUCAAAGAAUUUGAUUGACAAAGAAUAUUGCGAUUUUACCGAGUCCUUCGUCUCGCAAUAUUCUUUGCGCCUUCGGUGAGUCAGGUGUUAAUAUGGAUAAGUCCCUUGGACUGAUAGCGUCCAAAAUAGGCGAGGGCGGACGGGCUAUAAGUAGGCCGUUUGCUAUUGCUAUAAGGGCUGCUUGCCUUUAUACAGCUUGGCUUCGCUAUCGCUCAUGACUUGUAUUGUGGUCGGCCUAAAAAGUAGUCUUCCUACCAUAAAAAAAUGCCUAUUAUCUGGUUCGUUAAGCUUCGCCAAAAGCAAGACGAGGGCGCUUUGCUUCGUAGACAAGGCUCGUCUAGUACUUGACUUACGAGUUCGUGUAGGAUUUCCCCUCUCUCUCUAAAGGGGCUUUUAUGCACGGAACUCCUUGUCUACUAAAGAAGCGUUCGAGCGAGCGAGUUCAGCCUGAAAUUGAGUGGUCUCCCUCCUUUUCCCUCACUGAAAUAUUAUGUCUUUCAUUUCCACUUAAGCUUCCCCGCUUUGAGGGAUUAAUUGAUUGGAUACCUGAGAACCAUAAUCUUUCCUAGGAACUGCUUCUACGACGAUAGGCGUAAAGGCAUGAUUAAUUCCACAAAUCUCACUGCACUGACCAUAGUAAACUCCUUCUCAUUGUACCAAAAUGGAGAUCUGAUUUAAACGGCCAGGUACAACAUCACAUUUGACACCUGAGGAUGGUACAACCCAACUAUGAGGUACAUCAGCAGGUGUUACAAUAAUACGUAGAUGAGUUUUGGCUGGUAGAACCAUUCUAUUGUCCACUUCUAAUAAACGUGAUUGACCCAAUUCUAAAUCAUCUUCUGGAAUCGUAUAACUGUCAAAAGUGAGUGACUGUUCAUCGGAACUAUUAUAGUCAGAAUACUCAUAAAUUCGAUACCAUUGAUGUCCUAUAGCUUUGAUAGUCAUGGCUGGAUCUACUACUACCUCGUCCAUUUAGUAUAAAGAGAGCAAAGGAUGAUAUAACAAUGAACACCGGAAUGAUACUAGGAAAAAUGGUCCAAAGAAUCUCGAUAGUAGUUCCAUGAACAAUCCUUUGCGGUAUUUUCUUUUGAGAAUAGUGGAAAUGCCAUAAAGCGCGAACCAAGAUCCGUGAUACGAAAACAAAAAUCAGAAUGAGGAAGAAAAAGAUAUCGUGAUGUAAGUCUAUUAUUCCUUGCAUCAUAGGUGUUGCUGCGUCUUGAGAUCCUAAUUGCCAUGGUUCCGCUACAUCACAAGGAGCAAUUGUGAGGAAUAGCCAUUUGAGCACAAUCAUUUUCCAUUGUUUAUUCUUUGACCCGUCUGUCCUUCGGUCUUAAUACUCCUAACGUCGAAUAAGAAGCUGGAGGCUGGGUCCAGGUGCAAAGAAUAUUGCGUCCAUUAGAUCCAUUGAAUUAGGCGGAGGACUUUAUCAAGCUUAGCUUUCUGGAUUCUUCCGCGGAGUGGGGCUUUCUCUAGUAGGUCUGGAGGCUCAAAGAAUGAUCGAAGGCUCCGGACCAUAAAGAAGAGAGACGGAGGACUUCCAUUGACUUUUUCUUCCUUUCACUUCUAACUUCAAACCUUUCAUAUGAAACCUUGAAAAUAAAGGAGGGAGCGGACUACGGAGGCCAUAAGUUUGAGUUCCUCAGAUGGAUAAAAACAAGUCCUCCGGACGCUACGUAGUCUUGUCUCCUUCCCCACGUAGUGGGCAUUGACUUCUUCAUUGAUUUUCUUCUAUCUCCCACGUAGCGGUUGAAUAUGAAAGGAAGCCCACGGAGCUGAAGACGGAGCGGGAUAAUAAAGAAGAAAGCUCAAAAGGAGGGAGCAGACCUCAAUGAACAAGGGGAGGACUCAUUUUCAUCCUUAUGGAAGAAAAAUCUCUUUUUUUAUCUAAAAGACGUAGAAGGAGGCUCAAUGUCUAAUCUUUCUCUCAAAUCAAUAUCCCCCGGUGCAAAUAUUCUAGCAAUAUUCUCAAUAUGAAAAGAGCCUUUCUUCUUUUCUUAGAUAAAUGCGCUUCGUAGAUUAUGCUGAAGGAGGAGUGGGCCAUGAUCUUUGCUCCUUAAUUUCCCUAAUGGAUAGUCAUCUGGACCUUUCUUUUUAGUUCUUUGCGCUCGUCAACGCAUAUUUCAUUGCGCCUUCGCCUUCAAUGAAAUCCAUAAAUAAAUAAGGGUAGAUUUCAGACUCAAGAGGAGGGUUCCUUAUCAAUAUCAAUGAGACGAAUGGGCUUUCUUUUACAUUCUACAG
rnacentral:lncRNA from 1 species